rnacentral:lncRNA from 1 species
AAUCAAAACAUUCAUAUAUAAUCAAAUUAGUGACUCUGCUUAACUUUCUCCUGUAGUGAUUGUGUCUGAAGAAUAUGAGAAACUUAAAGUAUAUGUAAACUUCAAAAAAUUUAAUUGUUUAAUAAACUUUUUACAAUAUAUACACGUGUAAUUGAAUUAAGGUAAAAGGCAAUUGGACUCAAAAUUGCUUUCAUUAUAGAUUGUAAUAUCUAUGGUGAAGCAAUUGUGUCUUAAGUUUGAAGAAUAAUAUAUAAACAUAUUAAUGUAUAAUUAAUUCAGUAUUUUUUAAAUUACCUACUUUAUUUUAAAGUCAUACUUUUCAAAAAAUUCAAAUUUUAAAGAAUAUAACUUAAUAUAAAAAGUCUUUGGAAUGAAUUCUAAUUUUCCAAAAAGUUUUGUAUUCCAUUUUUUUUACCAAAUUCACUUAGUUUUAUUUUUAUUCAAGUAUUGAUUUGAGGGCAUAUAUCUUAACAGUAACAAAGCUAAAUCAAUAAAGAUACUGAUAAGAAGAUUAAUAAUAAUCUAUUUAUGGAAUUAAUAGAAUUAAUUUUGUUACAACUGUAAAUAUGUAGCUUUUGUGUUCCAAAAUAUGUAACCUGAUUGCUACAGUGAAUGUUUUGUAGAUUCAGUGAAGCAACUUCUGUUUUUUUCUUUUUAUCAAAAUCAAGUAACCUUAUUUGGACACAUGUGUUUUGAUAAGGAUUAAUUAGAUAUGGAAUUUUUGUAGACCAUUAUAUUGAAUGGUAUUCAAAAAAUAUAAGGGUUCUAUAAUUUAUUUAUUUUUUUAUAAUCUUGAGAUUUAUGUGCAUCUUAAUAUUAGAUCUUGCACAUUUUUUAAUUUUUUCUAUUAAUUUCUAUUCAUUUAUAUACUUGAUAUUGUAUGGUAGAUGAAACAAAUAUAUUUAAAGUGCAAAAAUAUAUUUGAAUCAAAUAGCUUACAAUCAGGUGGUUUGAAUCAUGAUUACUAUUGCAAAAUGAUUUGAUCUGAGUAACUACAUGAAAGUCUAUAUAUAAUCAUCAAUUAUAUAAAACAACUUAGGUAUAAUAUAACGAGACAAGACAAAGAAGCCUUCUCAUUAGUGCCUAAUAACACAAGUUAAUGCUAUAUAUAUAUAUAUAUAUAUAUAUAAUUCUCUCAAAAUACUAUAUCUCUACUAGUUUUGUACCAAUAAAUAUAUUAGCACUAUCUCUACCAAAACUUUAUACAAUCAUUUGAAUGAUGUAGGGUGAGAAAAAUGUUAUUGAUAAAUAAAAGGACUCAUUAAGUUUAUUGUCCUAAUUGACAUCCAAAUUAUAGUUUUUUUUUUUUUUUUUUUUUUUUUUAAUCUACUUGUAACUUUCUCAUGUCCGGUUUAUUUGAAGGGAAAAGAAUUUAAAAAAUAAAACAAAACUGGGUAUUUGUUAGAACGUGUUCAGUUCCAAUGCACUAUUUAACUUUGAGGGUAUUUCAAAAUUUGCAUUUAAACUUAUUUUUAAAUGUUUAAGGUUUUAUUGGUUACAUUUGAAGUUUAAUUUGCAAAGAAAAUCACAAAUCCAUCAUAUGGUGAUAGAUUGAAUAAAUGAAAUUUUUAUCCUUUGAUCAUUGUUUUUAUUUUUCUUGUAAAAAAACCCAAAAUCAAAUGCAUUUGUUUAAGAAAAAGUUAUGAUUCUUACUUAUUUAAUAUGUAUAUGUAUAUUGCUAUAAUUUUCAAAAUAAGAAUAACAACAAUAACAAUGUAAAAAAAAAAAAAAAACAAACAAAACAAAACAAAACUGAGGUUAACCAUUCCAAUCAGAACCAGCGCAUUAUGAAGAAGAACUUCAUGAAUUUACACUUCUCUUUGUUUGUUAAAUAUUUGCAAGAGAUGUAAAAACUUUUCAAAUCUUUGUGUUCAACUUUUUCCGUGUAUAAUUUCAUGAUUUUACGAACUUAUGAAAUUAUGUAAGUAAAUCAUGAAAUUAUAUAAAGAAAAGUUGUGAAGAAUCAUAGUUUAGUUUCUAGAUUACCAAUCUCAGGAGAACAACAAAACCGUGGCCAUUAAUUUCUUUUAUCAAAUCAUCCAGGUCACAAUCUUGCAGCGUGAACUGUCCUUCAUAAACAAUAAACAAUAAAAUAUGUUAAAAACUGAUAUGCUAUAUCAAGGUGCAUGAAUUGCUACUCAACCACAUCAACAUAACUCAAAAAGCUUUCACUUACUUAACUGCACACCUAAAAGAUGUCCAAAAAAUAUUUACAAUUAUACAAAUAUAUACAUACAUGAUUAUAAACCAAAACCUAAGGAGAUUUAAACCAUACCCUCAAUCACCUCUAAUUUUAUCCAAAAGAUGCACAACUUUGCACUAAAAACCUCAAUAAAUGUGUUCCUCGCUUUGUAGAAGCAAAUUCAAUGAAUAUGAAGGAGGUACCAUGUAACACCUUUUGUAAGAAUUGAGUCUUAAAAAUGUAAUUGUAAUGGUAUUGUCAUCCACUCAUGAGUUAAAGCUUCCCCGGACAUAUCUUUCCCUAAUACAAAAUUGUGCAACACAUUGAAAAUCAUAUAAUAAAAUUGACAAGAAUAUAAAUAUAUAUAUAUAUAUAUAUAUGAUUCAUAUAGAAAUUUUAUGACACAAACAAAAAAAAAACUAUAAGUAUUUAGGGAACAAUAAAUACAUCUAUGAAGAAAAGAGUUGUAGUGAGGAAAAGGUUCUUCAAGGUCUUUUCGAAGCUUUAACUAAUGAGAGGAUAUUGUCAACAUGCACAAUUACUUGCAAUAGCAGAAAUGUUGGGAAAAUGUUUAUUCACCAUAAUUUAAAAACUAUAAAAAAUUAAAAAUUAAAAACUUGUAAAGCACUUGUGUGUGUGAAUAUAUAUAUAUAUAUAUAUAUAUAUGCAAAUAUAUAUCAGAAAAGCAUCAACAUGAAUAUUUAAUGAUGCAUUUUUAUAAAAUAAAUGUAAAAAUGAAUAACAAGAUGUUCUUUAGAUAAAUAUUAUUUAAAGAGAUUUACUUUACUUGGAUUGCUGCUGGACUAGUACCAACCAUUAUAGCUUUAUGUACAUACCUAUUAUUAUUAUUAUUAUUAAUACAUUUUUUUUAACUCAUUAACAAUACACUCUCAAACGUGGUGUCACCUUUGUAAUCUAAUUUUAUUCAUUUGUAUACUUUGUACACUUGAAAAUUGCAUGAUUGCUUUGUAUAUAAUAUUUAAGUUUUGUUUGGAAUGUUGAUUCAUCGUGAUUUUUAUGAGUUUUUAUGAUUUUUAUGAGUUUCUGAUGUCAACGAGAAUUCUGAUUCUCAAACCUCGUAUGUCAUUCGUGCAUAUGGGCAUAAAAAUUACAAAAUUUUAGUGUGCAAAACCUUUAAAUAUAAACUAUAAUUGAUUUCUACAUAAUGAUUUUGCUACCAAGUAAUAUAACAAUGUUAUCAUUGUGUUUAAGACCACUCUAAGUAGCCCCUUCCUCCACUUAAGCAAUCAUGCAAUGUAUAAAAUAAUUUUAAUCUAUCAUAAAUUACUGAUAUUCAUUUAAAUCUUAUACAUAUACUCAGUAAUCAAUAGUAACAUGAUAUUAAUAUUUUGCAAAAAUAAUCUUGUAUUGUCAAUACAAAGUAAACAUAUACAUAAAUGUUUUAAACAACCUAAAUAAUAGAACUUCAUUUGGAAUGCACUUAAACAACACUGUCUUAAACAGAAUCAAUGUGAUCUUAAAAACAUGAUUAGUACAUAACAAGGGAGGAUGCUUUAAUAUGAAGCACCCACUUCUACAACAUGGUCCUUCAAAACCCAACUCAAUCUCAAUGCUUUGAGAUGCAUUGUGAAACUCAUAACUAUUUCAAAAUGCUGCAUCACAUCAAAGCUUCAAACUAUGUUGCAAUACCUUUUACAAACAAAACUUGUGUCUUAUCAUCUUCGGAUCACACCAAUUGGUUGCACAACAUGAACCUUGUAUUUGAAUCCUUUUUUUUUCUUCUAUUCAUCUCUUCAAUCAAAUAACCAUGUAAUAAAUCAUGCAAUGAAGUUAGGUAUAUGCAAAUUAUGCAAGUGGGUUUGUUUGCAAUUGUAGGUCAACUUGGAGCAUUUUAAGAAUCUUGACAUGUGUGCUCAAAAUCAACUUUGCAUAAUUUACAAUACAAUUCCAUCCACCAACAUUAUAAAUUAGGUAGAAUAUAUAUAUAUAUAUAUAUAUAUUUCAUUUUAUUUUAGAUAUGAAAGUAUUGAAAAGAUUUCAUACAAAUUUAUGAAUAUAUAACUUAUGAAUAUAUGAUCUUUUAUUCAAAACCUUCCCUUUAUGACUUUUAAUGCAUAUCUAUAAAUGAGGUAAAUUUGAUUAAAUUUAAUCUUUAUAAAUUCAUAUUGACAAAUGUGAAUAUCUUUUUUCUAUUUGCCUAUCACUUCAAGUUCUGUAACCAUUAAUAUAUAUAUAUAUAUAUAUAUAUGUAUGUAUAUCUGAAUAAGAAAUAAACUUAAAAGACCUCUACAAAAUAUUAAUGAUCCCAGUUAUACAUAAUUCUUAAAGAUCUUACAUUAUUGUUCUAAAGUUGCUAUUACAAAGUAAUCAAUUAUGCUCCAUUAUUGUAUCACCAUCCAGGAUCGUGAACAAUAAAUUCUGUUUAUAGCUACAAAUAUUUUGCUAAGCAAGUAUAGAUACUUAAAAACUCUCAAACUAAAAUUGUUUUUUAUUUGUUAAUGCACAUUCUUAAAGUUGAUCUAAACUUAUGUUUUGACUUUUCAUGGAAAGCUUUAUCUCUCUCUCUCUCUCUCUCUCCCUUUCUACAGAUAUAUAUAUAUAUAUAUAUACAUACUAGAAAAAGCUCAUGUAGCAAGCUAAAUGAUUGUGUAACCAUUGCAAUAACCUUAAAUCAUUCAUAUUUGUAUAUAAAAGAAAGAUGUGUUUGUGAUGAAAAUGUAUUACAAAAAAGUUACCAAAAAAGUUACCAAAAAUCUAUUGCAAUCUUUAAAAGUUGUACAGCCAAUCAGCCAAUCAGCCAAUCAGUGAUUAUUGUAGACACAAUGACAUACACCAUUUAUAUAUAUAUAUAUAUAUAUACAUAGAUAGAUAGAUUCACACAAUAUAUAUUAAAAAAAUUACAAUUUAGACGCAAGGAUGAAAAUAUAUACAUAUAUGAAAAUUUGGAGAAUUAAUGAAGUUAAAUGCUUAAGGAAAGUUUUGGGUUUGGUCUUUAAUGAUGUAACUUUAAAACUGAAGUGCAAAUAAACAAGCACCUUUGUCAUACACAUUAUUCCACCUACCAGAGAGUUCCAUCAGUUUCUUCACAUACACAUCACUUUUGUACGUACAAUGCAAAAGCAAAACAAAAUAACAAUAUCAAAUACUUAGGCAACAAAAGAAUAUUCAAACCAAUGAUUUCAAACUAUUCCAAAAUAAAAUAAAAAUACACGUUCAAGGAAUCCUUCAACAUAUUACUAAACAUAUUAUUAGGAAUAUACAAAUUAAACGGAAUAAACAUGAUGUCUGACUAAUUGUUAAGAACCCACACUGAUAUGACCUAAUUUAAUAGCAAACUUGGAGAAUUUCAGUUUUAAUAUUAUUUUUAUUCACGUGAUCGAGAAUAUCUUCAUGGGAUUGUGAUGCCACCAGUGUGAAAAGGCUCCUACAUGAUAAGUUCCACCAGUAGGAGAUAUAGUUUAAAGUCGUAAAGCCAACUUUAAAGGUAAAUAAAAAGCACCUUUAAAGGCUAAGGGCACGAGUUUAUUGACUUUUUCCCAUGACGAAGCGGAGCCAUGUUCUAUAGAUUAACCAAACCCUACCGGUGGACAAAAAGCAAAAGGAGCGAUACUACCCCCCCCCCCCGCGACUUUUUCAUGCCGACCAAAAAGACCCGAGUGUUUGUCUUGAAUUACCCUAACACCGUGGACGUGCAUAAAAGCCUAUGUAUACGUGGCACAUAGGGAGUGGAUGCGGUUAAUGGCCCCGCUGAAGGGAGGAGUCGCGGUGAAGGGGGCCUCUCCAACCCCGCGCUUUCGUUUCGAACCCCGCGCUCAAGGCCUCACUUGGACCAUUUCUUCCCUUCGCCCUCGGAUUGUAUCUCCUGGUGCUGGUUCGUGAUUCUGCGUCGUCGAUUUCUCAUCUCAACCAUGAUCGCAAUUACGGGGAUUGGGAUGGUGGUGGUGGGGUCGGCGCCACGGGCGAACGCAAACGGCAUUUUAGGCUUUUACGGAUUUUCAAAAUUUCUGGUUCGCCGUCGAAGGGUUGCGAUGGAGUCUGGUUUCGUCGGAUUCGCUACGCAUGAACCGUAACAGUAAAGCUUUUUACACUCCCCCAGACGUUCACUCUCGGAUUACGUGUGUUGGUCGUAUAUUCAAUUUCCUUGGUGAUAAUGGGAACCCUAGGAUGACGUGAAUUGUCCCUGUGUUGCUUAAAUUUGGGCUGAAAGUUCGGCUGGUAUGGUUGUUGAGAGAGCCUUUGGGGUAAUUCGGAGGUUGUGUUAAACUUUAGAGAGAGAUUCGUGAUUGAGUAGAGGUGUUUGUGGUCAUUAGUUGUUGGAGAGCAGGUAGUUGUGUAGUUCAUUGAGUUCUGUGUCGUGCUGCGUCGCGUUGAGUGGCGAGCUGUGCGGUGGAGCGCGACGAAUAACUGCAUUAGAGCAAGAAUUUUUGGUUGCGUUUGGAGUUAGUGCGUUUUGAGGUCUGUAGAGCUAGACAAGUGGUUAGUCGACCGACUCUUGGUGACGAAUCGUUUUUCUGACAGGUUUCGAAGUACAGCAGGUGCGUCGUGUUUUUCUUUUCGCAGGUCUUUUCUUGUUUGGAGAAGACUUGUGUUUUUUGUAGGAGAGUGUUGUAUCUUGUUUGCAUUGGGGCUGGACAUGUCCUCCAUGGAACUCUCAUGAGGCGUUCGUGAGGUAGAGAAUUCCGUGGUGCACAAAGUAAGGGUGUGUAUCACGCACCAGCACCCAAGAUUUGCGCUUGGAAAAAUGGAAUAGAGGGACAUGAUAAUGGAAGAUGUUCAUUAUUGCUGUGAAUGCCUCUUGGUACAUUGUGGACAGGUCUCUUUACACGUUCAUGUCCAGACUCUCUUUCAGAUACUGUUCACUCGGUGUCUAAUUUUUUUAUUAAUGCCUUGUUGGAUUGUGUGCCGACCUGUGCUGUCGUUGGAACUCGCAACUAUAAGCUGUCUAGUCGCAGCUUUCUUUGCGCUUUUGCCCUAUGCUGCUGGUUCCUUUUAUUUGUUCUAUGUGUGGGAAACCUGUAAUGAAGAAGGAUUGUGUAGCGUCAGGUGGAUUUGUGUGUCAGUAAUUCUAUCUUCGCGAUUACCUGAGAGCACGGACUUGUGCGCAGUCAAAAUGCCUGGACAUCAUCACAAGAAGAAUCGACACAAGACAAAACACCCUGAAACUCAUGAGAAGACGAUGAGUCCUCGCCAGGAAGCGGGCACUGGCGGUCUCAGGGUGGAGACGAACUAUUCUGAGAAGAGUAACAGUCAACCAGCUAGCCAUGGAGCUAGCGGAGAUGAGGGCGAUUCUUUGGCAUCGACCAACUCUACUCCUCGGUACCCACAGAACGGUCUGGUGUCUUGGGAAGCCUCUGCGUCUCCACGCUCAUUGUCUCCUCGUGUCGCAGGUGUGUCAACUUUGUUCUUCUGCCAAUAAUUAGACAUCUUUUUUCUUUCCUCCAAAUUGACUGUUAUAAGUUGUUACUUUGGACCUCACAAGAGUGGUCGUGUAACUUGGGUUCUGGGUGGUAUAGCUGGAGAAUUUCUGCUUCAUAUUAGACACUUUUCAUUUCUUCUAUUGACUGUGCUUGUUCGAGCCUUCUUUACCUCGUCGCUGGUUCUGGAGAUUCCACCCUCCGAGACUUCAUACUUAAGCUGUAUAUAUAGGAUAUUUUCAGUUUUGGAAACUUAAUUACUAACCACCACUUCAUUCGCACUUAGUUUGUUCAAAGAUUGUCUUUCGCUCGAGAAAGACUGAGCUGAUAUGAGAAUGUUGGGGAGCAGAGAGACCGUCGGCCUCUCCGAGACGUAAGGCAUCGACUGAACGUGCUGACUCCUCCAAACCUCAGUCAGCUCCACCUGCUGAAAGUCCCAGGACGCAAAUCCUUCACGACUUGAAUGACAAACUUUUGAAGGAAAUCAAAAGUCUUCGAGCUGAUAAAGACAUUCUUUCAAAGAAGAUGGCUCAAUUAGAGGAGAAAAUCAAUACGGUAAGUGGUGCACUUCUUUUUCACACCGCUGGCUUUCUGCUGCAUAUCUCGUGUCGCCAGUACAUAUUGAAUUUGAUCAAGGAAUAUCGCUGUUUGACUGGGUGGCAACCGGUUUGUUGUCUAAAUUUUGCAAUUCAGAACCCUUAAAUUACUCAAAACACUGAUUUUCUAUACUAAGGAUGACGUGUCUUGUGCAUUUUUCGUGGCUGUUACUCCUUCAUUUUAAAUCUUCCCAUAAAUUUCCGCAUCAGUGCUUCUUCUGUUCCAUGCACAGGACUUCCAUAAUGUUACUUAUCAUUACUUGUAAAUUUUCAAUGCCCGUUCCCGUCAGCAACCCAAGUAGCUGACAUGAGCGUUUGCAGGCAAAUGAGUCUGAAGAUAAGACCGUCGUCCCAUCUUCUGAACGCCCUAUCGUAGCCGAUGAGCUGAACAAGCAUCAAAUAUCAGAAACUGAGUUUAUUGCACUGAAGGAGUUAGCUGCAACUGCAAGUGUUGAAAAAGACGCACUGGUGAAGGAAAAGAGUUCCUUAAUCUCUGAAAUCAAAGACUUGGAAAAAACUGUAUCUCAAUCUAGGGACGAACUUAAGGAGGCUAAGAGUUCGUCCUCUGCUGCAAACGACAAGAUCAUUGCUCUGGAAAAAGAGAUGGAGUCCUUGGAGAGGGUGCGUGAAGAAUUGGCUGGUUUGAGAGGAAAUUUUUCUAAUCUCAUUGAGGAGAGAGAUUCUCUUGUCUCCGAGAAGAAGCGCUUGGAAGAAACUGUGUGUAAGUCUAGAGAGGAAUUUGAAGAGGUGGAGAGGUCUUCUACUGCUUCAAACGAAAGAGUUGCCAUUCUGGAGAAAGAGGUUGAAUCUCUGGUGAGGUUACAGAAAGAAUUGGCCGAGUUAAGACGAAAUGCUUCAAUGCUCAAUGAGGAAAAGUUAUCCUUACUAGAGGAGAGAGAUAGUCUUCUGUUAGAGAAAGAAGAUCAGAACAACCGCUUGUCCUCACUAGGCAAGGAGCUUGAGGAAGCCAAAAAAGCUGCUGGUGCUGCCAAGGACGAGAUCAAUUCUUUAACGGAGAAGGUGAAUUCGCUCGCUGCCGAGAGUGAGGAACUUCGACAGUCGCAAAUGAAUUUGAAAGACAAUGUCAAAGAUUUGACUCUAGAUAAAACUACCCUUUUGCAAGCGAAAGAGACCCUUACAAAGGAGAACGAAAGGCUGCAGCAGGAGAUCAGGAACACUACACAUGAGCUUGAGGAAGCUGAGAAGCGUUCCUUGGCUGCUAAAGAACGUGUUGAAACUAUGGAGAAAGAAGCUAGGUCAUUAACGUCGACUCUUGAGGAGUUUCAACGAGAAUUGGCGGGACUUAGGGAAAACGUCUCAGAGUUAAGCCAAGAAAGAGAUGGUCUGGUCAAAGAGAAAGACUCCCUCGUUUUUGAGAAAAGGUUAUUGGAAGAUAACCUGAAUAGAUCCAGCGUAGAGAUAGAGGAUGCUCAGAGGAUGAAACAGACUUUUGUAGACAGAGUAGAAGCUCUGGAGAGAGAGGUCGAGUCACUGAAGCAAAUAAACAAGGCACUCGUUGAUUUACAGAUUCCGGAAGAAGAAUUUGUGGCGUUGAAGGAAGAGGCUUCUAGAUUGUUGCACGAGAAAUCCGCAGCAGAUGAAGAGAAGGUUGCAUUAUCUUCUGAGAAGAAGGAGCUUGAGGAUUUUCUCUCGAAAUCAAGAGAGGAGCUUGAGAAAUUUAAAGGACUUGACCUUGCCGGUCGGGAAACGAUAGCUGGUCUGGAGAGUAACUUGCGAAGACUUGAUGCAGAUCUUUCAAGGACUAAGAUGGUACUCAUCCCUUUCUCGUCAUGAGCCAAGUUUUGAAUCUUUCUACCUGUUUACUCUCUUUUAAUUCGUCCUUGAUUGGUCACGAGGCAUCUGCUUAGACUUUCUUUUUUUUCUUUUUUUUCUUUUAAAUUUUUUAUUUUAUUUUAUUUAUCGUGUGAAGUAUAGCACGUCUUUGUACAAAUUGUAUGUUGCGAGUUUUUUUUUUUUAAGAAAGCUGAAUAUGCUAUUGUGGUUCGUUCUUACAGGCCGUUGAGGAGCUCGAGGUCGAGAAUGAGACAUUCAAGAAGGAGAAUGCUAGGCUUGAAGGGACUUUGGCAGAUGCUCACUCACAGAAGGAAGUUUCUUGCAAGGAGAUCGAGAGCCUUGAGCUGAAAGGCAAAGAGUUGAGCGCAGCGGUAGAGUCUCAUAGCACCACUAUCUCAGAAUUGCGUGCAGAGCUCGCUGAUGCGAAAGAAAAGUCGUCCGAGCUUGCUAAGGUUCUGGAAAAGGAGAAAAGUAUUCAAGAGGAUGCGGUGGCUAAAGUUUCACUCUUGGAAACCACUAUUGGUUCCUUAAAGCAGGAACUUGAAAAGGUGGAACGACAAUCAGCAGAAGCUUCUGAAUUGGCUGAAUCUAAAACUAAGGAGUUUGGUGACGAAGUGGAGCGCCUUGAAAAUAUGAUUCUGCAAUUGCAAGAUGAAUUGGGAGCCAGUCGGAAGAGAGCAACUGAAGCAGAUGGAACAUUGGCUACAAGGUCUAGGGAGUUUGGUGAGAAGUUCCAGCAAUCAGAGACCCGGUUCUCAAGUCUGCAAGAGGAGCUGAGCGCUGCUAAAGCUGCUGCAGUGGAGGCCGCAGCAAGGCUCGAAAUAGAGCAGGGAAUUUUUGAUUCUCACACCUCGGAACUAACAAAAAAGUUUGAAGAGUUGCAGAGCAGGGUCGAGAUUAUGGAAAGUCAGCUGCAGACGGAAAGACACGAGGCAGAGAAGGCUGCUCAAAGACAUAAAGAAGAUGAGCAAGGUACGAUUCCUCUCAUGCUUGCCUAUCUGAAUCUUUGUGCUAAUGUUUGGUGUGGUUCAUGGACUUCGGGUGGGAAGAGCAAUGGCAUGCGAGGAGUCUAAAGUGCUGGUAAGAUUGGAGUUGCUUUAGAUGAAAUCUCAUCGAAAUAUUCAAAGUUGGUGUAAAGAUGAUUUUAUAUGUGAUCGUAGUCCUAACUGGUUGCUAUCCACUGGAAUACUUUGCAGCCCUUUCCUCGAAGUUCUCAGUUGCUACUGCUGAGAACGAUAAGCUCAAGGCUGAGCUGAAUUCCUCUUCGGAUAAGAUUCAAAUACUGCAAGAUACAAUCGCAACUUCACAAGCGAACUGUGAGGAACUUGCCGCUGAACUCACGGAGCUGAAGCAUGUGAGGGACAAGUCUGUGGAGGUAAACUCAUGGCAAUCCCAGGUUAAGACCCUGGAGGAAACCUUAGAGACCGCCAAAUGUGAAAGUGAGAGGAAAGAAAAGAUGUACAAAGAGCUGGAACUGGCGAAGGAUAUAUCUGACAAGAAAACAGAUACUACCAAGUACAUUUUGCCAGCUGCAACUGCAACUGGAGCAUUGGCUGCCACAGGGCUGAUGCUCAUCCUGAAGGCAAUUACUCGCCAGCAGUGACUGGUAGGAAUCGCCAGCGCUCCUAGGAAUAGACUCAGUUAUUGACAAGGCCAAUUACUUGGGGUGUUAUGUUCAAUUCGCUACCUCCCCUUCGAGCUGAUUUUUUCCUCUCUCUUCUGUCUAGUCGGGGUCUAGGACUACAACCGAGAAAAACAAGUAUCCCUAUUUUCUUUGGUACUGUACCUACACUUGACACAGUAGUCUCAAUUCCUUAACGAUGGAGACCGCAAAAUGCUGUACUGUGCGAUUCCCACAGAAGAGAGAGUGUGCGGUGAGACGUGCAUUUAACAUCCUUCCAGGCUAAUAUUCACACUUUGUAUUUUGUCACAUGAAUCACCAAGUUCAUAGAACCUCCUCAAGAGUACACUUCAUCAUUUGAAUGGCGUCUGAUUGUAUCGUGCUCAGAAUAGUCGACUUUUUUCCCCUGCUUCCUCAACUCAUCCGUGCAAUGUCCCUGAGCAAAUUCAACUUCUUUGUAUUAUCGCAUGUAGCAAAAGCUUGAGCUGAUUCUCUUUCCCAAUUAAACUACAUCAUAUCGUUGCCUUCAUUUAUCUGUUAGACAUGAGUGGGAAAGUAUUGCAACUGUGGUAAAUUGUGGCCUUUGAACUUUCAUUAUUUGUAAUGUACUAUGCAAGAAGAUAAGAAUGCUAAGCCUUUAGGCACCUUACAUGAUAAAACACCAAUAAAUUGAAGUGGGAUGGAUUUAAAUACUUGAAAUAGUGAACUUAAAUAAAAUGUGUAGCACUUAUGCUAAGUUUCUGUGUAAAACAUAUCAAACAAUGAAUAAAACUUUUAUGACAAUAAAUUUCAAAAUUUGGAACUCUGAUGUGUACAACAUAUACAUAAAAAAUAUCAUGUCUAAUUCAAAUCAAUUACAUGAAUUCAAUUUGUUUGGAUAUAAUAUUUAAAUAUUUCUAAUAUAACAAUCUUGUCAUUGAAUUUUCCUUUUUAAAGUGAUACUUCAUUUUCUAUUUAGUAAAUAUUAUUCUUAUUUGAACAACUAAUUUCGUUGCAAACUAGAUUGUGGUUACAGAGGUUGUACAACCAUAAAAUAUUACAAAUUAAGUUUGAGCUUCAUUUUCUUAUUCUUUAAUUCUUAUAUUAUAUAAAUCAUAUAAAUCUAAUGCUUUUAUUAAUUAUUGUGAUAUAUAAACAAAGCUACUUGUGUUCUAAUACCUCCAGUGAGUGGCACAUAUGAGAGCUUAAGAUUGUUGUUAAUAUCCAAUCUAGACUAUGCUACUACAUUAUCAUAGAUUAUUAAGUUACAUUAUAGAACUCUUGAAUUCCAUCUAACUAUUAUGUUAGUUCUAACACCUAGCAUAUUUUAAAUCAUCCAUAAUUUGUUCUAUAGUCUAAAGAAUGUCACAAUUCUUGGGUUGUUUUUUUUUUUUUUUUUUUUUUUUUUUUUUUUUUUUUAAUAUACAAUCCCUUAUAAAAUGAGCUUAUAUUUAAAUAACUUGGUCCACAUCAUUUUUUUAGUAUAGACAUUACUUUGUUACUUUUCAAAAUAUAUAUUGUAAAAGCCAAAUAGUCUAUAAAUAUAAAUAUCCUAUCAGAAGCAAUAUGGAGUUAAGUUAGUAAACUUUAAAUAGAAAUAUACAUGCAAAAAUUGUUUGUUGCUAUUUAAGAAUCUUUUUAUAAUUUCCAAUAUUUUGGAUCUAAGAACUAAGUUGUUUAGAAGAAACAAGGUACAAUUUUAGAUUCCUUUUGUUUGUAUGCAUUUCUAAAUUUUGUAUAUAAUAGUUCUUUGCUAGCAAAGAAUGCAUAGAAUGCAACAAUCAUGUAUGUUAAAGUUUAUUUAACUUCUUUACUUAUCUACUGCAAUUCCUCUUUGCAAAAUGAACCAUUCAAGCAUUUUUCUUUCAAAAGCUAUGAGUUUAAAUCAAACAUCUUUUUACUUAAAAUAGAGAUAAGAAUUAGCAUUAUAUAUAUAUAUAUAUAUAUAUAUAUAUUUAUGUGUAUAUAUAUUGGUAAUGCUUAAAUCCCGAUUUUUUUGAUUUGUAGGAACUAAUUUCCUGCUCAAAUUUGUUGUAUAAGUCAUUAGAUGUGUUUUUAAGGAUUAAUAGUAGGUAUUAGAAUUGAGCUUUAAAUAUUUUUUUUAGUUCAAUAUUUAAAGAUUUAAUUUAAUUUAAUUUUUUAUAUAUAUUUUUUUAUUGAACCAUCAAAAAAAUAUAUAAGAAUGUCCUCUUGAUAAGUAUAGUUUAUAUCUAAACAAUUCAAAUCUUUAUUUGUUAAUGCUAAGAAAUUUAUACUAGUAGUUUAAGAUUAACAAAUAAAAAUCCUUCAAAUGUUUUAAUUAAGAUUCAUGAAUAACUUUGUAAUUUUUUAUAAGUUAGUUGGACUUAAAUUAAUUUUGAAAAAUUUCAUCACAAUUGAUUUCUGUCAAAUAAAUAAAUUGAACAUAUCUUUAUUUGAAAGAAUUCUUAAACUACAUUUCAAGUUGGAACAAGACAAAACUUACUUUGAUUAAUACAAGAAUAAGAAAAAGAAAAAAAAAAUGGAUCUAAAAUUAUUAAUUCAAAUAAAACAUAAUAUUUUAUUAAGUUAAGAAAUUACCAAAGACAAGAGUGGUUUUUUUUCAAGUUUGUUGUAUAUUUACAGUACUUCUAAUUAACCACAAUGGCUAAUUUUUUUUCUUGGAUGGCUACUUAAUUAUUUUGACCUUAUUUUUUUUUAUCCAAGGAUUUGGUUCUUCAAGUGGAUUAGGCAUAUUUGAUUGGUCGUGAGUUAUUAUUCAAAUCCAAAUUAUCUACUAUUUAAAUCCUAGUAGUUUAGGUUCAUUUAUUUUCCAAACCUAAUUAAUCCAAAAUUAUCUAUUACUCAAAUCUUUCUAAUUUGGAUUAAUUUAUUAUCCAAAUCCUAUUAAUUUGGAUAAAAUGCCUUAUUAACCAAGCCAAUUAGCAUGAAUCAAUUUAUAACUUGUUGCAAGAGAAUCUAGUUAGUAUAAUAAACUAUUUUAACAAGAAUAUUGCAAAGAACUUUAUUUGACAUCCAAAUGUUUCUAUAGGUGCUUUAAUCUUCUUUAUAAAGAAAGAUAAAUAAUUUUUUGGAAAUAUAAGUAGAUUAAUAUGGACUUGAGAAAUUGAUCAUAUAAAAUUAUUGACUUUUAUUUUUUAUAUAGAGACAUUUUGACCAACUAAAUGAAGCUAAGAUUUGUACUAAAAUAGAUUAAUAUGGAGUUUACAAUCUUGUAUGUAUUAAAAAAUGAGAAUAGAUAUAAUAUUAUGUUCUAAAUUAGAUUUUGUUAAUUUAAAUAUAAUGUCAUAUCUUUUGCAUUUACUAAUACUCUUGUUACUUUCUAACUUUUGAUAGAUGAUUUAUUUUGUGAUCUCUUAAAUUAAUUUAUUGUUUAUUAUGCAAAUAAUAUUUUUAUUUAUUCUAAAAAUGAAGAAAGACAUAUACAACAUGUUUACCUUAUAUUAUAAAAACUUAGAGAUGCAAGACUAUACUAAGAUGAAAAAUUGUAUAUUUCAUCAAUAUAUGAAAUACAUAAUUUAAAAUGAUGGUAUACAAAUAGAUUCUAAGAAAGUACACACUAUUAUAGAUUAGAUAGUUCCAAGAAUUGUAUAUGAUAUUUCAUGUUUUUAAGAACUUAUAACUAAUUAUUACAUAUCUAUAAAUAUUUUUUCUUAAUUUGCUGUUAUACUUAAAUAAUUAACUUAUAAAAAACUUGGAAUAGAAAAAAGAUGUAAAAUCAACAUUUUAAGGUUUAAAAACUACUUUUACUUGAAUUCUUAUUAUAUGUUUUGAUAUAUUUAAAUCAUUUUUAUUAAAACUAAUACAUCAAAUUGUGUAGUAAGUACAAUUUUAUUUCAAAUCAGUGCAAAUUAUAGGCAUUCUCUAUUUUUUAUUUUAUAAAUUUAUGAUUAUCAUAUAUGUUUUCAUAUAUUUUACUUUAUAAAAGUUUAAAAUUCAACGACAAAAGGUUUGGCAAGUAGAAUAGCAAAACUUUGAGUAACAAAUUAAUUUGGACUAUUAAUUCAAUUGUUAGUUCUAAUGUUUGAAAUCCAAGUUACUAUAAGUAACUUAUGAAGGUUUAAAGAUAAGAAAUAAAAUAUAAAAAAUAAAGUAAAUAUGUUUUACCACAAGAAUAAUUUAUUUAAGAGAUCAAGAUUUUGAGCUUCACCAAAACUCACAACUAAUGCAUAUAAGUAUCCUAAAGACAUCACAAGACCUUGGUCUAAUCUUCCUACCUUCAUCUAAGGUGCUACACUCCAUAUGAGACGUGCACCUCGCUUCUUACAAUUGCUAUACUAACUGCUCAUCCUCCAAUAUAUGUAAAAACAAUUUAAAUUGUGUUGAGUUAGGAAGCAAUGAAAAGAAAAUGUUUAGUAUAAAUUUUAUAAAGUCUUUGCAUAUAUUUUGUAAAGAAAUUUGACUACAAUGAUUGAUCUCCAAUUAUUUGUUUGAGAAGAAAUAGCAUUUUGACAAUGCUCAAGUGUUUGAAAAGAAAUGGCAUUUCAGCAUAGUUCAAGAUGUGGUUGUGUAGGGCUUAAGCUAGAAAUAUAUACACCCGGAGCAUAAACGAUCACACCUAAUGCUGGCAAAGCUGAUUCAAAUUCAUCGGUUUCAUAAUCUAUAAAUCCACACAUCGAAUGUAAGAAGGCAGAAAAGGCUGUAUGAGAUCUACAAAUUUUACAUUGAGAUCUAUCCAUUGAACUGGCAAUCGGGCACUUACAAAGACUUCCUGAGAAGGAAAAGCACAUUCCGUGCAUUUAGUAUACACCAAAGCUAGUUACUUCAUUAUCCUGAAGACACUGUAAAUUAAUGUGUUCAAAUUUCAACAAACACAGUUUUGUCUAAUGCGCUCCUGAGGGUUCCUUGAAGACCAUUGCUAGUUCUUCAAUCUUAACUGAAACUAAAAAGCCUUGCAACUAAAAGCUAAGAAAUCAAAAUAGAGAGUGAGUCUUGCUAAGGAGUAGCCAUCCGUCCCACUUCCAUGGGUUCACGUCGGGGCUGAGGAGAUAAAAACCGUAAGCCAUGGCGGCACCAGCUGCCAACGUCAAUGUAGCACUUGCACAAGAGGGGAAGGAUGACAGCUUGCCCAAAAUAGCUUUGCAGUGGCCAUCUGCAAUCUUCACCUGAACCUCCAAAUCGUGGUUCUUUUGAGGGUUCGCCAAAAUAGUUUUGUGCUGUUCAUGCAGAGAUUAAACAUUAGAUGCUGUACAUGGAAAGGACCUCGAAAGAAAUGAAAUGAAAAUUCACGUUCUUGAUAGAUAUAAUAAAACCACCCCGACUCCAAUCAUUUAUACAACAAGGUACUUACCUUAACCCUAAAAGCCUGAACAGUCUUCUUUAACUGAGUGAAUGGAGCAAGCCGAUGUGAAACCUCCUUAAACUCCUGCCUAAUGAAACUCAGCACGUAGUUACUUGCUUUCAAAUUAUCCAGAUGCAGCUUUUCCUGCAAAAAUUGAAAAGAUGCCGUGUCAUCAUUCCUGUCGCAAGCGUUGAUUGUGUCAAGGAACUGCAAUAAUUCCUCUGAAAACAUCUGUUUACAGAACUGAAGGAUUAACAGGUGCGUACCCAUUGUUGAUAACAAUCACUGUUCUGAGACAAGCACCAGAUGAAGUUACUGCAUGCCUCCUGUGAAAGGGACUCCACAUCUGCGUACAAAUAAAGAUGUGAAUGAUCCUUAUAAUUUACAUUCAGGAGGCAACAUAUCAUAGAAGCAGGAAGAUCUUCUACCUUGUGAUAGAGCAGCGACACUAAGAGGAAGGAGCUGCUGAGCCACAGGUCGAGUAGUUUUGCUGUUUUGUAAACCUGCUAAUGCAAGCUCCUUAAUAAUUGGGUACACAGUUUGAAACCUAUCUGCAGCCUGCAUCAGAUAUAAAUGCACCGUCAGAGAAUGAUGGAAAAACUUACAGAAAACAUGAACUCGAAAUAUACUAAAAAGCGUGAACGAAAAUGAAAACAUAGAUAUAGCUACAUAGAAGCAGUGUGGUGCAAAGCGAUUGCAUUCCAAACAAGGCAGCGAUUUUAUAGGCUGAUUAAAACACUAAAAAUUUCGACGCUAAAUGCAAACUGUACCUUAGUCCGAGCAGACUCAGCGGGAAAAGAAGCCCGCAUCACAGAAUCAAGAGAAGCAGCUGGAACUAAUCGUUCGCCUUUCCUCGAAACUCCAUUAAGAAGCACAGGACGAGCCUUCUUAAGGUUGGCGAACAACACACUACGCACACCAACGUAGCAAGUAUUCGCGAAAUGAGACUUUCUAUGUUUGGAAUUUGUAAGUGUCAUUCAAAAUCAGCCUCUCAGACUACAUUCACAUAUUACCUGAUAAGAAACAUAAAGACAGACCAGAGAAACAUAAACCCUAGAAAAGAAAAAGAAGAAUCAUUCGCAACCAGGGCCAACUAAAGAGUGAGAAUAUCCUUACCUCUCAAUAAACUGCAGCACAGUGUCUCGCAAAGCAGGCGUACUGGACUUCCCAACAGCGAGAGGCAAGAGAUUGUGCACCCACAAAGACAUUCCUAUAACCAGGUCCCCUUGGGCAGCCUAUCAAACACACCAGGCCAAAAUGUGAACGAUUGGCACAAAGCCCUCCGAGUUUUAUUUUAAUCAGAGUGGGGUUCAAAACUAUCAAUCGGGGUCACACGAGUUGAUGUCCUACCUGAGAAUAAGCCCACACCAGUGUGGGCAAGUGAUCCGGAGCUUGAAAUUGAUUACGCACUGUUUGAGCUUGCUGUUGUAAAAUGUCAGGCCUUCUUCUCAAAAUUAUGGCAAGUAGAAUUAGGAUACCAACCUGUGUUAUUCCAAAAACAAAAGCUCGUGAACUGAAAACGGUGUAUUUCCCAAUCGCUACACAACGAACGUUGCAAAACCCUAUACCCUAUACCCUAAAAUGAUCUUCUUGCAAUAGUAAUUCAUAUGAACUGAAUGUUGCAUUUACCCCGCAACCCAAAAUGUUCAAAAUUAUUGCUACGCUAAAUACUUCGAUUACCUUGGUUUUCUGUGACGGAGUUGCAGAAACCUUAGAGCUCUUGUGAGAACCCGAGUGUGCAUGUGCAUCUUCGAGAAUCUCUUUCAAGAUCCAGAUCAUAAAAUCAGAUAAUGCGCCUGCAGGCCUUUGGGACAACCAGUCUGCCAACAUUUUGUUCACGGUCUCAGGGAUGUAGCAGAGAGGAAUCUGCGUAAUACACGCUAACUAUCAGUAAAAUGCAAUCAGCCCUACUUCCACUAAAAACACCGUCGUCACUAAUUCUAAAUGAAAAGGCGACUUAAAAUUAAUCCCACUGCAGAGGAUGUGCACAAUACCUCAAUUGAUUUGAUCAGGGGAGUUUCACGAAGAAUUUUAUUCCAUCCGAAUUGGGCAGUGCUCACAGCCGAAAAAGCGCGACCAAAAUAGUCAGCACAGCGGAGGAGCUGUACAUCAGGAAGGGUUGCAAAAGACUCCUAAACAAACACAACAGACGGAACGCCAAAGGGUCAACCAAGUAUACAAAAAAGUCGACCGAAACUUUCUUUAUCAUACUUGCUGUGCAUUAAGAACGGACUACAGAAGCCAAAGCCGGUACAAUGCACGUCAAACCCAAAUCUGUGAAAAAAUAAUAUCCAACUGUGAGAUACGGAAAACACUGAAGUGCAAACCCACUCCAGAUUGAUCCGCACUUAUCCAAUAUUCGUAUCAACCUUUCCAAAAUCAACCACGUUUCAGGUGGCUAUGCGAAAUUGCAAAGCAGAUGUUAAACCCUAGAACAUGUGCAAGUUGGCGUAAAGACAUGGAAAGAGAAGCGCACCGAGAUAUCGGACAGGAAGGUGGCCAAAUCCGAGGGAUCGAUGGCGGCUGCGGCCUCGGAAACUGACACUUUCGGCUUUUUAGGCUUCUUAACCUUGGGUUUCUUUGCAUCUGCCUCCUGAGCUGAACUCUCAGCUUUAGGAGCCUCCCCAUCGUCGCUCUCGUCCUCAUCAUCAAAGCCAGAUGUUAGAGGCGCAGCUAACCUGGCAUCGAGUCUGGCCCGCCGAUCUUUUGCUUCCAUCUCAAGGGCUUGGAACAGCUUCGAAUCAGACGACACCUUGGAAGCACCCUUCUCUCCAUCCUUCCCGCCCUUGGCUUUGGCAAUCUCCUGACGCUUCUGCUUCUUCGGAUUUGUCACCUUCUGCCACCCGUGGUCUACGUAGCCCCCGCCGUUUGCGUUGGCAUUUCCACUACCAUGGCUGGUUUCAGCAUCCAGACCCUCAAUCGCCAUCGCCGUCGCACAGAUCCCGCAAACCCCCAACCCAAAACCAAAACCCAAAUGAUACGCUGGACCUCAAGGUUAUGCACCUGCACCGCCACGGACAGUCUUACGACAUAUCAAUCAGACUCCGCAGUCCACUGGAUUAACAAAUAGAUAUCGAUUCUCUCGGGGAGGGACAAAAAAAAUGUGGAAAAAAAAACACACGGUUACUUCUGACACAGAUCCAUAACCUACCGUUCGACUCCUACUCCUUCCUCACCCGCUACACACUACCACCCAAGACAUACACUCAGCGGUGGCCAUCCUUCUAGCGCAGACCGAAUUCACGCGCUGAACCGAAUCAGCACCGCCUUCCGAUUUGUUCGGAAAUUUCAGAAAGAUGAAAGGGAAAACAAGCGGGAUGCGAUGGGUCAACACCUGCCUCCUCCCCCGGCCAACUCCACACGGUAACCUCAAACACUCCGAUCUACAUGAAGUGGGUCGAGACAGAGUCAAAGAGCUACACUUACCCGAGUUGUUGUCAACGAUGACACUACCACGAGGAGGCAGUAGCAAAGGCGGGACAAAGAGAAGAAUCACAGAGGGAAUGCGACGCAGCCGGCAAUAACCUAUUACAGAAAGUGGACGAGAUGGGCGAAGAAGGUCUACAAUCUGCACGGAGCACAAGGAAAACACGGGUUCGACGAAAAAGAUCCUCUUACGCACUUCGAUCGACGUGGCGGGCCACUAUUCGUAGCUUCAGGUGCCAUUCGCCAACAUGGCACCAUCUGCAGACGUCGAUUUCCUUCCAACUUUCAGUUUCCAGGGCAAUCGCGGUCUUCGACCCUUCAAGACGAGUUGAUGGUUCACUUUAUCCAGCGAUCUGUGCAGAAUCUGCUCUAGUAGGCUGUUCCGCGGAGUCGCAUUGUGGUGGCAAUAACCCAUUUCACCGCUCUAUCUAGUUUUAUCUUCGCAGCGCUCGGGUGAAGGCGCGUACAUCAUGACGACAACUUUGUACGUGAGCUCUUAUGUGCUUCUCUCUCUCUCUCUCCCCUGUCCCUUUGCGUUCUCCUUUCUCUUAACCAAUUUUUGCAAUUGGGUUUGUGCACCUUCUAUUCCGGAAUGAUAAGAUCACUUGUGCAAUUUUGUAUUAUUACAGCUGUUAAAUUCAAUAUACAGAUGAUGGUGUAGAAAUUGAUGAGAAUUGAGGGGGAUUGUAUGGAGGAUGCGCAGGGUUGAUUGUUUCACAGUAGGGAAUGGGAUGCAGGUUUGCAGCAUGUUCUUGUCAUGCACCGAGCACCUGCCUUGGCGUGUUAAAGCCAGAGAUGCAGGUGCCUUCUUCUUCCCCGGCAAGGUUCGGGGGUGUAUUUUCACCAGGUAAAGUGAGAGGGUAUGGAACAGUGGUUGGAUUGUUCAGCGACUAUUGCGAAUGGGGAAGGAGGUCCGCAUACCCGAAGAGGGAAAUAGGCUGGGCUUUGAACAGACGGCAGAUGCUGCUUGGCAGCAUUUUAAUCUCACCCUUGCGUCUCACAAAGGACGAUGUUGCACUUGCAGGUAGGUGGGUAUGUGUGGCCCUUGCACUAGUCUAUUGACGGGUUUUCUCUCGUUUUUGUUGUUUCAAACUCUCGAUCAGAUCUGCUGCAUGAUGACUAAACGUAGAAUUGAUGGUCUGCUGACAUGACAAAUAACUCACUAGAAUAUACUGGAAAAUCAUGCCAGGUGAGACACAAGACAUUGAGAGCAGCUCUCCUUCUGAGACUCAGGAGUCUGCCGAAAUUGAUACGUUUGGAUUCGAUGGGCUCGGUAGCAAGGAAGAUGAAUACGCAGUUGGCAAAGUUGUGGCUCUAGCACAAGCCGGCGAUGGCGCAGUCCUCUUUCUAGGGUUAGGAUCCUUUAUCUCAUCUCCUUCCAAUUUUCGAUCUUUGGUACCAUAAUUGUCACAUUAAUUUAGGAGUUUUGCAAUUACAUGAAAUCCCUCCCUACCUGCAGGAAUGUGGAACAGUAUAUUUUAUCACCAAAGUAAAGUUGUAGUCAAACGCAGGGUGGAUGGGUUUGAUCUUCCCCUUCAAUUGGUGAUUGGGGCUGCAGAGGCCAUGGCUAUAUUAACAGCAGCCCAGGAAAGGCGAAGUCGCAGACCAGCGACACAUGAAGCUUGGAGCUCUUCCCUUGCUGCUGUUGGCUGGAAGGUACAGCUCCAGUUUACCAAACGACGUAAAAUCUUGCUUGCCCAGCCACAAAAUUUUCAACAUAAUGCGGUUGAUGUGUGGCACCAUGCUUGUUCCAGGUUGAUCAUGUCACCAUCACCACCAAGGAGAGUGACGUAUUCUAUUGUAGGCUAGUGCUGUCUCUGGGGAAAAGCUUGGGAGAGGCAGCAGCCUCGGCGUCUGGUAGUGACCGCCUCCGAAGUGUGGACAUGCGUCCGUCUGAUGCCAUUGCGCUUGCCUUGAGGUGCCGAGCCCCUCUUUUUAUUAACAAAAAAGUAGCAGAGGAAGCUGUGAGCGCGUUGAUCAAAGGUAGUGACCCGGCCAAGAAGCCCUCUGAUGCUCUCAAUCGACCAGGCCUACAAGUUAAGUCGGCCACCGACACCCUCUCCAGCAAAUCCAUGCCGAACUUGGCUUGGCAACUGGAGUCAGGUCGUGAGCCACUGUGGGGAUAUAGCGAUGAUGUUUUGCUUAGCUAUACUGUAUAUAAUUCCUGAUGGAUUAACUUCCGGAGAUGAGUGCCAUUUUACAUCUGUAAUUUUGUAAAUUGUCAGCUCUUGAAAGGAAUUCGGCCUUGUAUUAUGUAACCAGUUGGUUGACAGUCAUGUAUACAACUAUAACUUUGUAGUAUCACACAGAGUGUGUUUGCGUCGCGGAUUGGAUUUCCCAGCAGGUAGAUAGCGUUACAUCGGCUGUACAAAAUUUCACGAGUUGAUCGUGUCCAAAUCUCAAAAGGGUUUGUGUUUUUUAACACUAAGAUAUGUUCCGAACUGUGUUUCAGUUCUGUUCUGUGAAUUAGCAGAAGGCUUUACAUCGAAGAAUGUAACGAACAAACUAAUCUUUAAAUGUUGUUCUUAGUUAUGCUCUCGAAAAGGCGGUUCCCAGUUAUUUGAUUGAUUGUAUAGUGCUUGCUACAGCGCAACUUCAGAGGAAUGUCCAGCACCGUCUUCUGAUUGCCCUUGAGAAACGUUGUCUUUGCAAGUUGGUUUCCUAUUUACAGUACCAACUGGAGGAUAGAGCACCAACAUUUUGAUUUUGCCAAAAGCCUUAAUACAUUAAUAUACCUACGUCAGUCACAAGUAUCAUACCAAGUAGCCUGCUCAGCAGUUGUGGUAAUCUGUGGAAGGAUUCAGAGCUGGUACCAAUCACACAUUCUUUCAGGUGCAUUACUAAAAAGUCAUACAAUAGAGAAUGAAGACCUUUAAUUUAAUCCUACGACGUACUCAACCUUUGAAAUUCGAUUAAAUACAUUACCACUAAAUCCCACAGUUUUGUCCUUCAAAGAAAAGAAACCAAACAUCAUUGAAGCAGAUAAAUUCAUAAAUCUCACGAAAGCCAUAACAAUUAACAAUGCAACCCUCAAAUAAAUAAUAGUGUAGUCUUUGAAUGUUCUGAGGUUUGCAGAGUUACUGCCACCAGCUAAUACCUGACAGUCACGCACUGAUCCAAGAGAGCCCUGUGUCCAGAAACAUGUACACCAGGCACAUUAUGUCUAUACAAGUAACCAAGGUCUUCUAACCUCACCACUAAAACUCGGGUGCCAACCAUGUAUUAAGACCAGAGAGCAAAUCCCGAUGUGAUUGCCGCAACCACUACAAGACAAUGGCUAAGCUCUUUCUCCUUGGAGCAUAGCAAGAAGCUCAGUAAACUCCUCCUCAUCAGCUGGUGCCACGGGGUCAGAUGCGUAGGAAUACAGCGAGGGACCAGGAAUGCUACUAAAGAAGGAUUGUGACGGGUGAUAUGUAUCAUGUUUUAUAGAAGACGUACCAUUAGAGUAUGGAACAGGAGAGCCAUUUAUGGAGGCAUAGUGACGUUUAGAAGCACUAGACGGAGAGGUAAAACCAUAUGAAGGAGACGGAGAGAAAGAACCUGUACCAGAAUCUAAUAAGUAAGAGUUUCUGUCCAACCCCGGAUCUGGAGAGUAACUACUGGUCUGGGGAAACAGAGGGCCAAAGUUGUAAAUUUGGUUCAAACUGUUCUGCAGAUGAGAAUUGCCACUAUGGCCCAAAGUAAGAUGAGAAAGAGAAGGGGCACUGUAUUGAGAAACUACGUGCUUAUUCAUCUCAGGUGACGGUAUACUGUUAUUUGGUGAGGGUUCGUUACUCUCGGGAGAGGGCUUUCUGAGCGACUCUACGGCCAAAGGUGGUAACGACCAAGCCUGCUGGGGAACUACUGAAGGAACAGAUGACAAUUCCUUAGACCUAGGAAGUACGGGGCUAGAGGGACCAAAUGUUGGCGAAUUAGAAACGGAUUUAGCUGGAAUGGAGGACGAACUCGCCGAGGGACAUGUCGGCGAAUUUAACUUGAUAGGUUCCUCACCAUAAUCCACGCGAGCCAUAGCUCGUUUUACCUCGACCUUUUUUCCACGAAAUGGUAGGUGAUGUCGUUUAACUGCAGCAUUGGCAUGUCUUGGAUCAUAAAAGACGACAAAACCAAAUCCUCGCGAGCGCACCUUCCCGUCUACAUCUACAGCACAAAUAACUACUGCAUCCACUACCUUUCCGAAUUCUGCUUCAAAAAAUUCCCACAGAUCUUCCGACUGAAUAAAGUGCGGCAGACCACCUACGAAGAUCUUUCGGGCACUAAUGUACUCAUCACCUUUAUCACUGCCUAUACUUGACCCCAUGGAAUUAGCACUAGGUGGUCGUGUGUCGAUUCCAGUAGGGGGUCGGAUAGAUAUGGCAGCUGAUGAAAGAGCUCCUCGAACUUCUAUUAAACCAUGAGCGAAUGUGCAUUUAGCUCCAUGAGGACACUUUCCUGUUUUCUCAUGAUGAGUGCAAAGCUUCGUCUUGAAAUUCUUAAUCGAUUGAUCACUCCCGUCAUCGCUCUGACUUCCUCCAGUCCGCGAAUCUAUUCCAUCAGUUCUUUCAGAACCAGUCAGUUCUUCAGAGUGAGAAAAAUGACAUUUGUUUCCCCACAAACAACCCUCGCUGGAUGAGAAGAAACGACACAUCAUAGUUUUAUACUGAGGCAAGUUAACCAACUCUUUCCCGCCUAACAUGCCCAUCUCACCUCCAAGGUUGAGGUCCCGACUGUUAAUGGCUAGUGUUUGAGCAGAUAACCAAUCGACGGUACUGCCAUCCUGCAGUAGAGCGAAAAAUGCACUUGAAAACAUAAAGGUGAAAGUUGAAAAAGUGAUAAGAAUAUUUCAAACUCGAGUUCAAAUUUCAAAAACAAUAUUUACAGCGAUUCUAACCGUGGAGUAUACGAGCAACUUACAUGUGGUUACCAAUUACCAUUAAAUCUCAAAAGAAUAAAUGGGAGCCGAAGAGGCAGAUUAGCACGAUCCGUGAACGUUUAAUUUUAGGGCAUAUACUAUUCAAUUCUCAAUAAAGAAUGUUAUGAUAGGUGCUAAACCAUAUGUUCAAGAAUCACAGAUUGUGACCAGCACAGGAAUAGAAAAAGAUGGUUAAGAAUAUCAAACCUGAGUAGAUUGAUGAAAGCCAAAGGUGUCUGCAAUGGAUGAGAACUGCGUUUGUGAUUGUAUAGCCAAAGAAUAUUGAGGAUAAUUUAAGGAACCUGCAUUCACAAGUAUAGGCUUGAAACUCUCCCAGGUGUUCUCUUUCAAAACCUUGUCAUCUUGCAAUAGAAGAGCUUUCAUUUCCAUUGACGGUGCCAGAUGUAUCGGUUUCUGGUUACGCAAACUAGCAACAUUGCGGUUGGCUCCAUUCUUGAGCAGCAGGAAUGUACAAGCAAUAUGGUUGUUCUUAACGGCAUAAUGAAGAGGAGUUUCCUUUGUGGCCGCCAUAACAUUGACUCCACUUGAAUCCUUGUCCAGUAUAUCUGAGAGAGCCUCAAAAUGUCCAUGACCCGCUGCUGUAUGUACUGGAGUUGCCCCCAAUUUGUUGCCAGCCUUGACAUUUGCACCAGCCUUGAGCAAUCGCCUCACUACAUGACUAUUUACAGUCCGUCUGUUUACAGGAGUGGCUUGACGAAGAGCCCAGUGGAGGGCAGUGUUACCAUCUAGAUCUUUAUCAUUAACUGGUGCAGAUGCAUCUAAUAAAAGACAGACAAGGGCUUCAUCAUUUGCUUGAGCAGCUCGUAAGAGAGGAGAGAGAUGCGGACUCUGUGCAUGACCUGACAGUCUUGGGCUAAAAAGUAGUAGGCACUCCAAAAGUUUCCGUGCUAUCUCACAGUUAUAUUCCCCAUCAUGUCCGGCCGGUAAUGUGACAAUAUUUGAAGGGCUAGAAGUUGCUGACUUCUCAACCUCGUUUCCCCCGCUCGACGUCUUCCUAAACUUGUUGUCGCCAACAUCCCUAGUCACCACUACUGGCGCUAUGAUUGAUUUCUUUCGUGACUUGGAGGUAACUUCCUCCCAUUCACUUGAGUCUAGCGUAGGUUUAAGGGUUUGAAAACUCUCAUCCCAUUUGCUAAAAUCUUUCAACUGGCUACUUUCUGAACUUCCACUUUCCCAGUCUUUCAACCGCUUAAAGUUGUCAUAUCCAAGGCUCGCAUAAGAACCACUUGAGCCUAAACUGUGAAGACUGCUGCCUUCACCCUGCCAUGAAUCGCCAGACUCGUCCUUUACAAGAGAUUUACACUUGGCGCCCGGCUUAUUCAAAAUGCAUGAGUUAGUGUGUGCUAAUGCCAUUCCUAACACCAAAUCCACAAUGGUCCCUUCAGGAGAAUCGUCAAAUCCGUCUACCUUUCUACCAAAGGAAUUGACUACUGAAGCGUCUACCUUUCUAGCCAAAAGAUUCGGGCCAGGUUCACCUUGUUUAUAAAGUACAUUAACCACAUUGUCUACCUUUUUGCCCGUCAAGCCCGUACCACCUUCAGAUUUCUUUAUAGGAGCAUUAAUUCCGGAGGUUUCCUUUUUCAACACCGAAUUGAGUAUCGUACUUCUCCCAUUUAGUAGUAAAGCUACUACCGCCGGGAUUUUCAGGCCCCGGGCCAGCUUACAUGCAAGCGGAAGUAUCUGAUCCUUGCAUUUCCCUUCAAGAGCUUGUAUUAAACUUAAAUCCUGCUCACGAACCUUCUCAACAAUUUCCUUGGCCGGAGUGGAAAGGUCCCAUACCAGACUGAUGCUCAAUAGAGCUUCUUCCAAUUUCGCAGCCAUCUCACCUCCACCCAGAUAUUUAGCAAACCACGCUCUUUUCACCACUGUUCUCACCUAAGAUCCAAAUUCUCUUGUUAAAGCAACCACACGUAAUAUUUGUUAUCAGUCUCUUCUAGAGAUCACUUAUCCACCACACACGACCCCCUCAUUAUUGCAUAACCGAGUGCAUGGUAUAUGUUACUAUACACCCCCUUCCACCAAGUAACGAAGUCAAUCUGCACUUAUAACACCGAAGGACUUAAAUUGGCUUGAAGUUCAUGUGUUUUGAACGUUCGUCGAAGCACAAGAGUUAACGCCUAUGACAGUUGAUCCACAUGACGCUCUAUUGACCAGAUAAAAAUGCAUUGAAGGCCAGUCACGGUGCACUAUAAGUUAAAGCACAAUGCCUCCGACAAGUUUCAUAGCAAUACUGCACCCAUCCAGAAAAUUGAGCAAUGGUGGACAUCAAUUUUCGGAUCUAGCCGUUCCAUAACUGAAUGAUCUUCAAAUUUACAAGAAAACAAGCAAUAGCCAGGGCACCAAGAAAGGAUCAAGACAAACUAUAAAAACCCUACCCCGCGGAACCGGGUUGUGCAAGCCCAUCCAAGAUUUCAGAAAACCAGAGAUAGACUUUGAAAGAAGACAUGAAUUGACGUACCCUCCGAAAUGCCAAUUGCACCGUAGGGGAAAUUGAAUAAUUAUCACUUGCGAGUAAGGUUUCUCAAUGAUAUUUGUAACCUCGGCCACGAAUGCAACUACGAUGAGUGAGACCUAACAGAAGCUCAGCAUCAAGUGUCUGCUUUUAAAAAUUAGAUGGGUAAGUAAAUGUCAUGGAAGUACUUUGAUUAUGCGAGUCCGCUCAAGGGAAUGCAAUAUACCACCCCCAUCUCCGCCCCUCCAUCAAGCAUAUUCCCGCCCUAGCUUAAUAUGAACACCGCUAAAAGCGCGCCAUAGUCCUAAAACCUAUCUAGCUAUGCAAGGUAUGCUAUUUCUCCGAUUAGGCAAAACGUUUCUUAAGGCUUGAGAAAGCACAUAGCCUUAACAAAACUUUCACAUCAGGUUCGAAGGAACAAUGAAUCAUUAUUUGUAAUGCUGUUUCGUGCUAUGUCUGAUUACCAACGAUGCAUGAUUAGAUGCAAGCUUAUAUUCUUUUAAGAUCCCUUGCCAAAAUAAUCAAUUGCAAAAGAUCCCUCUUAAUACUCCCCUACCCUGAUCGUAACGCCGUUCUUGAGAUCCUGGGUUUCUAAACCGCACUCUCCCCCUAUCGCCCAGGACAUAGAUAAGAAUAAAUGAACGGAUAAAUAAAAACCAAGCAACGUCGUCGAUCGCGCUAAUCCUCUCUCCUAUCCACAAUCUAGCAAUCAAAAAACAAAAAUAAUGUCCGUCUCACUAAAACACCAAUUCGCCUGAGAGAAGCUAUGGCAGUAUACCAAUUCCUCACCAGCAAUACAAACCCUGGAAACAGAAAAAAAAAAAAAAAAAAAAAAAAAAAAAAAGACAACUCAAACACUUGCAAAUAACCUGAUUAAGAGCCGCAUAGUCUUUCACAUUCGUGACCGCUUAAGUCCACUCCCGCGUAAUCAACGAGAAGUCCUCAUCGUACAGACGGAUCACUCAGCCACACCAUCGUAUACACUCUUUCCCCUCUCUCACUCUCUCUCUCUCCCUCGCUAUUUCCCCCCACUCCACCUCCCACAACUCCCUCCAAAAUUUAAUGGCAGACUUCUUUUGGUUCCCGAAAUGCACCAUUCACAGGCUAAUUAUGGGAGGAAUAAGAAUACGAGGUGGUAAGGAAACAAGCCGAGCACAUGAAAACCUCCGCGAGCAUCACCAUCGCCUAGACAACCCCUGUAAUGCUCGGAUUACAAGACGCAGCCACAGACGCACACAGACACAACCCGGGAGGAGGGACGGGACGGGACGGGACGGGGGGACCCGGCGAAAACGACCCCCCCUCCCUAACCCUGGCCCUGAUUCCGGCCGGGUGUGCCUCAAGAACUGGCUGGUCGCCCUCGCUGUAUUCCGCGGCACUUCGUUCAAAGCCGGGGGCCGGUUCAAAUGCAUGUCGCAAGCCCCUUCCCACUCCAAAGACCCGACCCGACCCGUCCAAACCGUCGGCUCCCCCACCCCUUAUUCAUCCAGAUUAAUAAUAUGUUUACAUGAGUCCGUGUACUUCAUCCAGUUUCGUGGAUGAUUAUAUUGUCAUCCGUCUAUUUUUGGACCAAUCAGUGCAGCUUCUACUGCGGUUUAAAAGUAACAAUGCUUCGUAUGAAAUCCACUAAUCAGUGACUCUUUAAUUAUGUGUAUGUAAAGGUAUUGUGUUAUUUUAAGCCGUUACUGAAUGCGUGGAUGAUUGACCAGUGAAAUUCUCCACUGUUUAGAAGUUUGAAGGUGUGAAUGAAGUUUAUCAAAAGUAGUAUUGAAACAAAUACUUGUUUUGUCAUAAUAUACUUGAGUGUAUGAUUUUUAUAUUCUGUUAUAUUUUAAAUAAAAAUAGAAUACAAAUUGUGAAUUUUAAACAUCAAAAUCAUGCUACUUUUUUACCUUGAUGUAUUUAAUCAUAACUUGUAAUGUCUAAAAAGGUCUCAAAUUCAUCUUUCACGACACUUGAAUUCUAAACGAAACUACAUUUGCUUAACUAAAUAAAUAAAUUGUACAUGAAAUAAUUAUAAUUAAAGGCAUGGUACGAAUUUUGUGACAACAAUUUUUUAUCAAUAAAUUUAUAAAAAAGAAGUAAAGCAAACUUCUUUUUGUUUGCCAUACAAAGCAAAUAAUAUAUUAUUAAUUGCAAGUUCAUAUAUAAAAUUCACUUAUCUUUGUGAAUAACUUUUGUAAAAAGAAUGUCAUACAUUGUUAUACCAAAUUAUGAUAAAAAUGACAAAAACAACUUUAGAACUAGGUUUGUAACAGAUAAUACUAAUCGUACCAUUAUAAUGAACUAAUAUAUAUACAUCUCGAUUUUAAAUAAAUUUGAUGUAUUUGUUGUAGUAAAAAUAAUUAUUAUAUAUUCCAUAUGCAAUAAAAUCAUGAAGCUACAAAGACGGAUGUUAAAUUAUUAGCUUAGAUUUGACAACAAGUUUUUUUUGUUAAUAUCUGUACUUUGCAUUUACAUGCACAAAAUUAUUAUUUUUUAAUUUAAAUUAAUGCUAGAAUAGAAUACAAAACCAACUAUUAGAUUAAUAUGUAGUAUUAUAUUUGAUUUUGAUACUCUAAUAGUGAGUAUAGUUGGCUUAUCACUUUUUGAUGUUUCAAUGUGGUUAGAAGUUAAACUUUUUUGUGUUAAGAUUGUUGUACAAUUCUAUUAUUACAAUAUACAAAUGUUUCAACAAAAUUUAUUAGCACAUUACAAUCUUUAUCUUUGUUCUUUAAUUUUAGAUUUUACAAUGCAUCGUAUUUUAUGUUAAUUCUUAAUUUUUAAUUUUAUUUAGUCAAUUUAUGCAAGCAUACUAAUACUAAUUUAAAAUUACAUAAUUUUUUUUAAUAUACUACAAAAUUUGAUAAAAUUUACAAAAAAAUUCAUUGCACAUUAAAGUUAGUACACCAAAUACCAUCAUUGAUUUCUAAACAUCUCUGUAUUUUACUUAAGAAAUUGGCAAAUGACUAUGUUGAUGCAAAUGAUAAAUGUUAUAUAUAUAUAUAUAUAUAUAUAUUAGUCACAUUGAAUGAGAAGAAAUUGGUAAAUGACCAUGUUGAUGCAAAUGAUAAAUGUUAUAUAUAUAUAUAUAUAUAUAUAUAUAUUAGUCACAUUGAAUAAGAAGAAAUCAAUGAAAUAAACUAAAACUUAUUAUAAAAAAAUAAUAUUAUAUUUUUUAAAAAUGAAGUUGAAAUUUAUGCUCUUGUAACAUUUGUAAUGAAAAAAAUGCUUGAAAAUCCAAUUACAAGAGUUAAUCUAUUACAAUCUACAAAAUUCCAAAUCUAAAAUAGACUUAUUAAGCAAGUGGACUUGUUGGCAACAACAAUCACUGUAUGAAUGUGAAGAACUAUGCUACUCACAUGCUCAAAAAAAAAAAAAAAAAAUUGAAUAUAAACAGCUAAAGAGAUAGUUUCCAACAAAAACAUCUGGAACUAACUAACUCGCUCACAAACUCAGGUGUUUGUGGUCACUUACAAUUGGGUAAAGAGGAUUGAUUAGUUAGGCAUGGUCACAGCCAAUGCGGAUGGAGAGAGGGUUCGCGAGGGAGGGAGGGACGGUCAUGGACGGAGAUCAGAAAGGUACCUUUAUCCGCGAGGGCAAGGGUGAGUCCUAGGAAGGACCCCCGGGAUAGGGUUAGGGAACCCAUUCCUGGAGGAGGAAGACGGGCUGGACAGGGCAGGGCAGGGCAGGAGGGUGAGUGUGUGGGCUCUGGGGAGGUAAUUCUUAUGGGCUCCAGUGAGACGGGAUCGCGGGGAGGGCAGGGGAGGGUGACGGGGGGUUGCUAGCCUAAACAUACUACUUCGGGGAGCAGGCCCGACGUUCCCAUGAACUCACUCACACACUCACUCUAUUGAAGAGGAAGAAGAAGUUCUGUUCGCUUCGACCGUCUGGCUCUCUCUUUCUUCCCCCUUUCUCUCUCUUCUCUCCUCUCUCAUCCUUGGCAUUCCCCUUCUUUUUCCUUCCCUCCCCUUUCCCCUUCCGCCUUGACCCUGCCCCUAUCUACACCAGUGCUCUCCUCCACGUUGCUGUAGCCUUUUCGCGGCUGUGGCCAAGGGCUGGAGCUUAGGGAAUUGGUUGAUGUGACGUGCCGUGCGGGGAUGGGCAAGCCCGAGAGCCAUUUCGGACGCGAUUCGGCUUAGGUUUUGGCGGAGGACGGGUUCGGAGGGAGGAAAAGGAGGAAGAAGACGAGGAGGAGAAAGAGGAGCGUCGGAUCGCGAGGGUGAACAAAGCGCCGGGAGGAGUGCGUGCGUGAGGAGAUUGCGGACGAGCGUUGUCGGUGUUGUCGUUCGCCAGAAUGACUGUCAUCGCUGCACCCCCGGAAGUACGUGGUGGCGGUUUGUUGCGCUCGUUCGUUCGUGCGGUUGCAUGUAGGGUUGGUGCUGGAUGGCUUGCUCUGAUGGCGGUGGUGAUUGGAUGUCGGUGUAGUUAGGGUGUGAGGUUUGAUGAGCUUUUAGAUUUUGUGGAGGGUGUGAAAGCGUUGUCGUGGAUUGCGAGGGGAAUCUAGGACUGGAUGUUAGGGGUUUGGGGUCCGACAUUGGAUCCACAUUGGAUGUUAGACUUACGCAAGGUGUGCGGAUGUGGCAGGAGGAUGAUGAUAUGCUGGUGCCUCCCCAGGACUUCAACGACGUUAUUGAACCGAUGGAAGGUGUGUGGCAGGAAUCAGUGUGGAUAAUUAAUUCAGUCUCUUGUUAGGGAAAGCAUCGAAGCCCUGGAAUGAGGAGAUAUUCUGGCAUGCAAUGCCGUGUGGAUUUGUUCAGGGUUUGGAAAUACCGCAGCCGAAAAUAUGCUCCUUAGUGUAAUCUGUGGUAGUUGACGUGCAUGAAAUUGACUCCGAGUUUUCCUGGCGUUCCGAGUUGUCGUUGUGUAUGUGUCUUAAUGUAGAUCUCAAGUAAUUGAGGCUAUUGUUCUCGAGUGUAUUUUAUGCAAUUCAUCAGUCUUGCUGCCAUCUGUUCGACUGCCGUCGCGUAGAUCUGUAGUCAUCAGAGGGUUUUUUUUGGAGGUAGAAUUCAUCCAAUUUAUUGUGGCUCUAAAGUGAAUGGAGUUUUGAUUAUGUCGGGUAGAUCGUCCAGGCACUUCAAAAUUGGGUGUAGUGAUAUUGGUCGGCUGCUACCGCUAUUUGAACGUGGAUUUUUGGUCGUUGUUUAGGGAUUAAGUGCUUUUAUUUAUUAGUCAGGGUAGUUUCCUGUUGAGCAAAUACAUGCUCUUCAAUCAGGUCGAAUAUCUGGUCUUGAAUCAGAAGAGUUGCUCAUUAUCCCAUGGUUGUGUAGUGGUAGGGCAAGGAGAAGGUGUUGCUACUGUGGAGAAUCAGCAUGUGGAUGACCCUCAAACGGGGAAAUUUACAUGGAAUAUCGAGAAUUUCUCGAAAUUAUCUCUGAGAAAGCAUUAUUCCGAAACGUUUACUGUUGGUGGUUACAAAUGGUAAGCACUCCACCUCGUAUCUGCAUUUGUUGUAUUCCUUGAAUUUGAGGGUGGACAUCUUAGCGGGAUCAUUUAUGGUGCUGCAGGCGGGUGCUGUUAUUUCCGAAAGGCAAUAAUGUGGAUCAUCUCUCAGUAUACUUGGAUGUUGCUGAUUCCGCGCAGCUACCCUAUGGCUGGAGUAGAUUUGCACAUUUUACUCUGGCCGUUGUGAAUCCGUAUGACCCAAAGUUGACUGUCAAGAAAGGUUCGUUUUGUAUGCCUCCAUCCUCUGCAAGCGUUUCUCUUUGCAGAUGCAAUGGGCGUUGGAAAUGGUUUAUUUGCUUUUGUCAUUCUCGGACGUGGUCGUAGUUUUGUUGGAAGUGCACUUAAAGACAUGUUGGAGCAGAAUAUUGUGUAACAGCGGCUGAAGGGCACGUAUGACUUCUUUUGCAGAUACACAGCAUCAUUUUAAUGUACGCGAAAGUGAUUGGGGAUUCACAUCGUUCAUGCCUUUACCAGACUUGUACGAUCCAUCUCGAGGUUUCUUGAUGAAUGAUACUCUUAUCGUAGAAGCUGAUGUGAAUGUUCGUAAGGUGGUCGAUUACUGGGCGUAUGAUUCGAAGAAAGAGACAGGUUAUGUUGGAUUGAAGAAUCAAGGAGCGACAUGCUACAUGAAUUCUCUCCUCCAGACGUUGUAUCACCUGCCCUACUUUCGGAAGGUUAUUUCCCUGCCAUCACAGAUCAUUUCUGAAUUACAUUCUGCAAUUCAGUGCAAUUCAGUGCCAGGAGGCUCUAUCCAGUUUUCGGUUUAUUGUGUCUAGUUCAGUUUCGUUUUAUUACUGAAAGACCAGAAUGAGAAACUUUGCCACUCCAGCUCUCGUUUUUUACGUGAAACCCCUUUCAGCCAAGUAAUAGCUUAAAUUGGCAUUCAUUCCAGUCCACAAUGGUCCGAUGUUUUGCAAAACUCAACUGACUUGCAGCCAGUUAGUCCAGUAGGUGAAUAAUGACUAGCUGUCGUAGCGAUGCAGACACACUUCUGCAAUAGUGAGUGGUUGCUGGUCUCUUUUCGGAUGCCACCAGUUCCCUCUCUGUGGGUGCCUUUUGUUUCUAUUCAACUUUGACACUUUUCAUUCAAUAAUUGUAUGACAAUACUAAUCUUUGUAAGCACGGUGUCAUGACAAUUCAGUUUUUUUGACGAACAUACCGGUUUCUUUUGAUAGUUUAGUGACACUGAUUGUUUAGCUUGCUGGAUCCAAGUGAAGUUAUAGUCACCUUUUGCAGAGAGCAACAGUUCUACUAAAAGUUUUUGGCAGUUUUUGUUCUUUUUCAAUCUAAAUUUUUUGCUGUCGAUUUGAUCUGCUGCAGGCUGUUUAUCAUAUGCCAACGACUGAAAACGAUGUUCCAUCUAACAGCAUCCCUCUAGCCCUACAGAGCUUAUUUUAUAAAAUUCAGUACAGUGAUACUAGUAUUGCUACAAAGGAUCUCACUAAAUCUUUUGGGUGGGACACCUACGACUCUUUUAUGCAACAUGAUGUUCAAGAGCUGAAUCGGGUUCUUUGCGAGAAGCUGGAAGACAAAAUGAAGGUAUGGAUAAAUCUCUGUUAGCUAUGUCUUCUCGGUUUUCAAGAGUAGCUGGGUACAUUAUGUUUACUGGUGGGAAUCCUUCUGUGCUUUUACAGGGAACUGCUGUCGAGGGCACAAUCCAGCAACUGUUCGAAGGGCAUCACAUGAACUACAUAGAGUGCAUCAAUGUUGAUUAUAAAUCAACACGGAAAGAGUCUUUCUAUGGUACGACUAUGCAGUUGAAGUUAGAAGCAGGAUGGAGACUUUGACAAUCAAGAAUGAUUCUUUAUUUUGUUUCAUUGAACAUCUGUCUUAGAAAGAGGAGGGUUGGUUUGCUGGAACCUGGAAAAUAUCAUAUUGUUAUUGCGGUUGUGGUUUAGGACGUGCGCAUGAACCUUUUCCAGGUGGAAGUACAGCUCCAAUUCGGCACUAGAUUGUAAGCAUUCAGCGUUUAAUAUUAUAGUAUGUUCUUCUUUUCAGAUUUGCAGCUGGAUGUGAAAGGAUGCAAGGAUGUAUAUGAAUCUUUUGACAAGUAUGUUGAAGUAGAACGGUUGGAGGGCGAGAACAAAUACCACGCCGAACAAUUUGGGUUGCAGGUACUGAAUUUUCAUAUAAGUACAAUCAGGUGGAUGACCCUAUUUCACAGGCCUUUAGGUUCAGUAUCUGAGUUGUGUCUUAGAAUUAUUCUAAACAUAUCUUGGGGUUUGUGUCCUGCAGGAUGCGAAAAAAGGAGUCCUAUUUAUAGACUUCCCCCCUGUUCUUCAGCUACAGUUAAAGCGUUUUGAGUAUGACUUUAUGCGAGACACAAUGGUGAAGGUGAAGAGAUUUUCUUCAUUCUCUUCAAUUUGCUGCAUUGUGUUCUUCUAGCUUGUUAGUUCUGUAUUUGAUGUAUUAUUCUGCGUCUUUUUAUACUGUUUGCUUCAAGCAAUAUUUCUGUUGUGCAGAUUAAUGAUCGCUAUGAGUUUCCACUGCAACUAGACUUGGAUAGGGAGAACGGAAAGUACCUCUCUCCUGAUGCCGACCGUAGUGUUCGAAAUUUGUACACCUUGCACAGGUUUGGGGCAUAAUCAUUCGAUUCUCGUGUUAAUGUUUUCCUGAUGUUUUAUACAUCCCUUUUUACUUAUUAAUUUAUUUUUUUCUUACAGAAGGUGUGCCUUGUGCCAAAAUUUAUUGCAUCGCCUCAAUUGAUAUUGGCUUUUUUUUGUUCGUGGCAGUGUACUGGUUCACAGUGGUGGAGUACAUGGUGGUCAUUACUACGCUUUUAUCAGACCCACACUCUCUGACCAGUGGUAUUUUUUCUGCAUCAACUCGUAAUUGUCGGUUGUCUUUGCUUCUACGAGCGUGGUUACAUGUGCAUGGACUCGUAUUUUAAAAGUAGAAGUCGGUUUCCACUGUUAGAAUUCUCAGUCAUCUUUCAUAGUUAAAUCACGGUUUGAUAUAGGACAUAGGAGAGCUUUUGACGCUUUUGUUUUACUUUUGCGUAGGUGUGAGUGUAGAUCCACUCUAAGAUUCUUUGUGGAUGACUGUGGAUAGGUUUAAGUUUGAUGAUGAGCGAGUGACAAAGGAGGAGCCUAAGAGAGCUCUUGAGGAGCAGUAUGGAGGAGAGGAGGAAGUACGUAUCGCGAUCUUCCUCCAUUUUAAAAUUCGGCACAUUAAUUGAUCAUUGGAUAACCAGUUAAUAUUAAAUCUUAUUUUGAAAUUUGAUAAUCAGUAUACUUCAGAGUACUAGUUGAUAUUAUUAUGCUUUAUGAUGGUUUUUUCUAGCGUUGCAACUAAAAUCCAGCCGUAUUUGUGCGGUGAUGUUCUUAUCUUGCAGCUUCCACAAACAAAUCCAGGUUUUAAUAACACUCCCUUCAAGUUCACAAAAUACUCAAACGCAUACAUGUUGGUGUAUAUCAGAGAGGCCGACAAGGACAAGAUUGUUUGCAAUGUGGAUGAGAAGGAUAUUGCAGAACAUUUGCAGGUAAUUUAAGAAACUGGUGAAACUAGUUAUUCCUUUCAGGUGUGUCUGUUUGCUCUAUGUAAUUCGGUAUUAAACUCGGCGUUGAGAACUGCCAGUAUUGGCGGCAUUCAGCCCCUUCCGUUUAACCAAAUGAUGGUGCUUAAAAUAUAUAUAUAUAUAUAUAUAUAUGUGUGUGUGUGUGAGGAAACUCAAAAUAUAGAAAAAACCAUCUUAUAUAUAUAUAUAUAUAUAUAUAUAUAUAUAUAUAUAUAUAUAUAUAUAUAUAUAUAUAUUGAAGCUUCAGUUUCCUUAUUUGAGUCGUGUUAUUUGUUGAUUCAGGUGAGGUUGAAGAAAGAGCAAGAGGAGAAAGAAAGGAAGAGGAAGGAGAAGGCUGAAGCUCAUCUUUACACUAUCAUUAAGGCAAGUUUGCAUCUAAUUUUUUUGCAUUUAGUUAUCAUGGAAUCCAAGUAGCAGACGGACUGAUUGAAUACUUUCAUGGAUUCUAGGUUGGACGGGAUGAAGACCUACAGAACCAGAUUGGAAAGGACAUCCAUUUCGAUUUGGUAGAUCAUGAAAAAGUUCGCAGCUUCCGCAUCCAAAAGCAAACCCUCUUUACGCAGUUCAAGGCAUGUCCGCAUUAUUACCCUAAUUAGUCAACGAUGCCGUUUAACUGUGCUUGGUUUCGACUGAAUUGCUUGUCACUAGAGAUUUUAACCUCACAAGCCUGAAUAAUUGUGCGCUCACUUCUGCAGGAGGAAAUAGCGAAGGAGCUUGGCGUCCCUGUUGAGUGUCAACGGUUUUGGCUUUGGGCGAAGCGCCAAAACCACACAUAUCGUCCUAAUAGACCACUUACUGAGCAAGAAGAGGCUCAAACGGUAGCUUCUGCUUCUGUCAGCACUGGGAUUCAUAAUUAUUCUUGAUGGUUUUCUUGGUGUUGUUGUUAUUCUCUGUGUUAGCGAUUUUUUGUGUUCGCUUUAGUAUUCUCGUCCGUUUGCUGCGAAAGCUCUUGAAAUUUAGGAGAUAAGUCACUCGUGAUCUGAAUGCAGCAGUAUUAAUAAUGCUUUUGAAUUUUCUUUUGUUCUGAUGUCCAGGUUGGGCACUUAAAAGAGGCCUCCAACAAGGCUCACAAUGCUGAGUUGAAACUUUUCUUGGAGGUGCAGCGCACCCCUGGUGCAGUACGUAUCUUUCCUUUUCAUACACGACCGAUUUGGGUAUUUUUUGCGUUGCAGCUCGUCAUUUUUGUAUGACACGAUUUUGUCUAUUUUAUUUCUGUGGAUUUAAAACUCUUAUGUGCUGGUUUUUGUGUGGAUUUCACUAGUAUGUAACCUUGUUACCGUAAUUUGAACCGGUUUUCCUUCUGUUUAUUGUUUCUUUACAGGAAUCAGUUCCAAUGCCUCCUCCAAUUAAGACGAAGGAGGAUGUGCUUUUGUUUUUCAAACUGUACGAUCCUUUGAAGGAGGAGUUGCGGUGAGCGUCUCUCCGAAUAAUAUUAGGAUGAUGGUUAUCAUUUUGAGUAUGCUCAUCGUUACUUGGUUUGAUGCUUCAGACCUCAUACUAACUGCUCUAUGAGGCGUCUUUGCAGUUACGUAGGUAGAUCUUAUGUAAAGGCAAGUGGUAGACCAGCUGAUAUUUUGGAGCGGCUAAAUGAGAUGGCCGGAUUUCCUCCGAACGAGGAGAUCCAGCUGUACGAGGUAUAAUGACUCAGUAGUUUGAUGAAGUUUGUAAUUUCUCACUCUCUUCUGGAUGUUCUAAAACUUGACCUUCUAUUUAUUUGAAAAAGGUGUCCACAAAUAACAACACAAUGAAUGUGAGGAUUAUGAGUCAGCACUAUUUUCGCCAGUUGGAUCAUUCUAUCUAAUCCAUGCACUAAGCUUGCAGGAAAUCAAGUUUGAGCCGAAUGUCAUGUGCGAGCACAUUGAAAAGAAGUCCACUUUCAAGGCUAGCCAGGUUAGCUCCCCUCCAUUCCUGUUGUGGUCCAUGAAGGCUAGUAUUAAAUGCUUGUUACGAAUAUUAGUACUUAAUUAUUUUAGGAAGCUUUUUGACCCAGACGGGGUGACUAUUUUGCAGUUGGAAGAUGGUGAUAUUAUCUGUUACCAGAGAGCUCUAACAAGGGAGCAGGAAUUGGCUUCCCGGUACCCUGACGUUCCAUCAUUUUUGGAGUAUGUUCGCAACCGACAGGUAACACGAACGAUUAUGGGCGAAAUAUAUGGGUCAUGACUUCAUUGACAACAUAUUUAGAUUUUAUCUUUUUGAGCAUUGAAAUAAGCGUUUUGUUUAGACUGUUUUCACAAAGUAGUUUUCUUUGCACCAACCUAAAAAGUUGAUUUCGGUGGGAUGGUCUCAUUGCUUCCAAGAAUUUUAUGUUUGUUGUGUACUGUAGUUUUCACACUGGGUUUUUGGUUGGGAAUUGGGAAGAUCGUACAUUUUCGUCGCCUAGACAAACCCAAGGAUGACGAAUUUUGUCUGGAAUUGUAAGUUUCUGAACUUGCCUUUGCUGCUUGUAUACAUUCUGAGAUUAUAUUAUUAGUAUUAUUGUCAAUUAUACCUAUUUUUCCCAUCCGUUGUGUGACUGUUCUGCCGUGAUGUUUCAUGUUCUUUAUAUAGCUUUUUUGAAGUGAGAGUGCAAUAGAAUUAGUUAUUACUGUAUUCGCAAUGUUUGAUUAGUUUUGGUGCGAUGAUGUUCUCGGCUUUCUAUUUAUUAUAUACGGGCUUUGGUCAGCCCCCCCAUGAGAACUUUAUUAUGAAUGUAAAAUAUCCAGUUUUUCUUGGUUUGCAGGUUUUAAACUUUGUUAUCUUUUGUGUUGUAGGUCGAAGCAACACACAUAUGAUGAUGUGGUCGAGAAGGUAGCAGAAGAAAUUAAAUUGGAGGACGCGUCAAAGAUCAGGCUUACAUCACACAAUUGUUACUCGCAGCAACCAAAACCACAACCCAUCAAGUAUCGGGGGGUUGAAAGACUAAGUGAUAUGCUCGUACACUAUAAUCAGGUACAACGAAAUUGAUCAUACUGUUAAUUCGUUUAUUGUGGUGAAUAUUUUUGUUUUACAAAAUGAAUGAUUUUGGUCUGAUUUUUUCGUGGUUUGCCCAGACGUCGGAUAUUCUCUAUUUUGAGACUUUGGAUUUGCCCCUUCCUGAGCUUCAGGGUUUAAAAACCUUGAAGGUUGCCUUCCACAACGCGAAAACAGAGGAGGUUGGUUCGCUCAUUUGCAGGUUUUCGAGGCAUUUGAAAGCCUAGUUUUGACGCUGGUAAUCCAGGUGGAAAUCUUUUUAGCUCAUUUCAUAUCUAAUUGGUCCUUAAAGUGCAUGCAGGUCUCAGUUCACAAUAUUCGUCUUCCCAAACAAAGUACAGUUGGGGAUGUUGUAAACGAGUUAAAGGGGAAGGUAUUUCUUAUUUUUUCACUGCACGAUUUCUUAAUGCUACUUUUCGGGGAAUGUGUAUGUAUACAUCAGCAGCACCUGAUACACCUGAUAGAAUUCUUUUUAGUGGCUUUAUUUCUUAUGUAAUUUGUGCUUGUUUUGUUGGUUUCUGAAGGUUGAGCUUUCAAGUCCUAAGGCGGAGCUUCGCAUUCUUGAAGUUUUCUAUCACAAAAUUUACAAGGUUAUUUGCAGACUUCAGUCUAUUUGGAUCGCAUUUGAGCUUGGUAUUUUGGGGGGGAGAGGGGGUCAUUGAUUCUAGUAGAAUGGUAGCGUUAUACUAUUUUUAAUGCCCUAUUUCUGAUUUCGUGAUUUUAUUGUCGGUAAUAAGUUGAAAUGAUAAAUGUAUUUUCGCGACAUCUUUUGGGAUCUUUCCAGAUCUUCCCCUUGAGCGAGAAGAUUGAGAACAUCAAUGAUCAAUACUGGACGCUUCGAGCUGAGGAGGUGUGGCUUUUCUCUGUGUGUUGGUGAUUCCCUGUUGAUUUAUGACAGUGGAAAAGUAAUGUACAUGGAGGAAUUAGAGUGGUGGGGUGAAAGUUACUUUUGCUAAACGCGCUUGAUUUCUCUAAAAAUGUCUCCAGUGCAUGCAUCUAUGUAACCUAUUAUUAAGUGGUUGAUGGGCCUGGCUUUGACAGGUUCCUGAUGAGGAGAAAGAACUUGGUCCUCAAGAUCGCUUGAUUCACGUGUAUCAUUUCACGCGUGACGCGUCACAAAAUUACAUGGUAUUUCUUUUGACCUAUAUAUUGGUGAUUUCGUUUUAUCUUAUCACUUUGACCCCAAAAGUUGUAAGUUCAGCUUCCGUGCGUGUUCUCAUCUCAAUACUGUCUCCAUAUUAUGAUCCAUGAUAAUUUUGAUCAUUUAUCCUCAAAAACUGGUAUAUCUGUGUUAUGCGGUAUUUAGUACUUGUAUCACUUCCUUCACAGGUUCAAAAUUUUGGAGAACCAUUUUUCCUUGUGGUUCGUGAGAAUGAGACUUUGACUGAAGUGAAGCAACGUAUUCAGAAAAAGCUAGUGAUAUCUGAUGAAGAAUUCUCUAAGGUAUGUUAACUAAUGUCUGCAUCACUUGGACUUACUUCUGUGUGCGUUCCGUUCAACUUUUGAGAACAUGGCGGUAUUUAAUUACAACUCGACGUUGUCAUUUGUUCAGUGGAAGUUUGCGUUUCUUUCACUGGGCCGACCUGAGUAUCUUCAAGAUGGAGAUGUUGUUGCUGCCCGUUUUCAGGUAAGCCUGAGUAAAAUGAUCUGCUACUUAUUAUUUUUAGCGGGAUUGUUUGUCAUCCCUCAGUUAGGUUAGUGUUACAUAGCUUAUUAAAUCAAAUCGUUUCAUCUUUAUUGAUUUCUGAUCGGUUGGUUAUGUGAUUUAGAAACGAGACACUUACGGUGCAUGGGAGCAUUAUUUGGGGCUUGAGCAUGCUGAUUGUGCACCGAAACGGUCACAUACUACAAACCAGGUUUGCGGCUUUAUCAUCAACUUUUAUUUCCCCGUGUAGAGAUCGUAGGUUGUUUUUGGUAGUAAACUGCAAUUUUUCAAAUUAUCUGAUUUUAUUGUAAAACAAGAUCUUUAUUCAAUGCUUGCUUAUGUUGCAAUUGUAUUGCAUUUAUGUUUAAUAUUUUUAAUAUAAAGUUUCUGAUUCCGACUGUUACUACUGCCUUUUUGUGAUUGGAAUCUGGCAGAACCGUCACAACUUCGAAAAACCUGUAAAGAUCUAUAAUUGAGGAGCUGCUUUUGGGUGUCUGCAACAUAAUUGAGGAUUGCGGAUGAGUUUGGUUUGGGUACUGCAGACCUCUUUACUCAGAUUCCUUGCAAUAAGGCGGCGGUUGUGGUGUGGUUGGUAUUGAAGUUGAAGAGAGUGCUCGGAAGGAUGAGCAGGAAAGAGGAAUAAUACGCUUCUACUGUUACUGGAAUUCACUAUGUGGCCUAUUAUAUACUCAUUCCAAGUGGUAUAUGUGCGUGUUUGUGAAAAGUUCUGUCCCUUUUCGCAUUAUGCAGAGUUGCAGUAGCUCCUUGUAUCGAAAUGAAUCACUUAUAGUUCUUGUGUAGUCUUUCACCCGAAUUCUUCCUCUAUACAUAAUAUCUAGCCUCAACGAUGACUUUCGCAUUUUAUCAGCACGCAGUUUUCUUUAAGGGCGUUCGGCGCUCUCAUCCUUGCAGAAUAUUAUGGGCACACAGUUGCUCAGUACACUCGUUAUAUCUCGUUCAUCUUAUUCCUUCUACUUUUGUUUCAAGAUUUCAGUGUUAGAUCUAGCGAGUGUUGUACAUGAUGUCAGUGUCACAGUUGGCACCUGAAAGCUCUUAUGCAGACACAAUCUAUGUGUUCACGUUGUUUUCAGUGAACGAUAUCUUUUUUUGAUUGAUUCAAAACUUGGUUUAGUCUUUGCUUCAGACUAUAUGCUGGACUGAGCCCGUAAUGAGCUUCUUCCUUGCACUUUUAGCUACUUCUCUUGUUAUUGGAGUAUGGCAUGUUUACUUGGAAUCCAUGUUAUGUUUCCAUUGCUUUGGCAGACUCAUUCUGAGUGUGUCAUCGGAAAGUGGUACAACCAGAUGUCACGGAGAGAUCUCAAAUGAGACCUAAGGUUGAUGGAGAGGAGUGCCUGCUAUCUUCAAUUCGAAAAGGAGUGAUCUAUGUGUUUGAUUCUCAUUAGAUUUGAGUAAUUUUUCUUUACACCUACAACAAUUAAUUGCACUGAGAAGCAAACGCUAUUCUAUAACCAUACAAUAAUUUGUCAUGAAUUUUGGGAUAUAUCAUGAAUCUGUUGAUGAAUGCACACAAGAAAAAGACAUGGAAGAAGAUUGUUGGACUUGAAACAAGAAACCUCAAUUACAAUUUAUUUUGUGUUCAUUUAUUGAUAGGUUCUUAAUAAAUCAGAGUGGGAAAUAAAUGUUUUUUGAACAUUUACUUUGUCAAGUAGAAAAUCACCUCAUAGUUGUUAGAAUACUAAGUUAAUCAAAACAUUAUUUCUAACUUAAUAUUCUAACAAUUUGUAAUUUCAACUAUGUGUAACAUAUUAGAAUAUGAAGUUAGAAAUAAUGUUUUGAUGUGAAAUUUUCUUAUAGAAUCAAUUCAUAUAUCAAUGUAAAGAAUAUAUUGAUUCCUUCACAUAGAAUUGGUAUACUAUAUAUUUUUUUUAAAUCUUUUAUUGUAGAUUUCAAUUAUGAAAUUUGUUGCAUAAAUUUACAAUAGGAAAAAAUAUUCUUUUCUUACAAUUUGAGAGGCUAAUUCAACUUCAAUGCCUUAAUAAAAUAUCAAAUGGUAAAGCAAUGAUAUCAUCAAAUACCAAUUAAACUAAAGAUGUUAAAAUUGUGGUGAAUUAUAAACAAUUAAAUUAUAUCACAAUACAACAACCUAAAACAAAACUUAUUAGAACAUAGUAUUUUAUCCUUAAUUACAUAUUAAGCAUAAAUACAUAUAAAUUAUAUAUAAAUAUGUAUUUACAUAUAUAUAUAUAUAUAUAUAUAUAUAUAAUAUUUUUUUGUCAAUCUUUAGUCAUCUAUUGCCAUAAAGAUUGUCUUAUAUAGAGUUUGUUCUACAUGUACUUCAUCAUUUAUCUUUUGAAUUGCUUUCAUUUGUUAUAUUUAAGGUAGCUUAUCCAUACUUGAUCCACCCAUCUCCUCUCCUCCCUCUAUUUUUGAUCUAUAGGGUGGAAUAUUUUUGCAUGUUUGGCGUCCUAUUUAUGACUAUGUUUGACAUCUGAUGGUUGAAAAUAGGUUAGGAACUAGUUAAAUAAUGGUCAGUUAUGCACAAUCUAUAAAACACUGUACUAGGAAUGGGCAUGCUUGAACUAUUAAAUUUUAAUUAUGUAUUGAUGGAGUUGCAAACAUGAGGCAGUUGAUAAUUAUAUGUUCAUGAUGUAGUUGAGGAGUGUGAUUGUAAUCUUUAGUACUGCAUAGGUAAUAUGGAAAAAAUCCAGAAAGUUGUAAUUGGAAAUAAAAUAUUGCAUGCUCUCAACUUCUCUACAUUUGUAGUUGCAUAGCUCAAUUGUGAAGCAAGGAGCACAACUGAUUUUAGUGUUUGUAAGUUAAAUUUGUUAGUAUUCAAAGUGGCAUGCAAUCAUCAAGGGAACGCACAUAACAUGGCUAGUUUGCAUUUCAUUGCAUUGUCUAGCAUAUGACUUGCAAUUCAUGAGGGACAAUUAUUUUUUGUUUUGGAGCCCAUUUCAAAAUUAUAUUAUCCCUAUACAAUCCAUGUUGCAAUUGCAACAAUUGCCCAUCUAUCCAAAUCUUACAAGUUUGCAUCACAUUCCAAUACCUUAACUAUGGCCUAUGCAAUCCAAUGGAGGAGAGAGAUCUUAAGAGAGCCAUUAGAGUGAGGCCGGAAGAUAGAAGAUGUGUAAAACAAGGUUGGAGAUGAGUAUAAAGAAAAAAGAAUGGCAACAAUAAUUCCACUAAAAAAUGGUAGAUUUGUUACAAAUCGAUGUUUGAAUUCUAGCUGCCUCAUCUAUACAUUAUCUAUAGGUAGCACAAAAUUAGGUGAAACUUGAUAGCAUAAUUAGGUACCACACUUCUCAAUUUUUUUAAAAGAAGGUUCUUGAUUUUGUAAACCACCAAUGAUUGGAAUUAGAUUGGCUUAUAUGUUGGAUUUAGGUUGAAGAGAAUUUUCAACUAGAACAUUUAUAUAAUUUUAUUUUUUAAGUUAAAUUGUGUAAAAAUUCAUGAAAUCUUCUUGAUUUCAAUAUCCUUACAUGGGAAUUAUUAUAUUAUAUUAUAUUUUAUUCAUUAUAUACUUAUUGCAUGUAUGCUGAAUUGCUUAAGUUACUAAUGGGCCAAUUACCUUAUUUUGCCUUUUAAUAUGAAAAUUUUGUUCUUUUAUUUCUUUCAUAUUCUUUGAACAUGUAUUAGAAGCAACUACAUUAUACUAUUGUGGUUGUUAUCCAAAUUACAAAGUAUAAUCAUAAUUUAUCUUGUUGCAAAGUAGAAUACUAUUACAAUAUCUAUUAUUUUUGCUUAAAUGUUUGCAUUUGAUUUCAAAUUAAAUGGCUUAUUUUGAAUUAUGUGUUUCCAAAACCAAGUAAUUUUUUUUAUUAAAUGUUAGAUACUCUUAUCAAUUUUUUUGAUAUUAAAAACAUGAUUUUUAUAGCAAAUUCUAUAUACUAAAUAAUAAUGUAAUUUCUCUUAUAUUUAGUGCUUCAUCCAAUGUACUAGUAAAAGAGAUAUUAUAUUGUAGCCAAAAAUUCAUACUUGGCUAAGCAUAGAAAGCUGAAUGGAACAUUUAAUUAAAAAUAAAUAAAAUAAAAUAAAAUAACUAUAAUUUAUGAUUAUGUUUCAAUUUUCUCAGCAUAAAUAGUGAUUAUUAACGAGUAAAAUAAAAAAAUAAAACAUCAGAAGAAUUAAUCAAGUACAUCAACAAUAAUCUAAAUAAUUAUUAUAUUAAUAUCAUAAAAAAAUCUUGUAUAAGUGUUAAUACAUAAAAUGAAUAAACACAAAGGAUUACAGUGCAAAAUCAAAUAACAUUUUCAGAUCCACAGAAUCAAUAAUUUAAUAAUAAUAAAAAUAUUUUUUUUAUGUGUAUGUAGAACUAUUAAAAUAACAAGGAUUAUACUUUCAUAUUAUUAUAACUACUAUUGUCCUAUAAAAGUAUCCAUGCAAAUAUUUUUAUAACUAUACAAUUACAUUUAGUUCAAAAUUCUAGUUUUUCUAUAUGGUUUCAUUAACCAGAUUUAUAUAUGUUUAGCAUAGAUAUUAAGUUGACAUUUUUCUAAAUCUUUUUUCAAACUCUUGAUACUAUUUCUUUGACAUGAAAAAAUAUAUAUUAAUAAUUUAUAAGGUUUACAUGAAAAAAUUCAAUAUUAAUGACAUUUUUUGAUUCAUUGCUUUUAUGAAGCUCACAGUGAAAUAGAAUAUAUAUAUAUAUAUAUAUAUAUAUAUAUAUAUAAGAGACCCUUGGAGCUCACAUUGAUCUUAGUGAAAAUUUGUAAAUUUAUUAAAUUUUUAUGUAUGUCAUAUAUUUAUCAUGUCAAGCAUUAUUUUAAAUUGAGCUAAUGAUGUAUCUGAGCCAAAAAUACAGAAUUACAUGUAUUAAUCUAUCUAAAGACAUCAAUAAUCUUAAUUUGAAUCAAAAUUCAACUAUGGACAUUUACUUAAAAAGUAGCAUCACAAAAAACAUUAAUUAAUUGUAGUACUCUUUCAAUCUUAUAUUGUUUUGGAAUUAUGUUUUUCGUAGAAAAAAUAAAAUACCAACAUGAUGUCACCUAAUGUUGAUUAUAAGAUUGAAAAUUAGAAUAAAAAAAUUAAAAAAAUAAAAAUCAAGUUAUAUAUUUCUAAGCUAUAAGUUUACGGAGGCUACAAGUUCAUAGAGGCUACAAAUAUGUUAUAUCAAAGAUUGUCUCAAUAGCUUAUUAUUUGUAUUUUCUGCAUGUUUUGAAUGUUUAAAUGAAGGAUGUUUCUAAUGCCACCAUAAUUUUUUAUUAUUGCCACCACAACCUGACACCCACUUGAUAUGUUUUUUUUAAUUUAUUUUUAUUCCAAACAAUAUAUUUUUUCAAAAAAAUAAAAGAAAAGGUAUUGAACAAAGAAAAGUUGAUUGGUUUGAAAGAUUUUGAACAAAAGUGGGAUGUGGUGGAUGAUGGUGACAAUAGCAAAACCUAUGAUCACACUAGCAAUAUCCUAAAUAAAUAUUAGAAAAAUAUCUAUUCUUUGAAUACAGAUAGAAAACUCUUAAAUAUAGAAUUAUUGUGAGCCUUGCAACAAUGGCUUCUUGACUUAGUUUUAUAUUAUGGUUCAUAUAGUAAUAGGCAUUGCAAUGAUUUUGCACUCCCUCAUUACUAAAUAAGUAUAUCAAAAUUCUAUGCAAUCAACACAAGAUUUAUAAAUGUAUCUAAAAAUUACAACCUUUAGUACACAUUUCUUUUGCAUCAAGAAAUAGAAAUAUUUUAGUAAUGAAGAUGUUAACAAAUACAUUUCAAAAUAUAUUAUAUUCACUACAUAAUUAAAAAAAUCUUUAUGACAUUCUAAAAAAUGAUAACAAAAACUGCAAUGGUUUUGUUGCACUCUUUUAAAAAAUAAGUCAUCUCUGUGGUCAUUUUAUCCUCUUUGGUUAGGCAUUCUUGUAUUUCUUGCAACAUUAGUUUUUUAAUUUGACACUACUAUAUUCUUCAAUCCAAUGAUUUUGGGUUCAUUACAACAUUAGAUAAUCAUAAAUUAAUGACAUUAUAUCACCAUAUAAUCCUCUACAAAGUACAACUUGUCAAAAGGAAAAAAAGAAAAAAGAAAAAAAGAAUUGAUAUACUGUGAAAGAUAUUAAUAAAUGGACAUAAAGUUGUACAAGAUUGCCUCUAGUCUUGUCUUUAUUUCAAUAUUAGCAAACAGAAAAAAUGCAAAAACAUACUUACGUCUAUUAAAGACUCCAGUUUUCAAAAUUUGAGGGUAUCAAUCUCGGUAUUUUUAUUUGUUUUAAAAGAUCUCUUAAUUUAUUUAUUUUUGAGUUUAUUUUAAAUAAAAACCCAAUGGAUUGUGUAUUGUAACAUUUUGUAUUUGGUAAUUGCAGCAAUAAUACAAUAAAAUAUGUAUACUUUUUUCUUUUAUUCAUGUGAUGAUUAUAAAUUUGAGUAGGACAUCACAACUCUAGAAAGAUUUUAUAAAGUUUACUUAACAGGAAAAAAAAUUCCAAAUAAAAAAAUGUUUUGUCCUUUUCAAACAAAUAUAUUUUUCAACUAGACUGUUUAAUUUUGUUUUCCUUUUACAUUGAAUCUUUUAUAUACAUAUAUAUAUAUAUAUAUAUAUGUAAGCACACACACACACACACACACACAUUGCAAUUGAUGUAAGGAAAUCGCUAAAAUAAACCUUCUUCUUUUCAUAUUGCCUUAUCAACCAGUAAAUUAUAAAUAUAAUUCAACCUUACGUAUUUUAAAUAAUUUGAAAGUUAGCUGUACUCUCUUCUUGAUCUUAAAUGAGCAGCCUUUAUUUUAUUAGCAAUUUAUCACAGUCCAUAGACACAAUUACAACAUAGGAACAUCGCUAGAUUAUUUAAUUAAUUGUUUUUAUUUAUUUGCAUGCUCUGGGCUCGAAAUCCACGUGUUCGAAACGAAUUUCGGAGGAAUACAAUACUGGAUAAAAAUUAGGAUCCCUAAAUCCCGCAUUUUAGUUUGAAGGAAUGCAGACAAGUAAUGGCAACAGGACGGGGGAGGAGAGGGGAUGCGACGACCGAACUGACUGACGAACGAACGGACGUCACGGCCGACUGAGAAACACGACGCUGGACGACAAAACAUCGGAGGCCGCGGCGUGAAUGAUCUUCUCCAAGACAUGCUCGCGAUGGGGUCCAAAGAGCCGCAAGCAGAUCGCAAGCGCGCGCUUGCGGGCCUUAUCCACAAACAAAGAAUGCUUCCCAAAGGCCUGGAUGGUGCGCUUUAGAACCACGGCGGCAAUCUGCAGCGUCUGCGGGUGUCCCGGCGUCACUGACUUCGCCGCAGCCAGCGCCAUUUGAAUGUGCGUCUUGCGGACGUGCUUCCGCCGACGCGGCUCGUCCAUCCCCCGCACGUCGACGAUGAGGCGACGCCCGUCGGCCAGGUAAGCGGAGAGGAACGAAGCGCGGAUCCAGUUCCGUUCGUCGCGUGUGAGCCCGCGCUCCUGGAAUAGAACGUUCUCGAUGUACUCAGCAAGCUGCGCCAGGUCGAUUACGGAGUAUGGACUUGAGUAUUUGUGCCAUUGGCUUUGUUGCUGCUUGGCGAUAUGCUGCACUUGGACGGUAAUGGCGGCCUCCGUCUCGCGAAGGCUGUAGGCGCGGGCCACCAAGCGCAGGGCGUCUUCCAUGCGCGCCUCAAGAGCACAGCGAGGACAAGAGCACAUGAAGUUCCAGCUAUGAAGCAUGCUGGCGCGGCGCUCUUGCAGCGGGCGGAAGAUGUCGAAGUAGGCCACCGUGAGCUCGUCGCCGCACUUGAGAUCCCGUGCGGCCACGAUGAUCAUGGCGUUGCCGAUCACCACCGUUGCGACGCUCGGUGUGCACGAGUGGUUCAUGAAGGAAGGGAGCAUCCACAGGCCGCAGCUCCAGCUCCGCGUGAUGUCCCUGGCGUUCUUCCUCGUGACCUGCGUGUGGCCGAAUGCAUUGCACUGCACUAUGCCGCAGAGUCGCGCGAUUUCGUUCUGCGGGAAGGCGGUCGUUGCUGGCACUGGAUCCCGUGGUGGUGUCUGAUUUGCUAUUUUUUCUUGGCGGAAUAGGCUGAUUGGUGGAACGGGAAGCUCUUCGCCGCCCCGGCUGCAUAAUGUGGCCAGCAUGGCUCGAAUGUGGGAGGAUCGCCAUGCUUCCUGUGUCAGGAUUUCUACCAGCUGCCCUGCUAGUACAUGGCUUCCCGUGUAACUUCCAGCUUCUAGAGUCAGAUUGCUUUCCACAAUUUCCGUCUCCACUUUACUCGCAAUUGCAAUCGGGUUGCAUAUUAGAAGAACGUCUCCAGCUGCUACAUUGCUCGAGAGAACCAAUCCCCUGCCCCGUCCAUCUCCGACUCUAUUGAUCUUCACAGAACCUAUCAAAAUUUUAAUACUCAAAUUUGACUCAACAUUCCUUUUCAAUAUUCAUGAGGAGUCCUGUCCUUCUUUGACCCAUAAUUUCAGCUCAUUUCAAGUAAUGUGGUGAUUAUCGGUCUCUGAUCUGUCAAUUCACUUUUUGCGGUAGUUAACCACGUCAGCACCGUUUCCGGACAUGGAAAGUUCAGUGCGUGAAGUUGGAACUGACCUAUGAAAUCUUCAACUAGUGGGGGCAACAUCCUCCCCCCAGAAAGACAAUAUUCUUCAAGGCUGGAUGCUGUGAUAGGUUGUGGUCCAACCUCCAAACCACGGUCUUUCUCACUUUUAGUCUCCCUGUUCGAUCUAUACAUUUGCAGUCCCAGCGGUUCCACCGCUUCGGGCAUGUCUUUCUCAAUGUUACCGGGUGUUUGAUCCUUGUCUCUGCUCUUCCCACAGUGUUGCAUGAACAGUUGCUGAAAUUGCUCAAUAUGUGGAUUCGGGAUUGCGAUUUUCUCGGGUGAUUGGGAAAGUAAUCCAUUGCAAGUUGCUUUCCGUCUCCAGCAAUUUUCAUUAUUCAAGAAUUUGAUCGCAGAUUUCUGAGGAUGAUCCAAUGUAUCUCGCGAAGGUUUUGGAGUAACCUUCGCUGCUUUCACAGGUAUGACAACAUGUGAAGAUUUGGUAGAUAGUUGUUGGCACCUGGCUACUUUCUUUGGCCGCAGCACGUUUUGUGUACUUCUGUUCUGUUUCUGAAGUCCGUCUAAAAUCCUUUUGCUCAUGAUGCUUAAUUCUUACAGCAACCAGUGCGAGAUCCAUCAAGAAGCGGAGCACGCAGCACCAGUUGCAUUACACCUGCGCAAAAUUUUCACCAACCGCCAUGACCAAAUCCUCUGCACUUCUUCCUCUGGACGUCCGAAUUUCUGCACCACCAUACUGCAAUGCUCACGGCUACUGUGCAUCGGAGUGAUAAUGCUCGUCGGGCAGGAGUAACGGAAUCUGAGACAAUGAAUAGAGAGGAGAUCCAAGGAGGCACAAGAAACAAACAUCCAUCCAGACUCGGCAGUCUCGCUCCCUCAUGCGGAGCUCCUCCCACGAUCUCCAUUAGUUCCAGAUUGCCAAAGAAUCGACGACACUCUGAUGACGAGAGUUACCACACAUGGGUGAGAAAUAUUUCAUUGGGGAAUUUCUUCAUGGUAAGUCAUUAAUCUCAACUGAACCAAUCUCUUAUUUCUUUUUAAAAAUAUGAAAAAAUUCCCAUGUAUAUAUAUAUAUAUAUAUAUAUAUAUAUAUCCCCUACUUAGUUCCAUUUUGCAUAUGUUCAAUUUUAUUGACCAAUGUAAUUCAAUCAUAUUAGGUUUAGAUUUCAUGACAGCAAGUCUAUUCCAAGUCUAUAUAUAUAUAUAUAUAUAUAUGUUAGAGUUGGUCUUGUGGAUCAAUGAUUUUUAUCUUAAUUUUAGUUUUUGAUUUUUUUUAUAGUUUAAAUAUUUAUUAUAAUAAAUAAGUAUAUAUAUAUAUAUAUAUAUAUAUAUAUAGAAACAAAUAUUUAAACUAGAAUAAAAUCAAAAACUAGAAUUAACAUUCAUCUAUAUAUAUAUAUAGAAGAAUAUUAUAGAUGCAUGCCUUUAUUAAAUAGAUUCACCUUUGAUGAAGAAUAUAUUAAUCAUGAUAAAUAUGGUUAGUUUUUAUUAGUUGUAGAUUCAAUAGUGAAGAAAUAAUUCUAAAAGUUAUUUAUUUAUUUAUUUUUAUGAUGGUUAAAAUAAGUUAAUUUAGUAAAAAUUUAGAUCUAUUUAAUAUUUUUUAUACAUGUGUAUAUAUAUAUAUAUAUAUUUGUAUUGAUUUCAAAUGUUAUUAGAAACAACAAUCAUUAUUUGUUUGUAUCCAAAUCUUACUUGAUUGCAAAGAAAUUCAACUUGUGGACUUGAUUAAUCAUACAAUGUGACUUUUAGGAAAUUGUAAUAAUUCAAUCUAUGUUGAAAUUGAGAAUUAAUCUUUAAAAGCCAAAAAUACUACAAAUCUUCUAUUAAUAUGCUUAUUUUUAAAGGAUUUAUUUUACUUUUUAUACAAGUAUUAUGACCACCAUCUUUUAUUUUUGAUUAAUAUAUUAUAACAAGUCAAUAAAUUCUAACAAUAAUUUAAAACAUAAAUUUUGAUAUUUAAUUUUUUAAUAAUAAAUAGUAUUUUUUAUAUAUCUCUAAUAUUUAUUAUUAAAAAAUGAAGUAUUAUGAUUAUUAAAAAAAAUGAAGUAUUAUGUUUAUUAAAAAAUAAUCAUAGGGAGUGUUAAAGUUUUAUAUUAAGACAUAUCCUAUUACACAAAUCAUGUAUUAUGUUUUCUAAUGAGAUUGUGGAAGCUUGGAUUUUUAGCUUUAAACGAUAUUUUAUAACUUAUUAAUAAUAACAUUAUAAAAAAAUGAAUAGAUUUUAUAAUAUUAUUUUAUAAUAAAUAAAUAAAUUUACAAAUGAGAUUUUUAUAUCAUAAUUGAAAUUCUUAAGCACAAUAUAAAUAUUCAAUUCAUUCAAGCAUAUAUUUGGAAUAGAUAUUAUACAAUUAUUGGUUUGUUAUUGAUUUUAUUUUUAAUUGUUAAUAUUCAUAUAUUUAUAUUUAGAAAUUUUAUAAAAAAAUAAAAUUUUAAGAUUUCUUAUUAUUAUAAAAUUACUUAAUAUACAAGAUGAAUAAAACAAGGAAUUUAAGAAUACCAUUCAAUAAUAAAAUAUAACUUACACGUUUAUAUUUAUUAAUCUAAAAGUCAAUAAUAUCAUCUUAUGAAAAAAUAGUCUAUAUAACUUUUGCAUACUUGGAGAAUUUUGGCAUCUAAUGGAUAUUUAUUUUAUUAAAAAAAGAUGUAAAAAUAAGUUAGAUAUAGCUUUUUAAUUAUGAUUAUGAUAUUACACAUAAAUCAAAGAUUGCAUGUAACCUUGUCGUAUUAUGUGUGUUCUUGCUUGAGAAUGCAUUAAGCACUUAAUUAUAGAAGGUAAGUAGAAAUGCAACAAAAAUCCUACCAAGUCUAAUAGAAUCUUUAAUAAAAUUUAAAUAAAACUUAAUAAUCCUAAUUAAACUUUAACCAAUUCAAAAUAAAUGUAACAAAAGUUAGAAAAGAAUAACAAAGAAGUCUUUAAUUAAUCUCAAAGCAAAUAACAAGAAAUAUUAAAAAAAUAUAAAAUCAAUUAUAAUUAAUUCUUAAUCAAAUACUAAAUCUUGAAUAAAACUCUUAAUAACCUUACAGCAGAUCAAAAUUCAAUAACAAAUUAUUGAACCAUUGACUUUGAUUCAAACUUUUCAUACCUUAUAACAACUAAAUUAACACUAAGCACAAAUGUUUUGAAGAAGAUCUCAAAUACCAAAUAAAUAAUAAAUACUAAAAUGUGCCUGAGUGUAGGCUAACAUUCUUCUUAAAUCUUGAUGUAGAUCUAAUUGAGCCAUAAUCUUUAAUUACAUGAUAAUUGUCACAUGAUGUUGCAAUAAGUGCCAAAUCUUACCAAAUGCAUUUAUUUUAAUUUAUUUUAGUAGAUUUUAUUAAAUAAAUUUAUUAGUGUCAGCUACAAUUUAAAGACUUAAAUAAAAAAAACUUCCUCACCUUGACAUUCUUAUCAAGUCAAGUCUUGUCAAUAAUUUUAAAAGAUAAAAAGCUGUUGUUAUACAAUUUUCCUUGGCUAUGGUGAUAAGCCUUUCAGUGUAGUUUUAAGAAUCUUUUGAUCUUUAUUGAUUCCAAUGCCACAAUGAGGUAGUUGUAGGAUUCAUAGAAGUAUUUAAAUAGUCAUAAUAACAUUAGUAUUUUCUCUUCACUUACUUAUAAUUUCAAACUGAUUUAUAAGUAUGUUCAUCUUAUUGAUGUACACUUUGAGGUCUUUGUCUUCUUCCAUAUGUCACAAAUUUACUUAGAUAUUAUAGUAAAUAGUUAUAGAAUUAGAUAGAAAUAGAUAGAAAUAGAUUAAAAUAGAUUACUUUUAAAAGAUCCUUUAGAAAAACUUCAUAGACAUUGCUUGACUUUACAUCUGUUUGUAGUUGAUUGGUAGGUUAGAAACUUAGUCAACAAGUUAACCAUGUAUUGGUAGUUUGCAAAAUAAGCUAACUAUGUGGCUCACAUAUAGAAAACUUAUCUUACAAGUUAAGAUACGUGUCUUGCAAAGUCAGCAUGUUUUAGAGGUCUUUUAGGACAUCACCAUGUUGCUCCUAGUUAAGACUAUAUAUGGAUGCAAGAGUGAAGCCUUCUUCACUCUUAUCUACACUUUUUUAGUCCAUAGUCUUGUUUCAAGUCUUUUUAGUCUUCUUGUUUUUGGCAAUAGUCAUUCAUAUUCAAUAUUAUAUCAUCUUUGAGUGAUUUUUUAGUUCCUUUCAAUGAUACAAGAGUGUGUUUAGGAUUUUCUUUUUUCAAGAUUCAUGUCUUAGACAAUGUGAUAAGAGCGCUAACAUACUAUUUUUAUCUUCUUGAAAAUUGAGUAGAUUAUCUCACUUCUAUUCUUGUAUUUUUUAGGUUGUAGACUAUCCACCUUUUAAUCAAAAAAUCCUCUUUUUUAACAUUGAACUUUUCUUUAAAGAAAGUAGAUUACCCUUCCUUGUGGAAAUUUUUAAUAGAAAGUGUAGAUUAUCUUCAUUUAAUUUAAUUUUUAAAAAUUCUUUGAAUUCACUAUGAAAGAAAAUAUUAUAGAUGCUAUUCUCAUCAGAAAGGAGGAUAGAUUUGCAACUAUUAUUGUUCUUCAUGAGCUUAUGAACACUCUAAGAGUAAAAAUCUCAUAUAUUUCUAAUGCCAAUCAAGGAGGUACUAUACCUAUGCCUAUGGAAGAAGUCUAGAAUCUACAACAAUAAUUUAUAUAGUUCAACAAAGUAAAUACUAUUAAUUUGAAGAAGGAAUUUACUUCUCCACCAACUUUUUAUCACAUCGACUUUUCUAAGGCAUUUUUUAUAGAAAUAUAUGCAUCAAACUUUAUCUUUGAUGUUAUAUUGUCACAAAUAAAAACAGAUGACAAAUUCCAUCCAGUAGCUUUUUAUUCCACAAAAUUUUUAGCAGCUGAGAUUAAUUGUGAAAUCCACAAAAAAAAAAUAAAAAAAUAAAAAAAUAAAAAUUCUUGCAAUUGUGCAUUCAUUUCAAGAAUGGAAUCAUUAUCUAAAAGACACUUCAAGUCCAGUUAUAGUAUAUACAAAUUUCAAGAACCUUAAGUAUUUUAUUUUGCUCGUCUUUUGAAUUGUUGCUAAGCCUGUUGGAAUAUGUCAUUAUCAAGAUUUGAUUAUAAGAUCACAUAUCAACUUAAAAAAUAACAAGAUUUAUCAGAUACUCUUUUUAGAUACUCUUAUCUUCCACCAAAAGAAGGAGACACAUCUUUUGAUUAACAAAGAAUAAUCUUCUUGAAGCUAGAGCAUUUUCAUCUUUGAAUAAUGAAAUCAAAAUUGACUGUUGAUUUGACCUUUGUCAAACAAAAUCAAUCAAGUAUGUCCUCUGAUUCUCUUGUUCAUGAAUAUCAAGAAUCUUUCUUUCAAGUUUCAUGAUGUUUCAAAGUUCAAAUUUAAGAAUAAGCUACUUUAUUUCAAAAGACGCCUAUAUGUUCCAAAAGAAGAAGCAUAUUUACGUGUUCUUCAAGCACAUCAUGACUUUCUAAUAGUAAGAUAUUUUAGAUACAAUAAGACUUUAGAGCUUAUAUUUAGAGAUUUUUGGUGGCUACAAAUGUAAAAAGUAGUAAAAGACUUUGUCUAGUCAUGUGACAUUUAUUCAAGAUCAAAAACUCCUUGUCAUCAAUCCUAUGGACUUUUUCAACCAUUACUUAUAUCCAAACAAUCAUGGUCUUUUAUUUCUAUGGAUUUUAUUAUAGAUCUUUCAAGUUCAAGUUCAUAUGACUCUAUAUUUGUAAUUGUAGAUUGAUUCACCAAAAUGACACAUUUUGUACCAUGUAUAAAAUCUAUUUCAGGUGAAGAAACAACUAAGCUUUUCAUUGACAAUACCUAUUACUAUCAUGGAUUACCAAAGGAUAUUAUAUUGGAUAGGGAGACUCAAUUUGUAUUAAGAUUUUGGAGAACCCUAUUCAAGAUUCUAAAGGUGGAUAUAAAGCUCUCUUUGGCUUUUCAUCUUCAAAUUGAUGGACAAAUAGAAUGGAUGAAUGAAGUUUUGGAGCAGUAUUUGAUGUGUACUAUCAACUAUCAUUAAGAUGAUUGGAUAAUUUUUUUGCCAUUGGUAAAAUUUGCAUAUAAUAAUUUGGUACAUUCUUCUACUCAACAAAUAUCUUUCUUUGCCAAUUAUGAUUAUCAUCCAUGACUUGGUACUUUUGAAUUUUCAAAAGUUAAUAAUUCUAUAGCGAAAGAUUUAGCAAAUCAUUUGUUAGAGCAACAUGAAAAAAUAAAGAUACAAUUAAAGAAAGCUCAAGAAUGACAAAAGACCAACAUAGAUGCCUAUCGCAAGGAGCAACCACAAUUCAACGUAGGUGACAAGGUAUGGUUACUUUGUUACAAUGUCAAGACUACUUGUCUUUGUGAUAAGUUGGACUAUUAUAGGUUGGAGCUUUUUCAUAUUUGUGAACAAAUCAAUCCUAUUGCUUAUUAAUUACAUCUACCGGAGUCUAUGAAGAUCCACCAUGUAUUUCACAUAUCCCUUUUUGAGUCGUAUAAGAUAAUAAAUAUCUCCAAAAGAAGCCAAAUGCCACGCUUCUUAUAGAAAUAGAUAAUAAUCAAGAAUUUGAAGUAUAAGAAGUCUUAGUUUCAAGGCGACGUUGAAAUAGGUUGGAAUAUCUUAUUAAUUGGUAUGGAUAUGAUAUUAAUGAAUGUACAUGGGAGCCAUCAAAGAAUCUUGCAAAUGUAAUAAAGAAAUUUGAAUCCUUUCAUCAAUCACAUCCAUCAAAAUUAAGAUGAAGAAUAACAAAUCUUUGCUAUAAAAGAAACAAGACCAAAAGAAGAUAACACUCUACUUUCUAUCCUUCUUUGUAGCUUCUGUAUAGUUAAGAAGAUGGAGAACCAAUAACCAGCAAAUCUAACUCAAGAGCUUUUAUUUGUAGAUUUACUAAACAAGACAUUGAGAUUGUCACAACCUUCAAGAUGAUGAAAUUGAAAUGAAGAUCCUCAAGAAUAACAUGUCUUUUCUCAAAUAGAUGGCAAGAUACAAUGUGUUUGGUAUCAUGACCUUAGAAGAGACUCCUAAUGUUUAGUGAUUUUAUUAGAAGUAGGAAUAAUUCUUGAUGGUAUUCUAAAUAUAUUAUUUGAAGGAAGUUACAAAGGCCUCAACAAUGACCAAAUAAUAGGGUGGUCUUUUUGCCUUAGUAUGGAAUACUAUCAAUAGUUGAGAGGGCCUAUCAACCAUCUUCAAAGAGAACAAAGUUUGGAGCAUGUGGUAAAUAUAGUUUGUUGCAUCUUAGAUUUCUUCAACAUAUGAACAUGGUUCCUUGUGGAACUCAUCCUUAGAAGGGGGAAUAAUGUCACGGACAUACAUAGGGAUUUUAGUAAAUCUAUAUGAUUAGGUAGGAGUAGAUAAAAAUAGAUAAAAGUAUGUUAUCUUCAUAAAACCUUUUAGAAAAACUUUCUAAAAGCUUCAUAGAUAUUGUUUGAUUUUACAUGUAUUUGUAGUUGAUUGGUAGAUUAGAAACUUAGUGAUUAAGUUAACAGCGUAUUGAUAGCUUGUAGAACAAGCUAAUUAUGUGGCACACAUAUAGAAAACCUGCCUUGCAAGUUAAGAUACAUGUCUUGCAAAGUUAAUACAUUUUGGAGGUUUUAGAAGACAUCACCAUAUAACUCUUACUUAAGAGUAUAUAUGGAGGCAAGAGUGAAGCCUUUUUCACUCAUGUCAAUGCCUUUUUAGACCUUAGUCUUCUUUCAAGACUUUCUACUUUUCUUGUUUUUGACAAUAGCCAUUCUAAUUCAAUAUUAUAUCAUCUUUGAGUGACUUUCUAGUUUCUUUUAGUGAUAUAAGAGUGUAUUGAGGAUUUUCUUUCUUCAAGAUUCAUGUCUUUGAUACCAUGUAUCUUACAUGUUACAUAUGGAUCAAAGGUCGUAUACAAUGCUGCCAUAUAAUUCUUAAAUUAUAGCAUAUGUAGUAGUAAGAAUAUACCCUUCUUUACUUUUGUUGAUUUUUUAUUUUAUUUUUAGUAUAAUUUCAAGAGAUUUUAGUUAUUUAAUCUUUUAAAAAUAGAAAUUUGAUCUUUUUUUUAGUUAUAUAUAUAUAUAUAUAUAUAUAUUUCUUUUUUAUCUUUUUUUAGAAAGUACCUCAGUUGAUCUUUUAUAUUUUUUAAGUUUUUAUCUUUGAUACUUUCAAUAUUGAUUCUAUAAGAAAUAUUUUGAUUUACAUUGUUUAAUCUUAGAAUGAGUAUUUUUAGAAGUUUAAAGACUUUGAAGGUCUUUUUUAGGAACAAAAUGAGUCUUUUAUUAACAUAUUACAUAUUAACAUCAGAAGUGAAUAUAUAUAUAUAUAUAUAUAUAUAUAUAUAUAUCUAAGAAAUUUGAUAUGUAUUUGAAGAAUGAGAGAAUUUCUAGUCAAAUCAUAAUUCCAUACAUUCUACAAAAAGAAGAUAUUGGUUAAAGAUAAAAUUUUAUUAUUAUGAAGAUGUACAAUUUUUUAGUUAUGAAUUUUGAAGUGAAUCUGUUAACAAUGUUUUUUAUAUAAUAAUUUAGUAUUUGAUGAGUAUUUUUAUGACAAUGAUAUUAUAACAAGAUUAGAGUAGAAGAAAACCUUACAUUUUUAGACUUAAAGACCUUCAAAUGUAUUAUAUGUGUCAAGAUAUUAGAUUGUAUGAGGUUCAAAUUUGAUAGAUUAUAAAUUGUUUAUUGCUAGGCUAUUGUGAAAGUGCUAAAGCAUACAAAGUAUUAUAUAUGGAUAGCAAAAAGAUCAUCAAAAGUUGAAAUUUUUGAAUAUAAGAGUACUAUUAGCUCUUAGAUGUUUAUCAAAUUAGACGUAAAAGUGUGUUUUUUGAUAUAUUCUACAAACAAUACAAAUGAAAAGAAGACAAUGAAGCAUUGACAUCAAAUGAAGAAUCUAGAACUUAUAAGGAUAAGACUUUAUUAAUUCAAAAGACCAACAAUGACGAUUUAUAAGUUAAAAAAGAUGUUUUAUAUCAAAAUCAAUAUUAAAUUAAAAAAGAUAUUUUAAAAGAAUGAAGAACUUUAUUAGAAACAAUAGUAUUCACCAAGACUAUUCUUAUUGAAUGAAUGGAGAUAUUCCAAUUAAAAAACGAAUUUCACUUGGUAAAUGAUAUCAUAACUACAUUUUCUUCAAGUUAGUUGGAAGCAUGCAAAUGUUGCUCUUCUUGUUGGUGUCUUAUCUUUGUACAAUGCCAUAAAAUCCCAAGAUGCAAAGAAAGCCAUAUUAAAAGGAUAUGAAUCUCUUUUAGACAAUCUUACAUGAGAAUUGGCUUGUCAUAUUAUAAAUUGAUUUAGUAAUGGUUAUAAGUAGGCAUUUAUGGCUAAUAGAGGUGCAAAUAUUUGAAAAUCUACAAUAGAAUACAUAUUCUUUAUUGGAGUGAAAGCCAUCUCAGAGAAUUACAAAAAACAACCAACUAUUGCAAAAUUUACCAUACGAGUUAAGAUCAUGACAAGAAGUCAUUAUGCAAUUGAAGCAAUUUAAAUAAAAGAACUCUAAGAAGACAUUGGAUUUGUGCAAUUGGAUGCAACUUUAAUAUUGUGUGAAAAAUAAGAAUGUCUUAUAUUUGCUAAAAAUCUAAGCAUCGUUAAGAACCAAAUAUAUUAAUGUUUGAUAUUAUUUCAUAAGAGAGAAGAUUAAAAAUAGAUAAAUGAAUAUAAAGUAUAUUGCUACAAAAGACAUGCUUGAUGAUAUGCUUAUAAAGAUGUUAAGAUUGACAAGUAGUAAAGUAAGAAUAUUAAGGAUCAACAAUUUUUUGACUUAUUACCACUACUUAAAGUUUAAUCUUAAUAAGUUGCUAGUUAUUAAAAAGUAGCAAAAGCACAAACAAAGUUAUUUGGGUGAUGCAAAGUAUAAUAAAGAUUAUUAUAGAUAAAGUUCAUUUAUAUUACAUCUACAUUCAUUAAGACAAAGUAUGAUAAAAAUUAUUAUAAAUAAAGUUUAUCUUUAUAAAGUGUAAUCAUCCACUUGUAAGCAAAGGGUGUUAGAAGUGAGAGUUAUCUUAUUCUAUACUUCUCUUUAUGUGCAACCUUGCUAAUGACAAAUAUUAAAACUUCUUACUUCUCUUUUUUUUAUUUUUUUAUUUUUUUAUUUUUAUUUUAAUAAUAAUGGGUGUAAAUAUAAUUUUUUGACUUAAAAAUCAAUUUUAUCUUGUUUGUUUUAGACUAAAAAUUUGAAUGCUUCAAAAAACACAUAAUGCAAUAUAUCAAAGAAUAACAAAUAAUUUCAUUAAUUUCUGUAAUUUCUAAUAUAUUUAAAUAGAAUCAAUUUAGAUUCUUAAAUGUAAUUAUAUAUCUAUUUAAUCUAUAAUUAAAAUUGCAAGGCCCAACAUUAGUUUCUUUUCAAUACCUUAAUAAUCUAAAUGUUUAAACAAAUAGAUUUUUUUAGGUUUAUCUAAUAGUAAUAAUAAAUGAAUAUGUCAAUUUAUAAAAAAUUGAAGCAAUUAUGAUUUUUAAUAAUUUUUUUUCUUAACUCUAUUUAUAAAACAAAUAAUAUAUAUAGUUAAUUAUAUUGUUAGUUAAUCAUUCAAUUUUUCUUAUAUAUAUAUAUAUAUAUAGGUUUCAAAAAAAAUAAAAUGUCAUUUACUUCAUUAAUGUAUAAACUUAGUAUUUUAAAAACAAACUAUAAUAUUAUAUCACUUAAUAUAUGUCAUUUUUAUUUGAUAUUUAUAAUGAAAAUUAUGUUGUAAUAAUGUAAAUUAGAUAAAAAUUUGUAUGCAAAUUCUUUAGAACUAUUUUUUUUUGUUAAAAUGAUAUAUAUAUAUAUAUAUAUAUAUAGACAUUUGUAGAAUUAGGUAUUGAAAUUUUUGUACUGAUAAAUGAAAUUGAGUCAGACUUGCAUGUGUAAACUCCUCUCAAUUAAGUCUUUGGGAAAAAAAUAAUUAUUAGCAAGUUUGCUGGUACACGCAAGCACUCACAGGCACAAGUGUAAUCAAAAUGAAAACCAUUAGUAAAAUUGGAAUUAUGAAUUACACUUCAUUGAAAGAGUCUAAGUCUAAUUUAAAGAAUAGCUGUGCACUCAGAAAACUUGGUCAAUCACAUUUAGACCCUGAUGCAAACACAUGGAAAUAGUCCAUGAGUCCGUUGAAUAUAUAAAUUUGGAUUUCAAUCAAAUAUGGUGAGUGAACAGCCAACUUCUAUAUAUCCUCUUGGCGUGGCAUUGGUGCGGGGGGAGAACCACGCCGAUGUCAGCAGCUGACGUGGCAUCGAUUAAUUCGUUUAUCCCCUCGAUUACAUCCUAGUGAUGAAUGAAAUCUGCGCACUUUUACAUCAUCUGUUUAUUUGCCGCGCGGUGGUGAGGCAUUCCCACCGUAGAUGGCGAUAAAUCAAUGAUUACCGUCGAUUACGAUCGACGGUGUAGGGCUACAGUCAGAUAUCGAACGAUGUAAGGACUAUCGACUUGGUUGAGGGGGAGGGGAUUAGGGUUUGACGCCUUUCUCAUCGUGCAUCCGACAGCUUUGUUUGUUUGGAGACGCCCGCGUUCUUAUCUGUUUGGCGAGUUGGUUGUGUUUUGAGGGUUUGCGGAGCUCAUUGCCACUGUUUGUUCACGCUCUUCGUCGGGACUGCAGCCCGUGGUGUGUCUUUCUCCUGGAGUGUUGUUCUCUAAGGUUAGGUGUAGGGGUUAUCCGCUUGCCUGCAGCGAAGAUUAGACACCUUUCUUAGCAGUUGCAGCGGUCGGUGCUCGCAGCAGGAUGGGCGAUUCCUACCCCGAAACUGAGGAGUUGCUCGACUACGAGGAGGAGGAAGAAGCGGCGCCCGAUGCCGUUGCGGCGAAGACCAACGGCGAGACCGUCAAGAAGUAAGUUUUUCCUCCGACAUCGUCUGAUGUGUCAGUGUUUCGAGGGUUUCAUGGAUACCGCAGCUUGAGUAGUCAGAUUACGGUUACCGUUGCAUUCGUGGAGUUCUUUUGCAUGUGUAAGUAGCUGUCUGUGCAGUGGCCUUCGACACUUUCUUACAUCCGUUAGCUUCAUGGACUGAAGUUCGUGGUCGUCUUGUUAAAGAAGAGUCUGGGAGCCAUCGGAGAGUGGGAGUGUUUUCAUUUCUUUGUAUUGGGCGGAUGCGUUCUAUCUUUUUAUAACUUUCACAAGUGUCUACCCCUGAUCAACGUAGUUUAUGUAGCCACGUUGUUUUCAAGAGUGUAUGAUACCUCGGCUUGCUCCCUGGAUCAUCGUUUUUAUGGUUUGAUGUUUUUGUCUGUGCAGGGGCUACGUCGGAAUUCACAGCUCCGGUUUUAGGGACUUUCUUUUAAAGCCCGAACUUCUUCGGGCUAUUGUCGAUUGUGGUUUUGAGCAUCCAUCUGAAGGUUUGAUUACUCCUAUGUGUUAAACUAGUAAUUACGAAUGUUGAGAAGCGUAGUAUAAGUUGUUCGUUGUAUUUGAUUUAUUUUGAAUGUAGAGUUCCUUCUGACACCUAGGCGAUGAGGGCAUGGCAGCCGCGUUUCUGAUUGUUUGGAGCAAACUUUUGUCACUUGUCUUCCUAAUGGUCGUUAUUGAUGCUAGAUUUUCGGAUUAUCUAGUCUCUCGGUUCAUGCGUUUGCUUCUGCAAUAUGAUGAAUUGCGUUAAUCUUAUUAUUAAUGUUAUUUGCACUUUUUUCAGGUAAUAAUUUACUCCAGUUUCUUCGUCUGCCCUUUGGAGCCGUUUAAUCUGAACAUGUAAGCAUUUUAUGAGUGUGCCAUCUUAACACGGGCAAUACGCUAUGGGUGGUGAACCAGUCCAACAUGAGUGCAUACCACAGGCGAUUCUCGGAAUGGACGUUAUUUGCCAAGCCAAGUCAGGAAUGGGGAAGACUGCCGUUUUUGUGCUUUCAACUCUUCAGCAGAUUGAGCCUGUCACGGGUCAGGUCGCUGCACUUGUCUUGUGUCACACCCGAGAGCUGGCUUACCAGGUAUGAUUCAGAUAUCCUGGUCCGCUUCUUUUCUAAUUAUUGUGGUUCACUGUAAAUUCGGGUAGUCUUAGUUUCAAUGGCUGUGUUCGCUAGCGAUAUAUGUCCAUCUGAUCUGUACCUUUUGCAUCAUACAUUGUUUCAAUUUUUCUACCGUUGAGAUCGGGAUUAACUCCCAUUCUUAUUCAUUAUUGAAUUGUGUGCAGAUUUGCCACGAGUUUGAACGAUUCAGCACUUAUCUUCCAGACAUUAAGGUGGCGGUUUUCUAUGGCGGUGUUAAUAUCAAAACACAUAAAGAUCUACUAAAGAAUGAGUGUCCUCACAUCGUCGUGGGUACACCAGGCCGUAUUCUGGGUUUAGCAAGAGAUAAAGAUUUGAGUUUGAAAAGUGUGAGGCACUUCAUUCUUGACGAGUGUGACAAAAUGUUGGAGUCACUUGGUAUGGCUUUACUUCUCUAGAUGAUAGUGCCAAUAUUUCCCUUCUUGACUGCUGCACACGAAUUCGUAGGUUCAUUCCGUUAAAGAUGCUUGUUGGCUCGCAGAGAUCUAUCCUACCUGACAGAGUUUUUUCGUUAAAAUCCUUUAUCGUAAUUUGUAUAAUUUAUCUUUUGGAAGAAGGGAUGGCCUAUAUCACUGACCCUAAGUGUUUUGUAGACAUGCGAAGGGAUGUACAGGAAAUUUUUAAAUUAACUCCUCACGACAAACAAGUAAUGAUGUUCUCUGCUACAUUGAGUAAAGAGAUACGACCUGUCUGCAAGCGAUUUAUGCAAGAUGUAAUUUCUCGUGGCCAAGUAAACUCUUCACAAUUUCCGGGACAGUAUCUUCCUUGCUUGGUGAUGGCAGGCUGCUAAGGGUCUUUCCCCGGCAUGGCUGGUCACUUGUUUAGUGGGUGGUUGAUUCGAACACUUUCUGGCUCAGUCCAACUCAUGUGCCUGGGGCGGGCAGGUCACAUAUCAGGACACGAAUCUGGGAUGCAUGGUUUGGGUUAUGAUCUUGAGCCACAGCAGGUUGUUCCUACUAAGUCUAGGUGGAUGGAGCUGGUAGUUUAGGCAAUGUCGUACUCUAUCUGCGUAAGACAUGGAAGAAUAUGUGGGAGGUAUUUGUGUGUCCAGUGUUUGGGAAUCAGGAGAUAUUAUACAGACUUAUGCUUUUCUCUCUUCAAAUGUACCGCGGUGAUGAGGGGAUGCUUCGAAGAAAGCGUGAGUCGUUUCCCACAUGUGCAGUUGUGCAUCUUGGGUGAUAACCUAGCUUUUCUAACGGGAAGGCAACAGAGACGCUAUUUUUACACCAAGGCCUCCUCCCCACUUCUUCCAUGAUCCGCGUACAGUAGCUGCAGUCGUUUUAAUGCCGGUUUCUUUGGGGUUUCUGGAAGCUGCUAAGGGGAAGGAUUCAUCCUGGAAAGAUAUGGGGCUCCUUUAUGUUUGAUUGUGGCAGCUUUGGGAACUCAAUUUUGUCAUGAGGCGUUCCCGAUAGGAUUGCAGAGACAGCCACAAAAUCCUCACCUGUCUGUGUGUGUGUGUGCUCCUAUGUUUCAUUCUGGCGUUUCAUCUGCAGCCUAUGGAGAUCUAUGUGGACGACGAAGCAAAACUCACCCUGCACGGACUUGUUCAGGUAAAAAAAAGAAAAAAAAGAAAAAAAAUGUAAUGCGGAUGUAAAUUCCUUUUUGUAAUAUUUCAGUAUAUUUUAUUUCCUGGUACGAUGACAGUUGGUAUAUCUUUUCACCCGCUCUUACAAUGUAAUUUUCAUCGUACACAGCAUUAUAUCAAGUUAGGUGAGGUCGAGAAGAAUCGGAAACUCAACGACCUUCUGGACGCUCUAGAUUUCAAUCAGGUGGUGAUCUUCGUCAAAAGCGUCAGUCGUGCUGCAGAGUUGAAUAAGCUUCUGGUGGAGUGCAACUUCCCUUCCAUCUGUAUCCACUCUGGCAUGUCUCAAGAGGAACGGUGAGGAUCUUUCACAUUUUCUGCUCUCUGUUAUGUCUUGUUCCAACUAUCAUUUCUUUCUUUUAGUCGCUUUCCUCCAAUAUUGAGUGCGACAUUGUAUUGGUUGUUGAAUUGACGUGACAGUCAAUUACUCUGACAGAUUGACACGGUACAAAGGUUUCAAGGAAGGGCACAAGCGUAUACUUGUGGCAACUGAUCUUGUGGGCCGUGGCAUUGAUAUCGAACGUGUCAACAUUGUCAUCAACUAUGAUAUGCCAGAUUCUGCGGACACAUACUUGCACCGAGUAAGUUGUCCUCGAGCUCUUUUUUGUCUUUGCAGUACUUGUUUUAAGUGUGCCUUGCCCUGGAAUCCUGACGGUAACCCGUCGAGCAGGAUAUUGCUUUUUGUCUCCUGUUUUUACUCAAGUGUGGUGCCUCAUGAAAGUAUAGACUUGAGUAGUUGUUUCCUCUUUGUAAACCCAUCUAUAUUGCUGUUCAGGUCGGUAGAGCAGGUCGAUUUGGAACGAAGGGACUUGCUAUCACCUUUGUGGCCUCGCCUUCUGAUUCUGAUGUCCUCAACCAGGUACUGAGUAAUUUCCUCGAUUUGCUUACAUCAUGAGCGUUAAGAUGUUAAAUCAGUAAUUUGUUUUUUUAUUAUUUUUUCGCUACGUGAUGUGAGGAUGCAUUUUGCUUACAGGUGCAAGAGCGCUUUGAGGUGGAUAUUAAGGAGCUGCCUGAGCAAAUCGACACAACUACCUACAGUAUGUUGUGUUUAAGUUGAUCUUCCAAUUGUAUCGAUACCCUAAAAUUGAUUUACUGCUAUAAGCUAGGUUUAUAUGAGUUUUUUACUCAUCACACUGACUUACGUCUAUAUGACUUGCAGUGCCAUCAUGAUGUGGAGCGAAGUCUGGCUCUGACGAGUAGGAAAAGCUGGCUGGCUGUUGAGGUCCUGAAUCAGCAACCACUGAUAUAGGGUGGCGAUCGUUAGUUUCUUUUGGAGUGUUGUAGUAGCGGAUUGUGCAGAUGAUAGCUCCUGCGUUCUCUUGUUUAUUCAGAUUGGAUAUAAUCUACUUUUUGCUUCGGCUGGAGCAGUGACACGUGCUUCGCCUUCUGUAUGCCUCAAAGGAAAUCCAGAAAAAGUUGUUGAAAAUGCUGAUUUUCGUACUCUAGUUUUUUACACCGUAUUCGUACAUAAAAAAAUUGACGUCUUCUACCAAUGGAAUCUUAGUCAUAUCAAUACACCGUGUCUACAGUUUUCGUAUUCAAAUUGUUUUCUUCAAUACCCAUCACUGAAUCUAACCUCUAUUUCAGCCCCAGUGCCCGUAUCUUCGGUAAGAGUUGUCUGCCACCAGGAUCUACCAGCGAUAGCUCACGCCUAUCCUCUAAUUAGAAGCGGGGAACAGUGAGCGGGUCACAGUGAUGAACAUUUCUUUCGAUUCCUUUUCUGUUUAAAAACCUGCCGAAUUCGGGUUAAGAUAACAUGCGAAUUUGACGUCCCUUUGAGGGUGGCUGCAUCCAAACGGUCAACCUUUGAAGUAUCGGUGUGAUGAAUCCGUCAGCCUCGCAUCAGCAUGACGGAUGCACAAGCAUCGAUGCCGACCUGUUACCGCCGAAAUGGCUCAACGUUCCCUCUUGGGGCUCGACGCGGCGCAAGGGCAUUUUUCUAUAUUGAUGCUGUGUCUAAUCCCGAGAUUGUUCCUCAUUGUGGUGGUGGACAGUUGAUCUUGUAAGUGGGUCGUAAGCCUCGGAGGCCUAGAAGUGAACUGGGGCCACCUGCAAUGAUUUUCGCAUUUGAGAGCCUUACGGAGAAUGCCAGACAGGCAUGCAUAAACUUAGAUGUCGCAGUGACGCACCUCAUGUGCUGCUACGCAAUCCCAGGGUCUCCUUGUAAAGGAUUGAGGCUCCAGGAAUUAGGGUAUUUUGACCAAAAAUAAAUCACAUACCAUGACUUUCAAGCCAAGCACUUUAGCAUAGAUUCCUGAUUAAAAACUGAACAAAAUAACCGUUUUACCUUGAAGAGCUUGUGAGCGUUUUUUAAAUUUUUUCCCUUUUUUUCUUUUGCCAAUAAUUAUGAGCAUAUUUAUUAUAAAUUUUAAAGUUCUAACAUUGAUUUAGGGUGUCUUUAUACCUAAAACCCACCUUUGACAAGCUCUAAACGAAUAGAACAAUAAAAGUUUUCUACUUGGUGAAGAAACGUAUUCAAUAAAAAUAAAAAUAAAAACUUGUAUUAUACUUUUUAAGAUAGUACAAAGUGAGAAGAGCCAUGGAAUGAACCAAAUUACAUUUUCUAUAAUAGUGCAGUUCGAAACUGAAUGUGGAUAAUAUCAGUAUCUGUAAAUUAGGCCAGUUGGAAAAAAUGACCAAUUCUAACAGUUACGUAAAAUAACCAUUUUUAAAUUUAUAAACAUGUUUUGCCAAUUCCUGACAUUUACUUCAUAAGUUUCUAUAAAAAUCACUUUGUAAGAUGAACCUGACCCAAAUUAUGGGAAACAACACCAUUGAGUAUAUUCAGUACAAAAACAUACCUUAUAUUCUUAUAUUCUCCUCUCACAGCCUUAGAGCUAGUUCCACUAACUUCAAAAGCAACUAACCAAAAAUUAAUUAAUUAAUUAAUUAAUUUAUUUUUCUCAAUCUUAUCAACUCACAAGCUUUGAAAGGCGUGCCUUCAUAACCCUCUUUCCAAUCUUAAAGACCCUCUUCCUUUACUCUUCAUUUGUUUUCAUUUCCUAUUCAUUUUUCACCUUUUCAACGAAAAAAAAAAAAAAAAAAAAAAAAGUGUUUGCAACAUCGUCUUCUAGAGUUAGAGUAAGAUAUGUUUAUCUUCUGAAUCUUCGGAAGAAUUCAUGACAGUUGGUUGGAUGUGAGCGGAAAGCAUCGAUCCAGCGAAACUUUAGAGAAGCGGAGGCCUAAAAUUGGAAGAACCGAGGACAGAAGCGGAGGAAGAAGAGUAACAAAUGUGUCGGGUGAUGCUGCAAUGAAUCGUAUGAAAGUGGGUUUUUUACCAAAAUAUGCUGACAAAUGAUAUAAAAUUAAUGCAUUUCGGAGUGAAUGGUGGAGUCGUGUACAAAACGAGGAUUGCGGGACAGGUACAAAGCGGGGUGCUUCACCGUGCAAUGCAUUGCUGGGGCAUGGCGGAGGAACACGGGACUAGGUUGACGAAGAUUGGGAGAGCAACAACAUGACAGUUGAGGAAGCGUUGUUGUUGGUUGGAGAUUGUUGUUGUAGAGAGCCACCAUGAUUCGAGGGAGGUGGGUCGCUUGUGAGUACAGGACUCAUGUGUCGGUAGCGGACAGGAGGAGGAUCUCCAGCGCAUUUUGUGGCGCUUCGCGAGUGAAUGGUGCACAUUGUGCAUGGAAACCUGCGACUCGUGGUACAGGAUACUCUGAUUCUGCAACUCUUGUGAUGGAGUGUUUUUUGUGGGCUUUGAUUCUUAGGGUUGUGCCCAGUGUACACGCUUCUAUUGAAUGGGUUUGUGUUCUCUUUUUGCAAACAGAUACAGUAUGGUGUUUUUAUCGAUGGGUUCUGCGCUGCUGCCAGUUUAUCUCAUGGAUAGCUCGCGACUUGACUGUUUUUUUGGAUUCAUCUCUGAGUUGCUGGCCUAGUUGCUUCGUUUGUGCAGCAAGCGUUGUCACGAGAAUCGAGCUGUUCGAUCAGCUGAAAUUGAGGGUUUCUCGAAAGGAGGCAUCCGUUUUACCCAGCUUCGUUUCCGCCUGCAGUAUGAAAGACCGCUUGGAGGUUACGGACGUUACAUCGCAAGCGUUGGUAAACCAAUCGAGUACGCUAUUCAAGGAAGUCUGCAUCAAUCCGAAGGCCCUCUCUGCCGAAGCCGCGGAAUUCAUGCUGAGUGUGUCUGCUUCUCAAAGCGUUAUCUCCAAAGAAGAAUCCGAAGACGCUAGUUACGCUGACUUAAUUCUCCAAGGAGUUCAUCCCACGAGCUUUGGAACAGUUUUGUUGGUAUGCACAGUCACAAUGUUUGCUACUCCCGUUGAGGAGUCGGACAUUGAGAAAGCGCGCAGGAGGGCGUUGAUUUGGAAGAAAGCUGUCGGGCCGCUUUUCUCCGUUUUGCCUGUUGUGGCCGGCUAUGACCUUCCGCCAGAGAUUUCCGCCAUUUCCAAGGACUUCGGUGUUCUCUGCUUCGAUGUAAGUAAGUAAUCCGUAGAAGCUUUGUAGAAAGAGAGAGCUCAUGUGCUUUGUCUAUUGAUGGAUAAAUUCUGACUGCAGCCAACGGGUUUUAAACCAUGUGGGACUUUAAAUUGUUGGGAAAUGGAAAGUCCCACAUUGGGUGGAAUUCCUUCAUAGCAAUAAAACCCUUUGGUCUUUUUCUUGUUUAGCUUUUUGCAAGCCUCACAUCAAUCUUGUUUCGGACCAAAAACCCGGAGCCUUCCUGCUUCAUCUUCUAGUUCAACUUGGGAUUGAUUUCCUCACUGCAUGUUGAUUCUCUUGAAACGAUACUAGCUGCUGCUUCCAGUUGAGUUGAUACAGCUUUUUUUCUUUUCCUGUCCUCAUGUUUUACUGUCCAUUUCCCAGAGAAUUGAGGCUCUACCAAAUCUCCUGCUCCUUAAUAUGCACUGAAUGUGGGUCGAGGCCUCAUCUUUGCUCACCAGUUUCAAAAUACACACAACUCUGUUAAUACCCCGCAGAAUGAAUUCGGCUGCAACUUGGAAGUUUGCUCUAUCUAGACCGAAAGAGCCUUUUGUGGUUUUAAUGCGACGCAAUGUCUGUAAUGAAGCUUAUUAUCUCGAUCUGUUCGUAGCAAUCUAGUGCAACGUAUUCGACUUAUAGAAAGAGAGUUGAUGGAGUAGGCUGGUUGUACAACAUUUAUUGGCAAAACCGGGCAAAACUAUUCCAACAUCUUAAAUUUUUGUCUCUGUAGUUGUAGGCUGGCAAUUUGAACCUUGUUGCAAAUGGCAAUUUGAGUAAAUUGUGCUUUGUUUUUAAAGUGGUUUUUACACCUAGAAGUCCAUUGUAAAAAGUCAUGGUUCAAAAGCAGUAUCAAAGAUUCUCAUUUAAUGAAGAAAAGCCCUCCUUUGGAAGCCUUUGGAUAUACUGUAAUGAGAAGAGGUUGUAAAAUGAAUACAAUCAUUUCUUUAUUACAAGUCUAAAUGUGUCAACUCAUAUCUUUAUUUUAACAAUUAUAAAGAAUAUAUAUAUAUAUAUAUAUAUAUAUAUAUAGUUCUAAAAAUUAUUUUUAAUGGUUAUUUGUAGCAUUUGGGACAUAGCUUUUUUUUUAAAAAAUAACAUGUUUAUUUGAAUUAAGCCAAAUGGAAAUUCCAAAAGAAAAUACUAUCUAAAUUAUACAAGAAAAAUAUAUUCUACCUCAAUUUUUCCUCUUAAGGUUUUCAGGUUGAAUCUUUCUAAGUGUAAAACUAACUCAUAGAGUCUUCUUGAUGUUCUAUUUAAAGUAUUAAAAAUUAAAAAAAAAAUUACUCUAUUUUUAUAAGACAAAAAACCUAAACUAAAUAGAAUUUAAUGAUAUAAAAUAGAUUAAUGAUUUUUUUAAAGAAAAUAUACUUGAGGUUGAAUAAAAUUUUCUUUGGUUGUAGGUUAGGUGGUUUAUGAGUUUUUAUUUUUAUUCUAUUCUUGUGAAUUAUAUAUAUACAUAUUAUAAUUUUUUUAUAUGAUAUAUAAUUUUUGACCAUUUAAAAUAAUAUAUAAGAAAAUACAUUGUAGACUAAUUUUAAGAAAUAUUAAACGUUUUACAAAAAUAUAAUUUAAUUAAAUAAACUAUACUUUGACUUAUUAAUGAAAAAGUUUAUAAGUUAAGAAAAGAAAUUAAAAUUUCAAUCAAUGCCACGAUAUAAAAAAUAUAGGAUUACUAUGAUUAGAAUCUCUUUUUAUAAUUUCCACUUUGAUAUUAUACGUCUACUAAUUAUAUGGAAUAUAUACCCUAGGUUGGCACUGCAUUUGACCUAGUGUUUGCUAUAUUUGGUGAGAAAUUUUAAAUGGGUGUAAGGGGAGAGGAGGGCUGGAAAAAUCCCAUCCUAAGAAACCCCUAUUUUUACCCUAAAUUCUCAUCUUGAACCAUGACAACCUUUCCUAGUGAUUGAGUACUUAACAUUUGUUUAUUUUUUAUUUUUUAAUUAGUCUUCUAAAGAAGAUCUAAUCUGAUGUUUUUAAUGAAACUCAAUUGGCUGCAUCAAGAGUGAUUUAGUGUUGCAAUGCAAUUCACAAGCUUUUACCAAAAUUAUGCAUCAAAGGACCUUGACAUUGAGGAAAGUUUUGCUCUACAGAAUCAAGUAUCCUGAACACGCUGCAUCAAUCACAAAAUACUGUAGAUGGAGGACAAGGUGGCAAGGAAUGGGGAACAAGAAACAAAGGCCAGGAACAAGAGAUAGAGAUGGGGAUGGAUGGAAUCAAUCAUGAGAUGGCAAAGGGAGGUCUGGCUUUAACAACUCCUUAUAUAAAUAUAUAUAUAUAUAUAUAUAUAUAUUGAUUGUUUGAGCAUACUUAAUGUUUGAGAACUUUUAAGUUUGUUAUAUCCUUUAAAAAAUAUUUUUUAUAAAAUUAAAUAAAUUACAUGAAUGAAAAUAAGAGUAUAUUUGUUGUGUGUAUAAAAAGUUAUUAUUGUUGUAUUUUGAAAUUAUUUUUAAUUAAAAAUAUUAAUUAAUUUUCUUAUCAUACUAUUUUAUAAUACAAUUUAUCUUAUUUCAUAUUAUCAAAAUUUAUAUAUUUUAAUAAUAAAAAUUGUAAUAAAAAAUCAACGCAUUAUAUAUUGCAUUGCAAAAAUAAAAGAAAAUUUUGUUUUAUAUUUUAUAUUUCUUUAUCUCUAUAAAUAAAUAAAUAUUGGAUAUUUCUAAUUAUUUUUAUAAUUUUUAAAAAAUAAUAAAAUAAACAUAUUAAAAAUAUUAACAAAUAUCUUUAUUAAAAUUAAGAAAAUUGAAGAAACAUAUUGAGUAAGUAGUAGAUUGUAGCAACAUUCUACCUAUUAUAUAAGACAACUUGGAUAUAACACAAAGAGACAAAGAAGUCUUUUGAUUGGCUAUGAAGAAGAGAACUUGGACAACACAGGAACAUAAGAAUCAAGGAACAUAGGAAUGUAGGAAUGUAAGUACUAGAGAACAUAGAAACAAGAAAUCAUGGAUGAACAAGGAAAUAGAUGGAUAUUCUAGAGAUUGUAGUGCCCAAUGGCAUAGGUUUUUGCGAGUAAAUAGUAGAUGUAAAUAUAAUAUAUAGUAAAUAAUUUAUAUUAAAUAUAAUAGAUAUAAGUUUUUUAUAAUUAUUGAGAAUUUUCUAAGAUUUAAAAUGAAAUAUUUAUUUUAUAUAGAAUAUUAUUUGUCAUUACAAAGGGAUGUUUUUACUUAGAGAAAAAGAUGAGAUGGAAGGCACUUUUCUCUUAUAUGGCAUGAAUAGUGUUGUCUUCCAAAUUUUGUGGUAGGUCCACUUUAAGAGGAUUUUUACAAAAUUUUGUGAAGUUAUAUCAACAACUACUAAAAAUAGAAAUUAGAAAAUAAGAAGUUAACUAUUAAAUGGUUGUCAUAAUUAUUACAAGCAAGAUAUGAGUUGGCAUAUUUAAGAUCAUGACAAAAGAAUGACUUCGUUCACUUCAUAGAUUCUUCUCAAUUUAUACUAUCUUUAUAGACCAAGUCUUCAAAAUAAAUGUUUCCCUUUACUAAUCAAGGGACUCUUUAGGAGUUGUAUACCAUUAUAUUAAAUUAUUAAUUAUAAUUAUAAAAAUGAAUGUGUACUUUCAAUAUUAAAUAGAAUUACCUAGUAAUGUGAUUCACUAACUUGAUUAGUAUUUUGUUUGAGAAGUUAUUACAUUAUUGUUGAAUUGUUUCUGAAUGAACUUUUGAUAAUUUAAUCCAGAUAAAUUAGCAAUCAAAUAAAGGUCUUAACAGUCCCCAAAAUCUACCAUCAGGUAACCAGGUGGUAACUAAUCACGAUUAAGUUUAAUAGUCAUGAUUAUUGUUUCGAAACUUAAUCAAAAUAUCAGUCAACGACACAAAUGUCAUUUAUCUAGUAAUUUGCCGCUGAUCUUUGAAAUUAGAUCCAAUCUUUAAGAAUAUAUAUGUAUAUAUAUAAACAUUUCACGACACAUUUAGACUGGAAAACACCAAUUCAUACUAAAACUUAUGGAUUAAAAUUUCUCAAUUCAUUGCUUGGAUUGGUGCUGUAGAACCAUGAUAAGUCUACCCAUUAAAACUUAUGCAAUAGAUCUGCUCUAGUCAAUCAAGAAUUUUGAAAGUUUGGUACCAUCAUCUGCAAAAUAGUGAUUGCAUUCUGGUGGGUGUAUAACCAUAUAUUACUCCUUGGACCAAAUGAAUUCAUCUGAAUACCUUCAGUUCAAAACGGGCACCAACCUGAGUAUUUAACACGGUUUGAAAAAACAAUAAUAGGGGACUAGGCCAAUAGAGCAAACCCCACUUUUCAAUAGAAACAUAAUCCUCAUGCACAACCAGAUGUACGAGUCACUAGAAAUGUUAGACACAGAGCCAAUGAUGGGUACUUUUCUCAUGGAACCGUAGCGUACAUUUCCAUCAGAUAGGUCUAAAGAAUUCUGCCACAAAAUCUAACCGAUCCAGGCACUCAAAUAAAUAUGUUCAUUCAAAUGGUGUAAAACUCAAACUGUAAGUUCUCCGCAGUCUGGUGUACAAUUUCGUAAGGUAACUGACAACUGAAAUGGAACCCAUUAGGGCAAUUCACUAUUAACUAAAAUGGUACACAAAAGCCAAAUCGGAACCUUGCAUCAAGCAAGGCUGGUCAACAGCAAUAAUUCCGGUAUCUUGCCACUACUCAUCGAAAAAUCAACUGUACAAGAUGUUAAACAGAUUGGAGGAGUAGACUCCAAAGCAUUCACAACUAGUCACCAAAUAGCUCGUGACUAGUCCAAAGUCCAACUAAUUCAUGGCUUGGCGUCGGAAGAUUUACUUAAAACGAGAGAUUGCUCCAACUCGGCUAUGUCCGCGAGGGCAGUUUUACACAGUCCUAGUCUUCAUCCCAAGGACCAUGAAACACAGUCUCGCGAGUCUUCAACCAAUGUAUGCACUCUUUGUUCAGCUUGGUUUUAGCAACAGCCGCAUCCAACAUCGGGCUACCAAACAGGCCUCUAUCACUUUUGAAGUUCCACAACUCGGGAGUAAAUUUCCGCGUCCAUUUUUUCUGUGGAUGAGUCUCCUGCGCAUGCAUCAUAGUUUUUCAUUGUUACGUAGAUAAUACCAAAAAAUAAGACGAGCUUACGAAACAGCAAAACAUGAAUAUAGACAGCUUAACAGAAUAAAAAAGAAAGAAAAAGAUCCAGACACAACAAGAAAAAGAAGUGUAUGACACUAGUUCUGAUUUACUCGUAACCAGCUGAACUCUGGACUGUAAGAAACCGAAAUAUAAAAAAAAUAUGAUGCGCUACCAUGUGCAAGAUCAUCCUUUUGCGAUCUUUAUCGCUGUAUCCACACCGAAAGUCAUGUUGAAUGGUUCUUGCGUAGCAAGACGAAAUAUCCGGAAGCAUAAGGCAUCCACGGCGGUCCUGAACCAAACUCGCUCCAGGAUCCGCUGAAGUUUGUCGGAACCAUGAAAUCAAUUGACCCCAAAUAUAGUUCUUGCUGUAGCUCUUGCGCCACAUGUAUGGCCCCGCGCCUGAAUGUUUUGGACCCAGAUCACAUGCGUAUAUUAAGAUAGGUGGAGAAUCAACCAUCCCAUAAUCCUGUCGAGCAGAAAACAGAAAGUAAUCGUUAAUCAUAAGCAAAAUUCUAGAAAUAUCAAACUGAUCAAAUAUUAACCCCCGAGGACUUCACAAUGAUGCUCAAAACUAUGGAUUCUGUUAAGGACGUCCUACAAUAAUAGCGAGGAAAGAAACUCACGUAGUUUGUGAAGAAGUGCUUGGUAUAUGCAUAGAGGUGUAUCAAAUCAGCCGCUGCAUCGUGACGACCCAUACAAGUUGCUGGAACUUUGCGAAGAGUAUCCCUCAACCUGGUUGCAAGAACAAAUAUUCAGUCAAACAAGCUGAGCAAAUCGGUUCUUAAUUGAUGAAGUAUGCAAAGUAGAAAAAGUCGAGAAUAAGAAGUAGAUGUGCUACCAGAGUAGAGACUUCCGAAGAUUUUCUUCUAUAUCCCCUCCAGGAGGUGGGUUGUGCUCCUGGAUUUGUUUAGUCAAAUCUGCCAAACCUUCCGGAGAAUGGAGGGCCAUACAUUGAAGAAGUUCUCCAACAAUUGAGUCCUUUCCCGUCCAUAUGCAUUUCACCAACUCAUGAGGCUCAAGCAUCCGUAAGGGUGGAGGUGCCUUGCUUGCCUCCUCACCAUACAGUUUGACCAAUAUAUGACGAACCUGAGGAAAGCGAGGACUCGAAAUUAUUUUUCCAUGAUAUCAACUUUUUCAAAAAUACAGAUUAAAAGAAUAUAGCAUGAUCUGAUAGCGCACUACAAACUGCACUCUUUUCAUAUGCAUCCAUUCUGUGUCCAACGAAUUAUCUUAAUUUGAAAAGAAACAAUCUAGAAAAAUUUAACAAUAAAACCUCAGAUUGUACAUUCAUUCACAGGUUAAAACGAUCUUCAACUUAAAAAGUGCACAAAACAUUACUCCACAAAGUACAGAAGUUAAGGAAAGUAAUACAUACAUACAUCCAUCCAUACAUACAUACAUCCAUACAUACAUGCAUAUGCAUACAUAUAUAGAUGUGUGUGUGUGUUCCCUCGUUAAUCAACAGUACAUCCAGGAGCAAAUAAUCCACGUAAAAACUAACCUUAUCCAAGGUAAUGGCAAGAUUCUGAAGCCGUUGAUUGUAGACUCCCUCAGUCUUCAAGAGAUCACAAAGCAGCCACAAGAAGUUCAGCAAAUAAACGACGGGUAAAGUGAAAUGAAUAUCAAAAGGAUUGAUAUCGUGCAACAAAUGUAUCCACCAGAAAUAUGAAUAAUAAAGAAACUUAGGGGUACUGGUUAUAAUCCAAACCUGAACUUCAAUGUCCUGUCUAUCGAUAUCGAUUCCAGUUUGUUUCAGCAUCUCAGCUUUCAUAAGUUCAUCGGGAAGCCGUUGCCGUUCAAAAUUCAGAUAUGAAACCUGAACAAAGACCAUCAAAGUCAUAGUUGUAACUCAAGCCCUGUAUAUACCCUGAUCUAUUCGAAACCAAGGCAAAUCUCAUGAGACACGAGUAAUUCCAUUUUAAAAAUAAUACCCUCAUAAUCCAGGAUUUGGCAGUAAAGAUUGCACGAAUAUUUUCCAAGUUCGUGAGUCGAGUUAACAUAUAGAUUCAGAUACAUCCACAUGACAACAAGUCUCCAUAGACGUUAGCAACUUGACAGAUAUAUCAAAUAAGGAUCACAAAGUUACGUACAAUUCCGGCAGCAUAUUUGAUGACCCACUGUGGAAGUCCAUCCAGCAAACAUGGUCCAAGACCAGCCUGCUUGAGAUCUUCCUGCUCUCGGAAAGUCACUGCCCCACUUGUGCACGCCUGCAGUAAGAGAUUGUGGCGGUCAAGGAUGCCAUGGUACUCCUUAAGUACCUGCGCAAUAUAACACGUCUCGUAUCAGAUAAAUGAUAUUUGAAGCAAAAACAAAUAGUUCCGAUACACCUGAUUACUCCCAAAUGAGAUGAAAUAGUUAGAAAGUGUUGAUGCCUCCACCUCAAAAUGUCAUUAGUUUCUAUAUCGAUAAGGCACUAACCUCAUCAUACGCUCCAGGUCCUGUAUAGCAUAAGUAGCUGCCCUUGCAACCCUGACUUCCACAAAGACAAACAGAAGAAUCGUGCUCCUCCUUGCUCUACACAAUCCAACAAUUCCAAACCAACACAGGUAAGAAGAUAGUACGUUAGCAGAUGCAUACGACUGCUGAACACUACAAACGAUACAACUCAAACGAGCGAAAUUUCAUGAAAUCACAUACCUCGGUAACACAACAAUAGUCGAAUGUAAGCUCCUCUCCAAACUCAAUCUUGCGCAGUGUAUAGACACCUAUCAUAUACUUCCCAUUUACAGCUGUGACCCUGCUCCAGAAGACGGCAAUGAAUACGGUUCUUCAUUUUAACCAAUACAAAAAGCUAAUUAGUUUCAUUAUUAUAUUUAGAGUGUUACUCAUCAUGCAAGAAGUGUUUAAUUAUGAUAAAACCUGUGCAGGACAGCGACCUGGAAUAGAAUGAAUACAUAUGAAAAACCAUUCAAAUGAGCGAACUUGAGAAAAUGAGUGAUUCAAAAAUUAGGUUAAAUUAGUAAAAAUAAUUGCCUGAUACUCACUUAGCCUCACAGUUGGGUCGGCACGAGUGACAUAGUCGACUUGCAAAAUUGGCUUUAUGCAUUGCAUCAACUACCAAGACGUCGUAACCUAAUGAAUCACCCUGCAAAAAAAAAGCUUGUACGUCAGACCAUGGCUCAAGCAAACGGGACAAGUAAUCGAAAGUUUUACAAAAGUUCACCAGUUAGAAAUCGACCAAAAAUGUGAACAUUCAUAGAGUACCUUUGGUCGCUCAAACACUAUGUUGUAAAAUUCUGGCGCUGGCUCCUUCUCCUUCUUCUGUAAUGCUCUGAUUCCAUCUUGCUUCUCGUACCAUCUCCAAGGUGGAUAUACCUUUAGAUUUUACGGGAUCGUUAGUAUACACUUGCAUAGAAACUAAAGAAAACAGCAUCUAAUUGUCAUCAGAGUUUUCUGUCGAGUAUAAUGAUAGUCAGAGAGACUACAAAAAAACAUUUUUACAACAAUCAGCAAUUACGUUCAUAAUUAAUUAGAAAUAAUCAAAGAUUGGUACUCUGUUCGACAAAUAAAAAUAAAUAAAUAAAUAAAUAAAAAAAAAAAAAAUGGCACAGGAAUUGCUAAAAAAAAACCGAACGAACGAACGAACGAACUUAAUAAAGGGUAGAUAGUGAAGUGAAGUAGAUAGAAGAAGAUUACAAAGAACAAGAAGAAGAAAAUAUGUAUGAUUAGAAAUACCUCUCCAAAGAAUUCUACAACAAAGUCGCCGUCGUCAAAACCUUCUGGUUUAUUGCACACAACACCAAGGCCCUGUUCACCGCAAAAAAUUCAUCAACUUAUCAAUGAAUAUAGAAAGCAUAACCAUGAGUGCAAAGUAGAAGAAUAGUAGCAGCAUGAGGCCAGAUGGUUAAACCGUAUACCUUUCUGUAAGCUACAUAUUUAUCAUUAAGAUGGCUUUUCAUAUUCUUCAAUAAACUUCUGCAGAAUACUUGCAGAGGCUGAUCCGCAUGCACAUCACUACAAAUGUGUGAUAUGACUUUCUCAAGAGAAUACUCCAUAGGGGCUUUCCCACUCCCUGUAAAUGAACUGACUUCUCGAUUUAAAGCCCGCAACAACUUCUGUAACAUAUCAAGUGAACAAUCUUCAUCACUAAAAGCCUGGUACAAAUGAUUGCGAGCAAAACUAUGCAUGAUUGCAGAUAGCCGUGCUAAAAAUAUAACAAGAUAUUCUAUUUGCAUAUUAAAAGAUUAGCCAGUGCUGUUGGGACACAAUAUACCAACACGAUUGGAACACUUGCCCAAUGAAUAAAAACCCUAGAAAAGAAUGGAUGUAAAGACUAAAAAUGUAAUGAAAUAAGACAAAAUAUAGACCAUAAACUUUUUCACACCCGUUGACCAUUCAGAUGAAAAGUCCCUGUAAACAAUUUUAACGAUAGUAACAACUAUGAAUUGGAACUUUACUGCAGAUAACACACAAAGAGAAGUAUAAAAUAAUAUUUAUGAUCUAGAUUUUAGCUUAGUAAUUUUUUUAUCCAAAAAAAGUGUAGAUAGCAGUCACAAACAGAAAACGAACCUCUUCGAUGAAGAGUUGUUUCUGCUUGUCCGUAAAUGAUUCAGUGUCGGCCGGCAUAGUAUUGAGUAAUAAGUUGUACGUAUAUGGAUCAAUUCCAUAAACCUCUUGCUCCAAAACUUCUUCGCCCAACCGCUUCCGAGGUUUAAAUUCCUUAAGUUCGGGAACAUCCAAGUGAGCAAACCGAUCGCCGCCUUUCUUUGCCACCCGUAACUUCUCUUCAUAAUCAUCUGGCAGUUCAACCUUCCGUCGGAAGUUUACACUUGUCAUGUCACAAUAAUUCUACUUAAAUACCAAUUACUAAAACGAAGAUGCAAAAGCAGGUGCACUAAAAAUUAAUGUGCCGUUUAAGCACAUUCUCCGCAGGCGCCGGACAGAAUAUCACACUGAUGUCCCGAAGUUGAUACAUCAAACACGAACAAAAUGCGAAUAGUUCUUAGAUCCCUAUUUAGUUUUGUAUCAUCGCACACUACCCUAUAAUUUUUGUCUUUCUAAUUAGGGAAAAAAUUUAUAGGCUUCUGAGAAUGAAGACAAAAUGGAAACAGAACAAUACCAUACAACAAAGUAUAGCUUCACCUUGAACAUCCUAAGGACUCACUAGAAAUCUUCAAAAAUAAAUAAAUAAAUAAAUAAAUAAAAUAUAAAAAACUUACCUUCAUCUUGGCAACCACCCUUUCAUAAUCGUCAACAAUCCGGUACUCCUCGAUCACUUCAUACUUGCGUGUCAAAGGAGGCACCAUGGCUGCUUUAGUCAUCCUAGCUCCCCACCAAUCUCGACUACUCCCUUCUCCACCAUAACCGGAAUAUGCAUCAUCGCUCUCUGAACCAUCGUUGUAGUCAUCCAUAGCCUCAUCUGCUAUUCCAGAUUUGCUGGCAACAUCCGACCUGCAAAAUUCUCAAUUUCCCAAGAAAUGAAUACACGAAUCCUCACUAUAAGCCAUAAAUUUAAGCAAAUCACCCAAGUACUCGGCUAGAAUAUCCAGAAGUAACUCAUAAGGAAAGACAGGAAUGCAACUUAACCAAAUCAAAUAAUCAAAUGUUCUUAGAAGCUUUAGCAGGACAUGUUUGAAUUAACACAAGUGGGCAAAAGGUAUGUACCCUGAGGUCUCUGUGUCCUCCUCCUCCGGUUCAUCAUAUAAAGCUUCAUCAAUGUCCUCUUCGUCAGAACUUUCUGCUUCUGAUUCGGUCCACUGGUUCCUUCUCAUCCUUUCUCUGCGAGACUCUCGCUCAUCUCUAUCAAUUGAUCCUUGCAAGUCAGAGUCCUUACUGGCUAUGUCCCCAUCUGAUCUGAUAUUAGCAAAGCUUAAUACCUUUCUCUUGACAAAGCGGGUCCCCCCUGUUUCUGAAUCCCAAGAUCGCUUUGAACCACGCUGUUUCUCAACAGCCAGAUCUUUUGACCCUUUCGACUUGGAGAGAGUGCGUGUCGAAGUAAUACAACUGCUAAGAGCCUUACUUUGACCAUCAGCGAGCUCUCUGUUCUGAGAUUUUGAGAGUAAUUUAUCCAAUUGUUGUCCCACUUGGUGUGCAACCUUGAAUAAUCGUCCUGCUGUCUUAUACAUAAGAGAGUCAUGUUCCAAUCUGCACAAACGUGAAGACAUUACAUCAGAUGAAGCCCUCAAAACUAGGAGUAAAUAAGACCCUUUCCUGCCUUCAAUCUGUCACGGUCAGCCAUAGAAAUACAACACAAUUUCAAAUACACACAACAAAGGUAUUUUGAAAAACCAAGAGAUGACACGCGCUGUUAACUCCAAGGCAUAAAACAAGGAUAAAAUACCUGAAGGCAUUACGGAGAGGUUGGAGAAGAUCCUCCUUGAAUGAUUUUACCCCAUCUUUUCCUCCGUAAUGACCCAUUUUCAGCUUUUUCUGCACAGAACAAAAGUCUGCUUGCGCUGGCUUGGUAAAGGCUCCUCUCCCCUCGGACACUUGCUCGUUUGCCUAAAAAUAGAAGGCAUGUUCACUUUAAUGAAGAGCAAAGAAGAGCUAAAAAGUAAAUCAUAUAAAUUUAAAUAUUUAGAUAUUCCUGAGAUUUUACCAUUAUCCAACAUGUAGGUUCAUAAAUAGGCAUUAAAGAAUCGAGAUCACCUACAAGCAAUACAUCAAUUCCUCAUUAGCUUACUAAAGUUCACUAUGACCAGACGAUCUGAGGAUAAUUUAUUACAAUUUCUAUAGAAUUUGAGAAAAAAGGACUAGACACUAAGCCAUGUACCUAUCACUUUCACACAGAGAAAGGCAUCACUUUUUGUCAGUAGCAAAACCAUUUAACCAUUUCACCAUUUAAGGGGAAUUAAGGACACGCAAUUUGAAGUACCAAGCGGUAAAAGACAUGUUCGGAGUCAGCUUCCAUGACAACUCUGAGCGCCUUCGCCAGCGCUUUAUCAAGAUCCUUCUCCGCAUUCUUAAAAUUUGAUAAAACUUCCUUUCCGGUGUUGUCAGGUUUUUCACUAGAAACUGCAGCUUUCGUUAACGAACUUCGAACACUGAAUUGCGUCUUCGUGGUUAGCUUGCUAUUCAGUUUCCGCUUGCCCACACUGUGUUUGCCAGGACUAACGCCAAAGCCAUUGCGCACUCCGUUCACAGCAUUUGAUUUGAGUCUCUUGGAAUCUCGAGAUGGAUAUCCCACUUGCAACGCGUCUACAUCCUUUAAUAGCGGAUCGAGGGUGUGAACUACCCUGCGGAUGAUUCCUGGACUUUCGCUUUCUUCUGUACUUUUAUCUCGAUAACCAGUCUCGUCUAAAGAACAUCCACUGUUGACAUCAUCUCCAAAUUCGCGCUUGAUACCACUGCUCUUGGGAUUCGUUUUGUUAUUCUUCAAAUUAUGCCGUUGAGAUUCAAGACCAUGAGGAAUGGCAAAUGGAUUACCAACCCAACUUACUUGAGGAUAAAGUUCGACCAACUCACUUAGCUGCACACAACCACUAAUUGAAACUUCACGGAUUGAGGGAUAAGACUUCAGCAAGCGCCCAAGUGCUUUAGAGCUCACAUUCAAACAAUAGUCCAAUGUUAUACGCCUCAACUUUCCCCCGCCAAAACCCUGCCACACAAACAUGGAUUGGUCACAGAUAGAUAAAACGAAUAACCUGCAAGUAAUACGACCCAUUUUGACUCAUACCUCACACAUACUCUAGCCAAAAGAAUAAUGAAAGCGUACGGCAACACAAACGUAAGGCAAAUAUUAAUCAUCUUGACCAAGUUUAGGUCAGAGGCCCCACAAUUUUAAUCCUUGCAAUCUGAUUGAAUAUCACAAUCAAUCACUGAUCACCUAAAACUGGCAAGAUGCGCUACUGACGUAAACAAGCUACGCAAAUUACUUCCAAUUGUACAAGCAACAAUAAACCACUUCAACAAGAUACAUACCAACAAACCACCAAUAAUUGCAUCAUUACAAUGCGAUCCUAACCCAGACAGGUCAACAUGCUUGGUGGACAUUCUGAUGCUUUGAGCACAAUUCUUCCAUGACUGGCAAGUGGCCAUAGCUGCAACAAGUGAUUUGGGAUCGCCCCGCAGCAAGCGCAAAACUUUCGUCAAUAUUCUAGGUGGUAGCCAUGCCCGUCCAGUCUGUGACGAACUUCCUCCUGCGUCCAAGUUUGAGUGCUUUCCGUGCACUGCACCUGUUUCAGAUGUUUCUUGAUCAGAAGGAACUUCUUUUGCCUUCUUCUCUGCAGAUGUAGCCAUAGUUGCAUGAACAGCCACUUGUGACGCUGUGCUGCUGCUUCCAUCCAACUCAACCACAGACAUAUGGGGUAAACUCCGCAUGCAGAGUUGCACGUCUUCAGCAGAACGUCCACCAUCACUCCAGGAAUUAUGUUCCACCAUGAAUGGGCUGCCAUCCACAUUUGAAGAGAUUGUUUCUGUGAGAAGACAAGAGCAACUGUAAGAUACUCACCGUGGUCCUGUGUGUCUAAUAUUAGUACCUCAAAAAAAAGUAAACUAACAAGAUUCAUUGAAUUGGUGCUCAAAUGAGAUGAAGUUGAACUUAUAAGCACUAAACGAAAAAACAGUCCAUUGGCACAUACCUGAACCCAAAGGAGCACUGUCGGCAGCCUUUUCUUUCCUCAUUCGGAUAGACUUGGCAUUGAAAGGAGAGUCGUCAUCAAGAGCCUGACUUGGAGACUGAUGGGACUUCAGGGUCUCUACAUCCUGCCUGCUAUCAUUACCAGUCUUAACACCAACCUUUUUCAAUCCAGAGCUCCGCUUCAUCGAGAUUGGACAUGCCACAUCUACAACGGCACUUGCUGAUAGAGCAAUGUCUUCUUCCGAUGUUGCAUCAAGCGACACAACUUCCGGCAGUGCAACCGAACGCUUCGAAUUGGACCAGACAUCCAAAGCAUCAUUAAAGAAUCCUGCAAAGCUGCCUCUAAAGGAUUUCAUGGCAUGUUCAUGUAAUUUCCCAUUAGUGUACCCAAGAAAUUGUGGGUGAUCAUCAUGGAAUAUCGAAGAACUAACACUUCGCACAUCUAACUCCAUCAGAUCGGGAUGAGCAGGAUGUGCAGUAUGUGCGGGAUCCUCACAGGAAAUUGCUCCAGAAGGAACAGCGGGCCUCACGGGAUAUCCGCUUCUCUCAAGAGAAUGAGGCAGUGGCUUUGACGCAAAAGCUGGGGCGUGUGCAUUAUGAAGCUGUAUGAGGUGAGAGACCGGGACCCAUAGAUUGUCUCUUUUCCUAAAUACACUUGCUCCAGCAGGCAAUCCUCCUUCUGCAACAAAUCCCUGUAAAGCAGACAUGAGGAAUGGUCCCCUCUCAUGGCCUGCAGCAUCCAAGUAAUGCCAGACACCGCUUUCCAGCUGUAACUCGUGCUUUCUUAACACUACUGAGGCGGGGUUCUUGGUGCAUUUAAAUGCGACAGCAGGAACUUUGCCACUGAACGAGUAUAAAUCUUGAGCAUCACCCCCAGACUGUUGAUCCGGCUGUGGAAGAGGAUGUGUUAACUCCACAGAAUUGCGACCAACGUUUUUGGAGGCAGUAUCAGCUACUCCAUUGAGCGAGUCGAUAUCUGAAGUAGUCCCUGGUAGAACAACUUGAGCUGUGACACUCGCAGUGUUCUGGUUUGCUGCAGAAACAGUCCUAGGCAAGGUAAGUUUCGUUUCAGAUUUCUUUCUUUUAAUGCGCAAUUGCCCAGGCUUUCUCCGAGGAUUUGUAGUAUAGCCAGGCUCUUUCCCACGAGUUCCGGACGUUUCAACUGGAACAUUCCCUCCAGCACUGGAUUCUUUCGAGGAUUUAUGAGUAGCAGCAGUACAUUUGGUUGGAACGACUUCGAAAGGGCCGCCAGCUUUACUAGCUAUUGAGUCAGUCAGAGGAGGGUGCACCGACUGACUAUCAACGGUAUUUCUCACCUUGUAAACAGCAGCGCAGGCCCAAGCUGGAACCUCUAGUUUUUUGUACUGGGAAACCACGACUCCGUGGAUCAGCCUACGAGGAUCUAAUACUUCAGAAUUACCAACCUCACAAAGGCUAACACCCAUGUUCAUGACCUCCUUUCUAAAGCUUAUAACUUUGCCCCCAGGGAGUCCUGCAUUUUCAGCCCUCUCUGUCUGAAUGAGUUUCCAAUCCCCCCCUGCUGUCGGAAACUUCCAACAAUUCGUGUUGCUAGAUUGUGAGGGCAACUUAGCUCUCCCAGAAGACUUUAUAACAGGCUGCACAGCAAUUAUAGCAGCCUGACUUUCUGCAGGUGUAUCGAUUCGAACAGCCAUUUCCUGCGCCUCCGAGACAGCACAAGGAGCAGUCGAUAGUCCUGCAAAUACAAUUGAACCACCUUCAUCACCUUACUUAUAACCCAACUCAUAUUGUAGAGUCCAUGUUUGUACUGCACUAAUACACUAGCAACAAAAAUGAGUUGUAAGUGCACAAGGUAAGGUGAAGAAUCAAUGCCUAAGCUGUAUAUUCCGUACUGCUCUCGAUGAGCAGCAAACACAUUAGAACAUUCAAAUAAACAAAGAAACAAACCUUUGAAACCCCACAUCACACAUCCAUUAAAGCUGAAAACCAUUUCAUGUCAUAAAAGAAGAUGAAACGAGCAACGGACAUGUGCCAUCCGUUCUAAUUUCUUGCACUAUGCCAGGGGACUACGAUAAGAUCCCAGAGUGAACCAGCAGAAAGGGACUCGGCCAGUUUAGAUGUACGCCCUCUAAACCUUCAGCACAGCCAACUCUUAACAUAUAUCAACUUAAACCCUACCCACCUUCACUCCCGCACUCGAAGUCAUCCUCAAUAAUUCGCUGUGAUGCAGCCAUCAGGGCAUCUGCGACAAAAGAAGACCUCUGAUUUAUAAACGCUGUGAAAAACCCUGGAGGGAGCCCUCAUACUUAAGUAGAGAGAGUAGAGAACCACACGAACACCUUACUGCCCAAAUGAGCAGAGGCGGAGCCUGGCGCAGCCAGGUAAAGGGAUCAAACAUUCUUAAAUGGAACAACCCGCCUAAACAAAAUUAUUAGGAAAAGACAAUGCUCGUAAAGAAUUUGUACCUCUGGAUAGGAAAUGAGUAAGUAGAAUGCUAAUUAGAAAUUCUCACAGCUUUCCAUAGCGAACAAAAUUUUGAUCCCCCAAAAGAAUAGCAAUUCAAAACAGUUUCCUUUCGUAGCGCCUAAUUGAACCAAAGGAUAUGACUCGGACGGAAUAGCAUUUGCCUCCGUCAUGAUGCGUACAAACUCCCCAAAAAGGAAAAAUAAAUUGUCCACUAAUGUCACGAUACAUACCUGCAACACUGUCUUGCUCUCUGCCUUGAACUAAAGGAAAAUUCAGCAUCAGCUUCUCCACCCGUGCAUCAAUAUUAUACUGUUCCUCGCACAUAUCUGAUUCUAUGUUAGCUUCUUCCACUGCCUUCGAAGAUUCUUUUACAUCAGCGGAACUCACACCCCCCAUGUUGUGCGCGUUUGGCUUUCCGAUAUUGUUGAACCUUUCACCUCCAUUCACUAACCCGACGCCAACGUCUGCUUGAGAGGCUGUACAAUUUUUCUGAGACCGAGGUCCUACAACCUGUUUCGAGUGCAAAGAAAGCUUUUUUUCUGCCGAUGACCACUCAUUCGUUCCGUCGUUCCUUAUCAUAUGCUCUGACUGGAAUUGCCGUCUCGGAAAAGAACUAGUGUUGUAAUUAUGCAAUGACCCCGCAAACCCUCCAGAGUCAAUAUUUAGAGCCUCUCCACGUUCAUUUGAUCUAUGAGAAUUAUUCCGAUCAAUAGAGUGACGUCCUCCCCACCCUGAGUUCAAAUUAAGGUCACGAGCAGGCAUACAAGCACCCAUAUCAGAUGAACGCUUAGACUCCUUGUGUUUGUAGGCAGACGGAGUAGAGCUGAGAGCACGACUAUUUGCGUUAAAAUUAGUAGCACUAGACAUUAACUCUCCUCCCGACGAGUUCCAAUCACUGUGCCUGUUCAAAGUGUCACUCGAGGCCAAAGGAUCCGCACUUCCGUCAUUACAGUGGUUCAACUCACCAUCCCGAUUCCUGACAUUGUUACCACCCACAAGACCUGCAGGGCUACUGUUACUCUGCGAAGCACCCCGGUAGACAACUUCCUGUCCAGAUUGAUGUACAUCCUUUCUCGCUGAUAACCACUCAGUUCCUUCUCUACUCUGUCCAUCAAAUUUACUUUCUAAGCAAUCAUCUGUCCCAAUUUCUUUUGCGGUGAUAUCGGUCCUCAAACUAGAAGAGUUGUCUGCACACAACCGCACUUCUAUUUCAUUAUCAACUACGGAUUUCAUCUUACCAACUUCCACGCCUGGACAAUGCAUAAUCUUCGAUGCAGAUUUGUCUCCCGCAUUAGCACUAAGCUCCGCAGAAGAUUGUUGAGGGACUAGUUCAUUAGCAUCACCCUCAGAUUGCAAUUCCCCGUUCUCUAGAUCUGAAACUAGACUCUCUCCCUUCACCACUUGAGAUGGUCCUGCGUUACUCCCAUUGAUACAAGAGUCCUGAUCUUGACUCUUGUGUUCUGCUUCGUUGAUACAUAAAGCUCUUGUGACCUCAGGCCCAGCGCCUGCAGAAACACCAACCUUCGAAUCGGGGUUGUCUGAAGCAAAUUCAGAGCCACGAUCGCUUUCCAUUGGAGGUUUGAUCCCAGACAAUUCAUCGCUUCCUGCAGAAGAGAUUGUAGUAGCUUUUUCUUUCGUUGAAGAAACAAUUCUACCCUCCUCGCCAGCGCUAGAGCUAGCAUUAGCAAGGGCCUGGAAGCACCCAUCGUUGUCCUCGGAAUCCUUUCUUGGUGCAGCAUUACGUUUAGGACUGCUACGCGCUUUCCCUACAGGUCGCCUAGACGAGAUCUUUCUGUUGCUUUCAUCAGCGGCCCGUGAAUUUGGAGAAGGAUUGAAAUCCGCCCACCCGUUACGCCUAUCUCUGGAUCUGUCACCCACUCGAUUCUGCAUAAAGGCAACAUUCCGAUUUCCAGAUUCCCGACCGACAUAUCCAGGCAUGAGAGAAUCCGGGAAGUCACCAGUAAACUGUUGCUGCCAUCCAUGUGGCCCAUCGUCUCUGUUCAAUAAGAAGGCAGCUUCUCUAGGAUGUAAACCUAUAGGCCUAAUUCCAGUGUAAGGCCAAGCCCGCUGCUGUUGAACACCCCUUCCGAAAAAAUCAACGUGUAAACCAACACCCCUGAAGACUCUCUGUGAGCAUUCCCUAGCUAAAUGUCCCGGCUGCCCACAAUUGAAACAAUUGCGGACAAAAUCGGGCCGCGGAAACUGAGGUCGUCCUUCAAACUGGUGGCCACCAAAGCCUCGACUUCUAUCCAUGCAGUUAAAACGGUCAGGGGCUGCUGCCUUCCCGCAGUCCCACAUCAAAUCACCAACAUCCGGAAAAACUUCAGAGCCUGCUAGUCAUUUUGUACGACACAGGUCAAUUGGGACUGUUGAGUGCAGUAACGCAGAAAUGAGCAAAACCAAGAAUGAGAGUAACUUCGCUCAAACCUCAACUUCGGAAAUUUCUAGCAGUGACCAAUACAUCAGAGUCAAAAUAAUUUGACAUAAACCUUGGUAAUAUAAAUUCUGUAUAAACCUAAAAAUUCGACUGGAACGACAAAACUACGGAGCCUUUACAAAAGGAUGUACUUCUACAAACUCAUGUACCCGAUACCAAUUCAGCUGACGUUUGAUCCGCUUCUGGAAAAUUCCUGAUACAAUAGAAACCCCCUAAAAAAUUCACGAUUGUAUUUCACAAAGGCAUGUGAAAAUUAACUCCUACGUCUCCCAGCCCCUGCCAUCUAACCCAAACACUCCAGUCGAAACAGCAUUUUUCUAUAGAGGGUACUUCUAAGGUCAUCCCAUGACCUGAGUAUCUUAGUAAUAUAGUAGAGGUUGAGAACAACAAAACCCUAAGUAAAACUCCUAAAACCUUCGAAUAAGCUGGAGAGUGUUCGCUGCGACUAAAUUGAAUUCCAAGUACUACGUAACCAUCUGUCUCGCAUGGACCAAGGCAGACCAUAUUUCAAACAACGAAAUAGAAGACAGUUUUAGGCAUAACACCACAGAGGAGCUACCAAUUACCUCCACGCAUGCCGCAAGGUUAGACUCUUGAACACUAAUGACAGGCCAAUCAACAUUACCCCUGCCUCCAUGCACUCCCGUAAAACAGACGUGUGAACGAGAAGCCUCAAUGUAGCAGCUCUGCACAAUUCCACAUACCCUACGUCUCAAUUCCGCAACAAUGGCUUCGAGAGAUUGACACAAUUGCACUACAUAUAGGCGCAUCACCAAAAAGAAAAAAGAAAAGUGACAAAAAGAAUUUAAUGCUCUCUCCGUUGACGAGGGCAUCCUACUGCCAUAACAAAACCCUGGUUCUCGUAAGGGGGUUAAUCAUUAACAAAAUCUCAGCAUACUGCAACAAUCAUAGAGUGCUAUAACCUAUGGAUGAUAAUAAUCGUCCAAAACUACAAAUAAACGAAAAAAGCGUAAAUAAAUAAAAUCGCUCGCAUGGCAGUUCAGGAACACUAUACGGAAUAGAGAAAGAGCCUUGCCAAAGCAAACCCUAGGAGCUAACUCCAUCUUCGAGCGCGCGCGACAGUCUUCCGCACCACCUCCGAACGCGCAAAAAGCGAGUAGCAGCAUCCACAGGCCACAAUUCCACCCAAGGCGCAAAUCUAGGAAGCUAACAUGGCAUGAACCGAAAAUCACAUCACAUCACCGCACCGCACCAUGUGACACCACACCGCAAGCCAAGCACCACCGCGUGCAAAAAACAGCGCACUCACUCAGCUCUCGGCUCCUCUCUUUCCUCCCUCGAAGAACCGAACUGAAAAUGAUACGCACACGCGCGCGCUCACAUGCACACAAUAACAAAAACAACAACCAAAAACUACUCUAAAAAAAACGCACAAAAAAAAAAAAAAAAAAAAAAAAAAAAAGAGCACAGAAAGUUCGGCGACCGCAGCGCGAUGGUAGAUGGAAUCCGUAGGCAAAAGGCUAUGACGAGCGAUGGACGUGCGGUGGUGCGGUUGAAGGACGUCGGGAAGAAGGAAAGGGAAGGGAGCAGAGGCGAACAAGAAGAUUAACGAAGUCUCACCACCAUCCCCUCGUUUCAUUCCCGCCUAGACUGCACCAACAGCCCUAAAUGAGACAGAGCCUUCCUUCAGACCCUUCCCCCCUCCCUGCUUUAUAUGAAUGUAUGUAUUCGUGUAUAUUUGUACGUAUAUUUUGUUUUAACUGUGUGAAUGCACUCCUCGGUUUGUUCUCGAACCUGCUUCCUGUCCUGCUAUUCCUACCCCGUCCGGUCCGUAGCGCGGAAAUCCUUCCUACCUACUCGGCCUUGGGGCCACUCUCUUCUGCAGUUAGGUUCGGGACAAAGUAAUUCCACCCAGAGUUUCUGUGCAAACCCGGGAUCAGUUACUCCGUCACUCGCACAACGAUCGAUGAAUGUAGUAUUACACAUCCUCUGUUCGUUGACUGAGCAGCCUUUUAAACAAUCCCGUGUUUCCUACUUGUAAAUUUAGAAGGAAAAAGUAAAUAAAAAAGUGAAAAGUGACCAAAAGUUUGCAAAGACCAACAUUGAAGGUGGGGUUGUAACCAUACGAUUUUUGAACUUUAAUAUAAUUAUCAUUUAUGGGUUUGUUUAGAAUAGUGUUUACUAUUCAUUAGGACAAGUGUGUGGGUGUGUGUAUAUAUAUAUAUAUAUAUAUAUAUGUACUAGAGAUAAAAGAUCUAUACCAUCAAUAAUAAAAUUUAUUCAUCACUUGUGAAAAGCAUGUAUUGUACUUCACAACAUGUUGAGUCAAAUAAUGUAAUUACAACAUUUUAUUUUUUGAUUAGUAUCUUUAUUAAACUAUCAUACACUCAACGUUUCAAUCUUUCAAGAUUUUAAGUUAAAGGAAUUUUAAACUGUGAUUUGGUGUGUGUUUAAAUCGAGGUUUUCAUCAUUUGAUUUUGCAUGAUUAUUAAAAUAAGUUUGAUUGUAUUGGCUGCAACAAGAUAAGAGAAAAAGAAUAAUCACUUACUACAAAAGCUAUAGGGUUGUGUAAAGAUUACUAAAGGGACUUGUGACAAAUGACAUAAAUGUUGAAAAUUACUGUAUCUCUUGAUUUCAAAUUAUUCUUCUUUAUUUGUGUGCUUCAUUUAGCAUAUAAUUAUUAAAAUGUAUAUUUUUGAAUUUGGCAUACACCUUCAAAAAUAAAGAAAUCUAUUAAUAUAUAUUAAAGACAAGACAAUGAAAAUAUUGAGACAAUGAAAAUAUUGCAAAUAUUUGUAUUUCGUGAAAGGAACAAAAAUAAAAAUAGAAAUUAUUCAAUUGAUCUAUGAUAAGAUUAACAAGAUGUGUUUGUAUUAAGACAUCUAAGAGAAUAUUUUAUAAAAUAAAAUUAUAAAAUAAGGAUGUUUAAGAAUCACAUUUGCAAAUUUAGCUUGUUAUUUUGUUAAUGACUAUUUAUAUGUGUCAAACUUUUAAAACGAAAAUAAGAGUUUUUUUUCUUGAUUCACUAAUUAGAAUUGUAUAAUCUCUCUACUUGAUAUGUUUGAUGGACCUGCUUGCUAUAAACAGUUGCUCUUAUAGCUUAGCACUUCCUAUUUAGUAGGUGUUUUGAAUAUCUUAUAGAUAGUCUCUAGUAGAUUUAGUGGCUUUGGUAUUUAGUUUGAUGAAAUUGUGUAAAUAGUAAUAUAAUUUACAACAGACAAUAGUAAUAUAUUUUACAAUAUAUGGAUCCUUGAUUUGAUUGCUCAUAUUAUAUAUGUCCUUAAGAGAAUUGGUUUUACACUUAUAUUCUAUAUUACAAUAAAUCUAUGUUUAUGGGGAACGAUAUACUAUUAAAAAAAAUCUGAAAAGUGGCACAAUUUGUAACAAAGUAAUUGAUAAAAUUAUGAGAACAUUGAUUAUUGUAAGAAAUACUUAUAAACUAGAACAAAACUUUAUUUGGUUAGAUGUAGUAGAAAUAGUUGAUUGUAAAUGGACCAUAGAGGGCAAAAUUAUGAACAUUUUUUUUAAGAAACUUAUAUGGUGAUGAAGAUUAAGAGGAUUAAUAAUAUAUAUGAGCUUGUAGAAGCACUUUAAAAAUUUGAAAAAGUUUUUUUUUUAAUCUACUCAAAAGAAAAAUUAAAUAGAUAUAAUCAAUUUUUUGAAUAUAUAAUUAAAUCAAAUAAGUGAAUUAAAGAAUUGUAAAACAACACAAGUGACAAUUCUUUUAGUAAUCAUAUUCUUAGAAGAUAGAUUUAUUCAAGCAUUGUGCAUUUGAGAAGCAAUGCAAAAUAAGAUUUGAUAUUAUUAUUUUUUGUAUUGAAGAUAUGCAAAUUUAAAAUAUUAUAAGUAUUUUAAAUAAUUAAAUAUAAUAUUUUAAAAUAAAAUAUACACAUAUUUGACAUAAUUGUACUUAAGAUGAUAUUUCUAAUGGUGAAGUAUAAGAUGGAAAGAUACAAAAGUGAAUACAACAAAUAUGUUAAUAGAACUAAUAAUAGUUGAAAAGUUCAAUAGAAUAUAUUAGACUUGCCAAUAUUUUUUAUAUUGUUCUUAUAGGGGUUCUAACAAAAUACACAAAUACUACUAUGUAGCUUCUUUUAAAUAGAGAAAGCAACAAUAACAUAUCUACAAUAUGAUAUAUAUAUUAUUUGGUGUAUGUUUAGGAUAUUUUGUAAAAACUCUUAAAGAAGUUAACAAUUGUAGUGCUUAACUUAAUAAAAUACAAUUGUAUUUUGUAUAUAAUAAGUUCUUGGUAAGACAACUCUAUUGUAUGAUUUUUUUUAUACAUGCAUAAUUUUAUGUUUUUUUAUUUAAAAAACUAAUAUUAUGAUUUAAAUAAUAAUAAGCCUCAAAAAAUUAAAUAAAAGUACUUGUUAAUUUAUUACUAUUAUUAUUAUUUUAUUUUAAAUUUAUUUUCCUUUAUAAUAAAACUUGAUUUCAAAAUUUCCUAAUAAAACAUUUCAUAAUAAAACAUUUCAUAACAAAACAUUUCAUAAUAAAACUUGAUUUCAAAAUUUCCUAUCAAAAUUUUCUUGAAGUUUAUUAAAAUACUGUACAAACAUCUAGAAGAGUGAAAUACUUUUAUUGUCUUAAAUAACAAUAAAACAAAAUAAAAUAAAAAUAAGAGCAACAUCAAAAGAAAGAUAUAAAAAAGAAAAAAGGAAAGAAAUUGGAAGCAGAAUAUUGGACAUACUAAAAGAAGAGCAAAGCCUAUAGUAGGAACUAGAAGAAAUAUGUAUAUAAGAACAAGCAAACUUUGAAGAAAAACUUGCUAGAGAUCUCAGACUAAAUAUUAAAAAAAAAGACAGAAGCAAACUUUGAAGAGGAAUUAGAAGAAGCACACGCAGAAGAGAACGAUGAAGAAAACAUAGAAGUAGCAGAAACAAACAGUAAAAGCAGGAGGAGACGUGAAAGCAUCAGGAGAAAAGACACAACAACAACAACAAGAACAGUAGUCGAGGCAAAGAAAGGGAUUGGAGUUGGAAAAGCACUAAACAACGACCCAUUGUCACACUUAACUUCCAAUUGUCGAUGCAAAAGUCUCUAUAUUCUCCACAAUCCCACUCUCUCUCUCUCGCUCUCUCACUUAGACUGUCUCUGUAGCAGCCGACUCGCUUGAAUCACCCCACUUCACCAUCACUGAAUCAAUGCACCUCGAUCGAUCGAUCGAUCGAUGGGCACUGUUCUGCAAAGUUUGCACAUCAACCUUUUCCAAUCUUUCCAGAAAGCUUGUUGCUUGACGUGUAUCUAAUAGCGUUAUCAGCGGGAAAUGAGAGGCAUGAUCCUUGAUGUUAAAGCCAAAAGUUAAAAAAACGUCUUUGCUGGGAGUAACUUUGACUGAGAAUUUAUUCACUGUGUGGAUACCGCAUUGUUCAAGUGGUGGUUAUUGUUGUCGAGUUAUUUUUAGGUCAUCGUCGAUACCUGCCGACUCCAGUCACUCAAGCUCAAAUUAGAAACCUCGCUGAUCCCCCCAAGCUAACAAACUUGGAACUUAACCAUGAGACCACUCAAUGAGAAAUACUUUCGCCAGGCUUGUUACUAGUUAAGUCACAGAUGAUUUACAAUUAAAAUCAUCUGCUUCGGGAUUUGCAGGCCUAUUCUUGGUUUCACUCUAAACACAGUACGUAAAAUCAGAUAACUAAGUAAUACACUGUCAAACUCAUGCCACGCUUAGACCAUUAGGAUCAUACAUCAUCUCAAUCUCCUUCCACCAUCAACGCAGCACGGGAAUGAGCACCGGAGGCUCAUCUGCAUCCCUUCCAGUGGCAGAAGUCAGUGUACGUGACCCACCCUUGCCACCGCCAGCACGAAAUUAAUACAAAGCCAACACACAACCACCCACUCAAGGCUCACUUCUGGACACAAUUGUAUCAGACACUAGCAGAAAAUUAUUUUCUGAGGCAAAUUGGCCAGACAGCUUGUAAGACAGACACAGACCUGCAGGUGAAAUCGCUGCGGAGGUGAUGCUGCUGAUGUCGAUGUAUACCGACACCCGGUGUCUGCGAACUGAUCUUCCUCCACGGCUGUGAAGAUUGCCACGCAGUAAUUUACUAAAUAAUCAGAUGCUACCCAUACCCCAGUUCAUGAUUUCUUAGCAAAACUCAACAAAAAAUCUCAUCUCAACAUGGCUUGCGUGUCAUAUUUGUGUUGACAUGAUGUUUGAUAAGAAAUUAAAGUAAGUAAGUUAGCAAGUAUGUAAGUAUCUUAACAUAAAAGUUGAGAUUGAAAAUAUUGUGAGUGGAAUUUUUUGGGAGAUUUAUGGUAACAAUUCUGUUUGUUUUUCAUUUAUUUCUUUACUUUUUUGUUUAAUGCAUGAUGGUUUUAGAAUGAUAAAUGUAUAGUGAUACUAUAUAGGAACUGGAUAUUAACAAGUGGGCUAACAAGCCAAUUGUAGGAGAAAAAUCAAGAAAAAAUUAUAUAUAUAUAUAUGUACAAAGAAAUAAAAUAUUCAAUUGAUUUAUGAUAUUAAAAAUAGAGAAUCAUAAAUGCUACAUCUCCAAUUGAUAUUGCUACAUUCCACAAGACUUUUACACAACUUAAAU